CUUUUAUGACGAUUUGCGGCAAUGUACUUGGAAAUUUGUGAUUUUGUUGCUGUUUUUGUCCAUCUAGUGAGUUGUUGUGUUGACAAAUUAGUAGUUAACUCCGUUAUGCUAGUAGUUAUUUCUAGGAGUUCUUGUACCAAAGAUGCGUUUUUUUUUUUGGGCUAAUUUGGAGGAGAAGUCGUUGAGAGUAGAGGUUUUCAGUUUGUAGCAAGAAAUUGAUUAUCUUUUUGAUAACAGUGAGGAAAAUAAAACUUGUUAGUGGUGGUUUGAUACUGAACAGUGUGUGGGCCUAUAGGAUUUGACAACGUUAUUAGAAUUCUUUCUUAUUGAGAUGAAGUGUAGGGUGACGAUUAUCCCAAACAGUGAUGGGGCAACUGGGGAAGAUUUUAGAGUUCUCUUUAAGGCGCCAAAAUGACAAACUUUACCUGAUUUUAGUUGUGAAUUUUAGUUUCAGCAUGGCUGCGGUAGGCAGCUGGAGAUAGUUUAGAUGCAAAGGGACUGAGGCAACUGCUUGUGAAAUACUUUUACUGUUUUUGUUUCAUGUAAUUUUCAUAGCAAUGGCUGUAGCCCUGGUAGUCUUAGUAAAGAAUUAUAGUACCAGCAACCUUGUAUAGCGAUAUUGCAUUAUCAAAACUGGCUGGAGAUUGUAUACUUGGGAAUAGCAGUCACUGGGGAGUUGUAAUUCUUUUUUUGCCUUAUCUCUUUUGGCUUUCAUUUAAAGCUUAAAGGUUGUUGUGAGCUGGGGGUAUCCCAUUUGUAGAUAGUUGCUGCUGAAUUUUGCAGGAUUGGAUUGUUGCCACCUCACUUCAAUAUGCGAUUGUUCAUGGUUAAGCCAUGAGAUGAUCUUGGCGGUGGCAUAUACUUUUUCGGUUAGUUGAAAGGGCUGCAAUGUUUUUAAUAACCAUUUCAAGAAAAAAUUUGGUAAAAGUUGCUGUAUGGUCAGAAGACAUUAUUUUUCAAUCUGGACAUGAGUCAGAUCUGGCAAAGUUCUACUUGAAAUGUAAUUGAUCUUCAUUGUGGUAUUUGUUCCAGCAGCAAUCUUUAAUCUAUUUCCUUGCUGGGUGACAUAACACAGCCCAUCUCUUAUACUAUAGAGAAUCUGCACUCCAAAUUAAAUUGAAUGGCCCACUCAUUAGGAAGAUUACAACUAUAUGGGUAUUCCCUCUCUUUUAGAUUUCUGGCGGGUGUUGGAUAUAUCAUAUAUGUAAAGAAUCUAACCAAAGAAAGGGAGAGGGAAGAAAUUACUAAAAUGUACUGCAGUUCCUAUAAGAAAAAUACUUUAUUAAUAAUAGAAUUUGGUACUAAAUUCUGAACUUCUUAAAGGGCAAUGCUGUGUUGCAGGAUUGACAUUCUCUUCAAUUUUUUUUUAGAUAUAGUUGAACAUUCAAAGCUUGGCAUGGUCAAUAUGGUGAAAAGCAUGCAUGGGUCCUUUCACAAUAGAAAUUUCUGUUCUAAUUGAUUUGCUGGAGUGAUAGCUCAAGCAAGGAUUGCAAAUAUCAGAAAACUCCAACAAGAAGAAAUAGGAAUACCUUUGCACUACUGUAGUUUCAGCUAAGUGAUUCCAUAAUACAUUCAGUCUAAUAUUCUUAAAGAAUGGAAAGCCAAGAUCACAGACAAGUCCAUACCACUGAUAAUGAACCAGUAAACAUUGGUUAUUAUUGCGUAAUUUUGCAGUUGAUACGAUACACACUCCACUGAUGCAUUAUUGAGAGAUAUAGAUGUUCUCAGCCUAAUAACUUUAGACAAUUGUUGUUAGCCUUUUUGAUUAUUAUGUCUCAUCAACAGAUUUUUUUUCCCUUUCUUCUUCUUGAACUUGAAUGAGGCUAAACUAUACCUUACACCAUGAAAAGACUUGUAAAAAAGAAUAGAAGGGUGUGGUGAAGGAGUUUGCCCAUGGUGGAAUAGAUGAGUUUGUGACAUUUCAUUUACUUUUAAUGCUUAAAAUCUAUAAGGUCAUACAUAUCAUCUCUAUUUUACUGUGUCACACACAAAGAUGAGAGAAGAGGUUAUUGACCUGGAACAAUAGUUUUUAAUCAUUUUUGUCCAACCCUAGUAGCUGUCGAGAAAAUCAACUAAGUCUGUACAUACUAGAGAAAAUCAACUUCCUGUUGAGGAAGUUGAAUAUAAGUUGUUGGGCAGUAAUGGUUGUGUUGGAAGUCAAAUCAUCUAACCUGCUAUAAGCUUUUGAUGACUUGUUUGCAGAAACAACAAAUGGAGAAUUUUUAUGACUGGUGAGAAAGGAAAUUCAAAGUAGGAAAAUCAUACUUUGUUUUUGUUCAUAGAAAAACUGUAGCAAAUUAUAACAGAGAAAUUCAGAACAAAUUAUAACACAUUGCCAGGUAGGCAUGAGUUAUAUGAUUUUUUUUCUGUCAAUUUGCCUUAUCUAGUUCUCUAUAAUUGGAAAUUUAGGCUAUAAUGGAAAUAUCUAUUUCUUGCAAUCUUUGCUUAUUUUCCUUUCAGCAAAGAAUUUUACUUUUUCUGUGGUUGCAAAAGAAUAAAAUAGUUUAGAUCUGCUUUACAAUGUAGACCAUAUUUGGAGCUUGGCAGAAGGAAAAAUAUAAUUAGCUCUCUCCUUUGCAAUAUCAACUUUACCAAUUGGAGUUUUAGUAUGCAUUCAGCUGGAGUUCGACUUGGCAAGACCUGUUAAUAUUAAGCCAGUAAUUUAUGGCAUGCAUUGAUGUGGACUAGUACAGACAUUCUAGUUUGUAAUAUUUUGGAAUUCUGGUUUUUUCUCUUUGUUGGCAUUCAAAACAGCAUUAAAGACUCUAAGCUAAUGCUAGUGUCUGUUACUGCAGUUGAGGAAGUAAUAUACCUUCUGUCAGGCUUGGAAUUUAGUUAAUGAAGUGCAUGUUUGAAACAAUUAUUGGCCUAUCUGUGAUGUUCUAAAAUCUUGCAUUUCUGAUUGUGUUGUUUCAGCUUGAAUAUGUUGUUGGCUUCUGCUAAUAUUCUAGUACUUUCUGUUGGCAAUCUACAUAAACAUUUUUGAGCAGCAUGUGAGAGAGGAUUACAUGGAGCUUAGACAAGAAGCCGUUGAUCUUCAAGAGUACUCAAAUGCAAAAAUGGAUCGCUUGAUGCGAUAUCUAGGUGUACUUGCUGAUAAAACUCGUAAACUAGGUAAAUGGUUAUUCAUAGGCUUUGGCAGCUCUUGUUUCAUCUGAUUGCAUAUUUUCUACAUCAGAGCUGUAGCUUAUCCAUUCUUGUUUGCCUGCAUAUCUUCGUGGGUGAUUUGGUUUCUUAAUCAUGAAUUAUUUUCAGAUCAGGCUGCGGUUGAAAUGGAAGCUAGAAUGUCUCCGCUGAUAUAUGAGAAGAAAAAAUUGUUUAAUGACUUAUUGACGGCUAAAGGUAGGAUUUUGAGUGGCCUCUGGACUCCUUUUGUCACUGACGCCUAUGCACAAAAUCAGGGGAAGAUGGGAGAAAAUGAUAAAUACAGAGAGAGUGGCACAAACAUGCACACGCGUGCACAAACAAUUUCGUCCCCUGUGGGUACAUAUGAACAACAAAAAAAGCGAAAAAUGGGAAAAAGACAGAAAAUGAGAGAAGUGUUUUACUAAAUUGAUGUGAGAUUUGGGCUGGAUGUACUGUUUCAGGAAGCAUUAAGGUAUUUUGUCGUGCAAGACUCCUUUUUGAGAUAGAGAUAGACAGGCAAACAGAGAGAGAGAGAGAGAGAGAGAGAUGUCAUUAUUCACAAACAAUUCAUUCCCUGUGGGCACACAUGCACAAAAAAUGGGAACAAGAAAUAUAAUAGGACGAAUAUUUUACUAAAUUGAUGUGAGAUUUAGGCUGGAUGUACUGUUUCAGGAAGCAUUAAGGUAUAUUGUCGUGCAAGACCACUUUUUGAAGAUGAAGGUCCAUCAGUUGUUGAGUUUCCGGAUGACUGUACUGUUCGUGUCAAUACUGGUGAUGAUAACGUCUCCAAUCCAAAGAAGGAUUUUGAGUUUGACAGGGUUUAUGGUCCUCAUGUUGCACAAGGUAGUGGACCUUAUUACUAGCUUUUAUUUGUUUUCGUCUAACACUCUGGAAUGUUAAGUCACUGUGAUGUUCCUUUCUGCAGCUGAACUUUUCGCUGAUGUUCAGCCAUUUGUGCAGUCGGCAUUUGAUGGGUAUAAUGUUUCUAUAUUUGCUUAUGGACAAACGCAGUCAGGAAAGACACAUACUAUGGUCUCUCUCUCUCUCUCUCUCUCUGUGUAGGGUAUUGCAGUUAUGUCUCACCCUGUGUUUUUUUUUUAAAUCUCGGGUUAACGGGUUCUUCAUCCAUACAUGGUACACAUCAUCAUUAAAUUGCUUUGACUUGUAAAUAAUUCUAUAAGGACACUUUCUUGAUUAAGCAUACUGUUGUAUGCUUAUGUUGAACAAACAUGACCGCAUAAAGAUGUUUGUAACCUGAUGUUUUUGUGCUGAAAAGCACUACCUGGGGGGUUAAUACUAUGAUGAACUGCUUUCUGAUUGCAAGGUCUUGUCCGCAGGAAGGAUCUAGCCAUGAUCGUGGCCUAUAUGCUCGAUGCUUUGAGGAGCUGUUUGAUUUAUCCAACUCAGAUACAACUUCUACCUCAAAAUUUAAUUUCUCUCUCACGGCUUUUGGGCUUUUCAAUGAACAGGUUCCUUGACCAUUCUGGAUUGCUUAUUUUAAAUAUUGACUUCUAUUUAGCAAUACUUGACAUUCAGUAACCAUUAUUCUGUAGAUUAGAGAUUUGCUUUUGGAAUCUCAGAGUGGUCUUCCAAAGAUCCAGAUGGGCUCCACAGAUUAUGUUGCUGAACUUGUGCAGGAAAAAGUUGAGAAUCCAAUUGAUUUCACCCGAGUCCUCAAAGUGGCAUUGCAGAACCGAGGAACCGAUGUAUUAAAGUUUAACGUCUCUCAUCUGUAUGGUCUAGCUUCAAAUUUGUGAUAGUUCUAUUUCCCUACCAAUGCAUGCUCCUUUUAUGGCUUGAUUUUUUUACUCACCAUGGUCUUCCCCUUGCUACCCUUUUUUUGGAAAAAGAAAAAAAAAUCAAAGAUCCUCUUGAAUGAUUUGUUAAAAGCCAUCAAUUCUCUUUUGGCAUAAAUUAUGGAAAUCCUGGAACGAUUAGUGACCAAUGAUUAAAUUUGCACUUUAAGACGCUUUUGCUAUUGAAGGAACAGCACAAAAUUGAUACAUUGGGUAUUGUUGCUUGAUUUCUAUGUAAUUCUUGACAUCUGGUAGUUAGGGCAGGUCUAGGAGCCAAAACUCUCCACUUGUAAGUGGCUAGGGGUAUGGGGGUGGUUGUUGGUCUCUGCAUCAGGGCUGAUUUUCCUCAUUUUAUCUGUAUGUAGAAAUAUUUAACAUUUAAGUUGUACAAGUAACGGUUUCACUCUAUUUGUUGCAUGUUUGUGUUAAUAUAUGCUUGCUCGUUAUUUUAUGUUGUUUUUCAUUUUGAGUUAAAAGUUUUUCAGUUCAAAUUUGGCAUUAGAUCUUCAGAAUUUUUUUUUUUAUAUUUGACUCACAUUUGGAAAUAUUAAAUAAUCAUAUCAAAUAUUCAAAACUGUGAUGGUAUCUAGCAACCAAAACUCAGGGGUUGUUGUCAACUCUGAGUGCUUUUUUUUUUCCCUUUGGGAGGGGGGGUUGUCUAAGUGGUGUCACGCACUUUACUAGUAGGGAAAGGGAUUCAAGAAGGCUCCCUGCCCAUUAUCAUCCCUUCUGAUGAGUAAUUGGUCAGCAGCAAUAACGUGUUACUCAACCAGGAUUUGUUUAUUUCUCCACUUAGACAGUACUUUUGGAAUAUGGUAUGUUAGGGUCCAAUUUCCUUCUACUGAUAAUCCUGAGGUAUUUUGAACAUUUUUCUUGAUGUGUUGACUAAAUCAUUCCCUUUUUGCUUCUUAAGUAAUGAUUAAGUGUAGCACUCUUUGACUGGCCUGAAGAAACUUCUUGGACUUACAAAAAGCUGUCUUUCGAUCCUUAUGCAAUUUUGUUGCUGUAUUUGAUGUAUGAAUUACGUGGGGCUUCAGGAAACAUCUAUGUUCAGUUGUAUUCUACUGUCUAGCUUUCUCUUGAGAAUUCUCAUUUCCUUCCUCAGGGUCAUCACUGUGCAUAUAUAUUAUGACAACUUGAUUACGGGUGAGAACUUAUAUAGCAAGCUUUCUCUUGUUGAUUUGGCUGGAAGUGCAAGUUCCAAUGUUGAAGAUGAUAGUGGAGAACGUGUGACAGACCUGCUGCAUGCCAUGAAAUCACUCUCCGCGUAUGUACUUCGUAUAUUUAGUUGCCUUGUUUUCAGCAUAACCUCAUUGUUUCAAUUCUCCCUUGUGAAAGAACAUCUAACGUGCAACCUUGCUGCUUAUCAACUCUGCCAUGUAUGGAUCAAACUAAAAUCAAUGUUUUACAUUAUACUUUCAAAAUUUUGAUGUCCUAAACUAAUUCCUGCAUUCACUAUCUUUAGUUGUAACUAGCUCCUUCUCUCCUUGUUGUUGUUUGUAUGUUGUCUGGUGAACAAGUACACAUUUCAUGGUAACUUAAUUCUUAGGUUGAGUUCUUUUCUGUGUCUGCAUGUAUUGUUGGUCACUGGGUUAGGCAGGACUCUUGAUAACUGGUGAUUGUUCUGUUUGGUGCUUGAGAUAACAAAGACUGUUGUUAGUUAGCGUAUGUAUUAUUUCUUACAGAGCAGAGGGUUUAUUGGUUGUUACCAUAAACUUAUUUUUUCUAGGAAAACUGACGCAUUUCAGCUUUUCUUAUGCUUGUCCUUGUUUGUGCAGUUUGGGAGAUGUUUUGGCUUCUUUAACAUCCAAUAAGGAAACAGUUCCUUAUGGAAAUUCAGUGCUCACAAAAUUACUUGCAGAUUCACUAGGUAUUUUUUCUCUUUUGUAUAAUACAUUUGCUUGUAGCAAAGUCCUUAUUUGGCACAACUGAUAAGCCUGGGCUGGUAAACAGCUGUUCUAGUUGAAUUUGGCAGGGUAUAGAUUGCAUCUCAGAAAAAGUAAGCAGAAUACAAUCUAUUCACUUAUGAGCAAAAUGAAUGUUGUAUUUGGAUAACCUCCAUGCCAAUUCAAAACAACUAGCUUCUGACUUUACCAAUGGCAAAUGGUAAUCUCUGUUGCCCACUUCUGCCAUCUCCAUUGACCUCUGCCACCAACCCCUAAUUUUGAUUUCCACUCCAGAAAAGGUCCAUGAGGAGAAACUUACUCCAAAAGGCGUAUCCGAAAGCAAGCAUUCUCUUCAUAAUUCAUAUCAUUCAAUUAGAAUUCUUUACAGGCAUAUAGGGUUCCUGCUGGAGACUAGAAGACACCAAUUCUGAGAACUGUUUAAUGACAACCUCAUAAAUGCCACACAACCUGCCUAAGCAUACUUGGAGAACAUAACUGCCCCCCAAAUUGCAUAACUUUUUGAAAUCUCAUCAAACACUUUGCUGGACUGUCUAAAUUUCUGAAAGUUAUUCAGAAGCAUUGCCUAGGUGGAAGAGAUGGGUAAACCAAUAGUAUUCAUACAAGUCAAUCAGAGAGAUGGAGGGAGAAAGGGAGGAUCUUGAAAGAUAUUCCUUGAUCUUGAAAGAUAUUCCUUUAUCUUGAAUCAUACAGGAAACAUAAACUUGGACGGGAAUUAACAUGGUAUACUGUGAUAUAACACUUGGAUACUCCUGGGACACAGUAUUGAGGUCAAGGAUUAUUGUCUGCUGUCAAACUGUUGAAUAAGAUAUGAUGAUGACGAUUUGUAAAAGGCAUGAAUGUUGUAGACGUGUUUUUUCACUACCAUGGGGCUGGUAAUUAUCACAUAUAUAUACAUGAAUGAGUAGCACACCAAACCGCUUGCCAUUCUGGAGCCUUCAAAAAGGAAUAGUAUUAAGAGGCUCAUCUUAGGUGUAGAGGUUGUAGGACACUUAUCAGAAGUACAAAUAUAGGCAGGAAACAGGAAGAGCUCAUGAAGCAGAAAAUGACAUCUAAAGGUAUAUCUGAAGUGUGUAUAUGGAAAAACAUUUCAGAAUGAAUGGAAGAUUUGAUCCAAGUGCUUUUGGGACUUCUACCAUGACAAGCAUUUAAGUGUCACUCCAGUGAUUGUUUCAGAGUCAAGUAGAGCCUUUUGAGCAAAAAUUGCACAAAAUUGCCUAAGUUUGUACCACAUCAUAGCGGAUAAAAUAAUCUGGAGAGUAUCUUUUAAUCAUUGUUGUGGAACUAAUUUGGUGAAGAAUUCUCACUGCAUGACAAAAUUGCCUGAUGGAUUUGAAUAUAUAUUAUCAAUAUUUUCUACUUUCUCUUUCUCAUGAUGGUUCUUCCUGGUUGUCCACAAGAGAACCAACAUCACUAUAAAGACACCUUUUUGUUUCUUUAACUUUUUUCCACCGAUGUGUCUUGCACAUCUUAAUUAUUCUGCUAAUAUUUGAUAACCUUCUGAGUUACUCGACAAUAUGUAUAUCCAACAUUUUGUUUGUGACUUUUUUUAUUGGUAAUUAAUAAUAAUUUAGAUACUUUGCACAAUUGUACAUUAUAGUUAGCACUUUUGUUUACUGGGCUGCAACAAUGAGUUUUUAUCUGUCUGCCCAUGAAAUAUCAAUGUUAGACCAGCUCUAACUUAUGUUAUGCUGACAAUCUAGGUGGAAGCUCGAAAAGCUUGGUAAUUGUUAACGUCUCUCCAAAUGCUGCAAAUUUGACUGAGACACUAUCAUCCCUUAACUUUGCUGCCAGAGCCCGAAACUCUAUUCUCAGCCUGGGAAAUCGAGAUACGAUUAAGAAAUGGAGGGAUAUUGUAAGACAUCUUCAAAUAUUCUUUUGUUUUCUGAACUGACAAAGUGUUGCUUUUUAACAUUGCUUUAACCGUUUGUUAGUCAUCUUUGAAGAUGGGAGAGGUAGAGAAUGGGAAGGCCUGUAGUUAGAUUUUCAUCUGGUAACCCAACGGGGGAGGGGAGAAAGGGAAAAGGGAAAACCUUUCAUGAUACAAAGACAAGUUUGAUCACUCCAUGCCUAAACACAAGCAUGACCAUACCAUGAUCUAAUAGUUGUGGUUUGUACAAGAACUGGUAUCAGGAUCACGAUAAUCCAUAUUUAUACAGUUUCUUCUUCUGAUCAAUGUGCAUGCAGGCAAAUGAUGCACGUAAAGAAUUGUAUGAAAAAGAGACGGAGAUCAGCUACUUGAAGCAAGAUGUUUUGGGACUUAAACAAGCUCUAAAACAUGCAAAUGAUCAGUGCGUCCUUCUUUUUAAUGAAGUUCAGAAAGCUUGGAAAGUUUCUUUUACACUUCAAUCUGAUUUAAAGGUUCGUUCUCAUGCUUCCCCACAUUUCUCCAUUCUCUAUUUAAGACUUCUCAUUGCCAUUUAGCAAUAACUUUGGCUUAUUGUACAAAAUGAGCUAUUUAUAACUUUCUCCUUUUGGUGACUACUAUCUGUAAAAGUGAAAGCACAUAAAGGGACUGGUUGGAAGUUUGUGGUUUGUUUUGAUGCAAUCAAACUUAUUAGGAAGAGCUAAAUAACUUGGUAGGCGGAAAUUGCAUUUCCAUGGCAAGGUGUUUUUGGUUUUUUGUCCUUAGCAAAAGCUCGUGUAACUCAAACACCAAAAUACAACAUGAAAUCUUUUUCUUGCCAAAAGUCCUCAAUCCUGUACACACUCUCAGAAACCGUAUUUGGAAGAGUAUUCAACCUGUUGAGAAAUCAUAAAAAAUGUCAAAUGCUAAAAUGUGCAGUUUAUCUCUUCAAAUGUUAGCAUCAUUGCUGUUAGCAUGUCUUAUAGAGCUUCUCAUCAACCUGAUCUUUGAGGAACUCAAGUGUUUUUUACUUGUAUAGUUGGUGGAAUAUUUGGUUUUUGGAAAAUUUUGGCUCACAUAGAAGGCUUUUAUUCCUGCCAGUAGCAUAUUGCUAGAGCUUUUUAAAACAAUAUGGAGAUUUAGUUGUCAGAUGUCCAUAGCUCUCUUAUUUCAUAUUCCUUACUGAAGAUAAUCAUUUUCUUUUUCAAUAUCAUCACACAACUGAGAUGUACCAUUUCAUUAGGGAUUAAGCCUGCUUUGCAUCAAUACUGUGUCACUUUUAAAACUAAACCAAUUUCUUGCUAUUUGCCUCUUAAAGUGUACUUGCUUCCAAGUUGACCUGAUUCAUAAGAUUUCUUGUAUUUGGAUUAAUUGCUACACUUGAUUGUAGAACUCAUUCUAGGGAGAGACUUAUAUGUGGAAAGUGUGAUGGACUAAAUUUGAUAUUUUUGUACAGUUUUUUGGUUCAUUUUGAAUGAUUUGUCCCACUUGAUCUAAGUGGAUAUCGUAUGUGCUGGUGUUAUGCUGUCACUGAUCAGGAUUCAUGGUCAGUGCAACAAAGAUGCAGAGGAAUUAGUCCAAGUUAAUCUUUUCUUCUUUUUUUUCCAAAGAAUAGGACCCAAAAAAAACAGUGCCACCUAUAUUCAGUUUUUUGUCUUUUUUUUGGUAAGCUUCCUUUUUUUCCAUUGAUCAGCAAUAAAGAGUAUACCCAGAAGGGGGAGUACCCCAAUCAAUACAUCUAGUUCUUACCGGGAAUACAAUAACAAACCCAAACAUAUACAGUACCUACCUAGCUAACUGGAAAACAUUAAAGUGAAUCCCAAGUGCAGUACACAAGUCCACAUUUGGCUGUAUCCUUGCUACACGAUUCCAUCUGGCUGCUAUACCUCUAAUAUCAGCAAGCACCUCAUGAAACACAUGCUCAGUAAGAACAAGCACAUCCCUGAAUACCUUUUUAUUCCUCCACGUCAACAAAUGAUAGACUGUUGCUGCAAGUGCAGUAACACAAAACAAAAAGAGUUUGCUGAGCAAUGCUGCAUGAACUAUGCUAACUCUUCUCUCCAAUGAGCUGCAAUCCUAUAAAGCAAACAGCUUUUUUGAACACAUUCCCAUACUGCAUAAAUAUCGACAUAGAAAAAUAAAUGAUCUGUAUUUUCAGGAGCAGACCCACACAAAACACACCUAACAUCCACUUCAAUACCCCAAGAGAGAAGUCUAUCCUUUAUGUUUAUUCUUCUUUUACAUGUCAACCAUAGAAUAAAGGAGAGCCUAGGCACAUGCUUUUCCCCCACACCAAACUAAACCAAGGGACAGCAGGACCAAGAGGAUCAAGAGUUUUUUUUUCUUUUUUGGAAAUUUUUUUGCUCAUAUGGACGGCUAUUAUUCCUGUCAGUUGCAUAUCGCCAGAGCUUUUUAAACAAGAUGGAGAUUUACCACUCAUUUGGUCACUACUAAGGAAUGACAAUGACAAUCAUUAUGGAAGACACCCUCAAUUACAAUGGGUUUGUGAAGAUUCCUUUUGAUGGAAUCUUGUGUUUGGUGGCAAUGAUUUUUUGCAUAAGAAAAGGAAAUUAUUGUCCUUUUCUUUCUUUUUCUUCAUCUCCAGCCCAUUUGACCACCACCAUUUUUUUUCUCUGUUUUUGCUUCUUGCAUGCUGCUGACCGAUCUCCCAAUCUUUGUUGUUCAUUUUCCUGUUCUUGUUCCUUUUCUGUCUUCUUCUUUCCUUGUUUUUUGUGGUCCUCUUCAUCCCUUUGCCCUUGCCACCUCCGCCUCUCCGACCUCUCAUUGUCUUCAACACUGCUAGAUACAAUGAUCUCUGGUAUUACACAACAAUCCAACAAACUUUAAAUUCAAAAUUGUUACUAAAAAAUAAAAAAAUCUCAUCAGACCAAAACUUCUUCUGAGAGAGAAAAGGGGGAGAAAUUGUAUGGUAUAGAGAGGGAGAAAGAAGGCAGGAGAGAGAGAUUAGGAUGAAACAAAAGGGGGGAGGCAAGAUAGGAGAAGUUGGAGAUUAGAUGCUGCUGUUCGUCCUCUUCCUUCCCUAUUUUUUAGUUUGUUUUUGUUUUUAUCUUGAUUGUUAAUGGGAGUGAAAGUGCCCAAAUAAGUGGAUAAUGAGUAUUGGGUAAUGAAAGACCUAAAGUGGGUAAUGAAAAAACCCAUAGCGGUGUACCAAACACCAUCAAUGCCAAUCAUUACCCUCUCAUUCCCAUUGAAAGGUGCUAAACCCCCCAACCAAAUGGGUGGUUAGUCGUCAGAUGUCCAUGGCUGUCUUAUUUCAUAUUCCUUAUUGAAGAUAAUAACUUUCUUCUUCAAUGUCAUGUCACAAAUAAGAUGUACUGUUUAAGUAGGAAUUAGUCCUGCUUUGUGUCAAUACUUAUGCCACUUUUAAAACUUAGCGCCCUAAUUGCUGCUAUUUGCCUCUCGAAUUAUACUAGGUUCCAAGUUGACCCGAUUCAUAAGAUUUCUUGUAUUUGGAUAAAAUUGCUACACCUGAUUGUAUAACUCAUUCUGGGGAGACUUAGAUGUGAAAUAUGCAAUGGUAAAAUGACUAAGUUCAAGACUCUUGUUCAGUUUUUUGGUUCAUUUUGAAUGAUUUGUCUUGAUCAAAGUGGAUAUGAUAUAUGCUGGUGAUAUGUUGUUAUGAAUCAGGAUUUAUGGCCAGUGCAACAAAAUUGCAGAGGAAUCAGUCCAAGUUAAUACUUUCCUUUUUUCAAAGAAUAUGACAAACAGAAAAAUGCCACCUUUUACUCCCCAGGGGGGUGGGGGUUCUGGCAGGGAGCCUUACCUGUUCUUAACAAAUCGAAUGAGAAGUUACAAGGUGGGGACGAAGGGCCUAACCUCCUAAAAUAUGCUCCAAUUUUAACAUAGUAACAACCAUUGCCUUCGCCUAAUUGGUCCGUUGAACUCCUUUGGGAGCUGCAGAUAUCUUUAAAAACUACUGUUUGCUCAAAACUGUGAACCAGUUCUUCAAGAAAAUCAGCUGCUGUUCUAGCUUUCUGAAAUGUUUAUGCAACACGUCCUAAUUGAUCUUGCAAUAUAAAAGAAUGAUCUUGAUUCACUCAUGUUUAUCCUAAUAAAACAGGAAAGGUAGUCAUGUAAUCUGUUGCAUUAUGUUAACUCAUAUUCAUAUAGAGUUUACAUUUAUGGGCAUAGGAGAUUUGUAUCUGUUACAAUAAUUUAACAUCUGGUCGGAAACUGGUUAGGGUUGGCCAUGGGAGAUUUGUAUCUGUUACAAUAAUUUAACACCCGCUAGGAAAGUGGUUAAGGUUGGCCAUGGGAUGGUGCUCUUCUUCUUUUGUUCUAAAUACAAUGACUUCUUAGAAGUUUAUGAUUUCCUUUUCCAAUGUGAUGUUUUCAGCCUGUUAAUUCUGUUGAAAUGACCGAUAUGAGUUCAUUUAGUGGUGUGGGAAGUAUCUUUCUUAAUUAUGUACUUUUUAAGUUCCAUUAUGAACUAUUCUUACUAGCUUUUUUUUUUUUGUUCCAUGCCAAAAAAUUCUUUCACUGAACUGCUUCAUUUUUCCUAUUUCUUGCAGUCAGAGAAUAUUAUGCUUGCUGAUAAGCACAGAAUAGAGAAAGAGCAAAAUACCCAGCUUAGGAAUCAAGUUUCUCCUUAAAUUUGUUUCAAUAUGAACUUUGUGUGCGAACAUAGGGAAGUUAAAUACAAAAUGUAGUUCCAUGGCUAAAUACUUCUGAGCUGUGUGCUAGUCAAAAUGUCCAAAAUGGUCUAGCAUAUUGAAACUUUAUAUUGGCUAACAGAUAGCCAUCAAUGUAGGACCUGUCUGCUGCUCUAGCUCUUAGGAAAGAGAUGCCUCCAAAACGGGGAAAAGUGGAAGUAUGCUGAAUGUUGAGUGAUGGUGAAAAGAAAAAUACAGAAAUAGGUAAUAGUGAGAUGCAUGGUUAAUAGAAAGCUACAGAAGUCUAGGUUAAUACUGAGAUGCAAAAGAAUAAAUAUGAGAAAUUGAGUUUGAGUGUCAUAGAAUGUAUUCUGGAAGUUUGAAUUUUGUCUCCUUGUGCUGUUAUUGACACGAUUUAUUUAUUGCCUCUGGACAUUUGACACAAUUUGGUUUAUACUUAUUUCUUGUUUCGAAUGAGUGAUCCUCUUUCUUGUUGAAAUCACGUCACCUGCAUAUUGGUUAAAUUCUCUGGUUUUGCAGAGGUUGCAUGAAGAAAAUGAGAGACUUUUUGACAGAUUGACUGAAAAAUCGACUUCAGCUGGUUCACUGCAGGUACUGAUUCAUCUUGCAAUUUAAGUUGAAUUUUCCAUCCUUUAAUUUGUUAUUUUGGGGGUGGACUUCUAUGACUGAAUUUUUUUAGCUUGAAUUCCUGCUUCUUGAUACCGAGAUGGAUUUUUGUAGUCAUUGGCUGAUCAUCAAACUAGCUGUUAUUAAUUUAUGUUAGUUUUGAGCUUUAAAUGGGACAGCUAUUUUGAAUGGCUGAAUGCUGCCCCUUUCAGAAAUGGAAGUAAUCUUAGCUGCCUGACAUGCUAUAUCCUAUUCACUGAAAAAUAUUUGGACCUCUGGACAUCUAGUGUUUGCUACUCUUGACGCCAGAAAAUCUUACCUCACCUCAUUGUCCAUCUUUGUUAGGUUUCAAGCCCAUCCCCUGGAGGACAAGAGGUUACAUCUCGUGACAUGGCAAGGUACUUGUCUGAAACUGGUUUUCAGAGUUAUUAUGUAAUUGACUAAGCAUUUUUUGUAACUAAGCUUGUUGAUUCUUGUCAUUUUAAAAAUUUUAACUUUUCCUAAAUUUUCCUGCAGAAAUGAUAAUAAUAAUGUUAAAGGGCGAUCUGUAGCUGUUCCUUCACCUUUGGCCUCAGAUAAGACUGAAGGCACAGUUGCUUUGGUUAAAUCAGGUGUUGAGAAAGUAAAGACCACGCCAGCUGGUGAAUAUCUUACUUCUGCUUUGAACGAUUUUGAUCCUGAACAGUAUGACAGUCUAGCUGCAAUUUCAGAUGGCGCAAAUAAACUUUUGAUGCUGGUAAGAUACAAAUCAUUUUGCCAUGACUGCUGUCUGAAGUGGACUAUGGAGUUGGAGGAUCUUUUACAUUCAAGAUGAUUACUUAAUUGUCAUUGUUGUGAUUACUUUCUAUUGAUUCAAAACCAGUCAGGCAAUUGUAUUGUUCCGGCAGCUAUCUUUUGGGUGUUGUAAAAUGUGUUAUUAAUCCUAACAAAAAUGCUAAAACCUGGGCAAGCAUUUUUAGUAAAAAGAAGAAAGUAUUUGAUAUGCAGUGUUGUUGAUAUGUGACUAUAAUAAGUUUUAAAUCAAGUAUCUUACUAAAUACUCAACCAAUCAUUCCUGGGCCUAUUGGGUCUAAAUACAGAAGGAUGCCUCAGAGAAUGCAUUACUAUUAAGUUAUAAUAGGAGAGGAGGCAAAUCAUGAAUUUUGUUUAAAUUCUUUGGUUCUGCUGGCUUGGAAUGAGUUGUGUUAAGAGAAGCCUUGUUCGAGAUUGUUGGGACGAUGCAGAAAAAAUGGGAAGUUGCUGGAAGGGUGUCCUGUAUCUGGUCUCUUGCUGUGUUCAUCUUCAUACACUCUUGUCUGUCUCUGUAGCUUUUGUUGAAUGCUUAUGAAAGGAGUAUAACAUUGUUUUGCUUUGUGGUCAUGAAUACAAAUUAUUUUUCUAUGAGCAUGCCUGUGACUUGAAAGAUGUGUGUAUUCCCCUGCUUCGUUAGGUUUAGUGUUUAGACACUUCACUAUUUCUGUGUCUUUGCACAUCUGAGGCGCUUGAUGCUGGUCGUCAACAUUUAGUAGUGUGCCUUAGCUUUGGAUUGGCUAUGAUAAGCUAUCAAGUUAAAAGUUUUUAUCUGUUAGCUGAAUUGAGAAGUAUAAUAUUAACCAUGCAGAUGCUGAAGCUGAUAUUGUUGCGACUUUAUAUGCAUUCUUUGAGCGUGAAUUAGAACUGAGUGCAUUGAGAAGCUUUUUGAUGCAUUGAUUGCUCCUUGAUUCUCUUUUUGGAUAUCUUAUUGCAUGUUUUCCUUUCUGAACCCAAUCUUGAUGAUGCAACUCAGUUAUUGUAAUUAUUGUACUGUGGUUUAACUCUCCCAUGAUGUUGAAAACUUUCCUCGGGUUAGUUAUAAUUUGCUGAAUUGUUGUUUGUUUCCAGUAUUUUUCUUUAUCUGCGCUAAUGACUAUACGUUCAACAUUGCAGGUUUUGGCUGCUGUCAUUAAAGCUGGCGCUUCUAGGGAGCAUGAAAUACUGGCAGAAAUACGAGAUGCUGUUUUUGGUUUUAUUCGUAAAAUGGAGCCAAAAAGGGUGAUGGACACCAUGCUGGUUUCUCGGGUUAGAAUUCUGUAUAUCAGAUCUCUGCUUGCUAGGUCACCUGAGCUGCAGUCUAUCAAGGUAUUCAAGAAUUUUGCCUUCACCUUUCAGAAUUCUUACACAAAUGUGCUAGAAUCUGCAUUUUUUUUGAAGGUUUUUCCUGUCUAAUUGUACCAAACUGGUGUUAGGUUCCACCAGUUGAGCGAUUUCUGGAGAAAGCAAAUAGUGGAAGAAGCAGAAGUUCUAGUCGUGGUAGCAGCCCUGGAAGAUCUCCCGUCCGAUAUGAUUCUGGUUCGAGGAAUGCUCUUGUAGAGGAUCAAAUUCAAGGGUUUAAAGUAAAUAUUAAGCCAGAAAAGAAGUCAAAAUUGUCAUCAGUAGUUUUGAAGAUACGCGGUAUUGAUCAGGUGAAUACUAUCUGUUUUUUUUUUGGGUGUUUCUGCUUUUUACUUUGUUCUUAAUUAUGAUCAAUUUUGAUUCCAACUUUUAGUUUUCCUUGUCCAGAAGGGGUAGUAGGAUGUCGGGUUUGGCCUGUAAGUUAUACAGCAUAAUGGUGCCAUUAUGCAUAAAACCUAUGCCUGUGUUUGGGUAGGAGAUUAUUUUGAAAAAAUUAUUUGGAAUAACAGUGUAGCACUUUUUGUGAUGUGAUGUAUGUGAGGUAAAAAGGUGUUUGGAAAUUGUGUUUAUGAUGCAAGCUACAUAACACUUGAAUUAUUUUUUUUUUUGGCAAAUUAUGCUAGCCAAACGGAUGAUUGUGUUGGGUGAAUUGUGACCUUGCACGAUGGUGUCGGGUGAGCAACAGCCGCUUCGUUACAGUACUUACUUAUGGGCUAACAGGUCACACUUUGGCCAAGUAUCCUACAAAGAGACUCCCAAGAGCCAGAAGUAUUAAAGGAAUGGCCAUAGGAAUGGGCGCAUCAUGACAUCAUAAGAUGUCUCGCCUGAAUGAAUUAGUUGGUACUAGAAAUGUUAGAAAAAGUGAAUGAAAAGAGUAAUAAGAAGUAAAAGGGACAGAGACACUUCCCAACCAGAAAGCAAAGUUCCCACUGAUGGUAUACUUUUAUGUGAGGUAAAAAGGUGUUUGUAAAUUGUGUAUAUGAUGCAAGCUGCAUAACACUUGAAUGAUUAUUAUUUUUUUUUGGCAAAUUAUGCUAACCAAACGGAUCCAGUGUGAAUGCUUUGUUAACAUGAUGUAUACUUGGUUUAUGUUUCCACUAGAUCUGACAAUUUUAGUUGGUGUAAGUUCAAAUCAGAAUUCCAUCUGGCACUGUUAUACAUCCUCUUCUUUUGAUUUUGGUAAUGGUGCUUGGCAAUCUUGUCAACUCUGUCUUGCUUUUCUUUUCUAAUUGGAACUGUCAUUGCCAAUUAACCUGUUGGCUUGGUGAAAUGAUGCAUAAACACCUACAGAUACCAAUUGCACAUCCCUUGGGACAUGGUGUGUCGAUAUCUCUUCUCGUGGAAUAGGUGAUAUGCUUCCUGACCAUUGGUGGCCAAAUCUGCCAUCAAGUAGGACCCACAUGAUUAAUUUUGCCAUCAUUUAUUAUACUUUGUAGGCAUUAAAGGCCUCAUCAAAAGGUUAUACUGUCUUUGCUACUGUCCAUAAAUUGCUAAUAAAUAGAAAUUUGGUGCUGCAACUGAUAACAAGACAUCAUAGAGCUAACCUCUCUUACAAAGAUAAAUAUAAUCCUGAUUUCCAUCAAAUGGGGGCUCUAAAGGUUGUUCUCCCGGUGCACCUUUUACAUAGGCUAUGCAUUCUUUAUGCUAUUUAAUUGUUAUGUUUUUGCUUAUGAACACAUUUCAGAUUCAGCUAUUUGCUUAUGAUCCAUGGGCUUGAUUGACAUAAUUGUGCAGGAAACAUGGAGACAACAUGUAACUGGUGGAAAGCUGAGAGAAAUAACUGAAGAAGCCAAAAGUUUUGCUGUUGGAAAUAGGGCUCUUGCAGCGCUUUUUGUUCAUACUCCAGCUGGUGAGUUACAGCGUCAGAUCCGGAAUUGGCUAGCUGAAAACUUUGAUUUUCUCUCUGUGACUGAUGAUACGGUUGGAGGAGCAACUGGUCAGCUAGAGCUUCUUUCUACUGCAAUAAUGGAUGGUUGGAUGGCUGGACUUGGUGCUGCUCAACCUCCUAGUACUGAUGCUCUGGGGCAGCUCUUAUCUGAGUAUGCAAAACGAGUUUAUAAUUCUCAACUGCAGCAUUUGAAGGUGUGUAUUGAGCAAUUUUCUUUGUGUCAAGUCUAUUACCACUAGUUGCUUGCAUUCGAACUCAUGAGAGUUAUGGUUACUCUUAUGAUUCACCGCUAAUUUGUAUCAUCCCUGCACUUUCUUUUGGUUUUUGAGAGUUAUGAUUACUCUUAUGAUCCACUGCUAAUUUGUAUAAUCCCUGCACUUUCUUUUGGUUUUCCUCCCCAUUUCUGAAGUACUUUUCAGAAUCCCAAUGACAAAUUAAUGGACUAAAAGCGAUGACCUAACUGCAUGAGUAAUUUUCCAUUUCCAUUAGUUCUUCUCGCCAUAUAAGUUUGUGACUUGCAUGAGCAAAUGCUCUUUUCAAAGUUACCAGUUCUGUGCCAUGGACAAAGCUGGAUUAUGUUUUUACCACUAUUCUGCCUAUGGUAGCCAACCAAUCUCUUGGUCAGCUCAGCUGUGUCAGUUCCAUUCCUUGGCUUGUAAAAUUUUUCCAUCAUAGUCUAUGAUGAGAAAUUUCCUGUUUUCUCUUGUGGAUGCACCUUUUAAUGGGGUUGCUGCUGUUGAUUGGCAGCUAAGAGUGUUGUUGUUGUUUUUUUUUUUUUGUUAAUAAAUUCCAGUAGAGCAGAAUAAGACCAUGUUGCAUCUCUUCUAAAAUAUUCUUGGUACUUGCUUAUGUAACUUUGAUCCUUGCCAGGAUAUUGCUGGUACCUUGGCAACUGAAAUAGCAGAGGACUCUGCUCAAGUAGCUAAAUUGCGAUCAGCCCUAGAGUCCGUUGAUCACAAGAGAAGAAAGGUAGCAGAAAUUCAAGUUCUGUAAUAUAUAUAUAUAUAAAACCUUACUGAACUACUUAGCUAGUGUUCAGUGAUUAGAAGCAUUUGUUUAUCAAUAAAUUUUGAGAGUAAAAGUUGUACUUAUCCCAUUAAUUUUCGGCUAGAUCUAUACCAAUUUUGACUAUUUUAUGGCAAUUUCGAAGGUGAGUUAACAGAAGGUGGGUCUGUAUUUAAAAAUGACAAUUUCUGGGGAAAAUCUUAUAGAAAAUUAAAAAUUCUGAGGUUUUUUUUUCCUUAUUUUUUCUCCUAUUGCAAAUAAGUAGAUAAACUCUAAAGUCAAUUUCUAAAAUCUAUGGCACCUCUGCAGACUGCAGUUCAUUGUCAAGUUUAUACAAAUCUUAACUGGCUCGUAGUUGUAAAGGAUGCUAAUAAUCUUCCCAAUCACAAUUUUGGCUGAAUUUACAAGCUAUAUGUAAUUGUCCUGUGUUACAGUGCUUAAUUUUCAGUUCCUAAGAACCUAAUUGCUCAAAAGUGAUGUUUCUGAAACUUAUUUUUCUUGUUCAUAUCAUGGGUAGUAUAGUCAUUUCAUUAUUGUUUAUGGUAUCUUCAUUUCAUAUUCUUGUUUUUUCCCGCAUAUAAUCAGUUAGCCAUAGAUUUUAUCCUGCAGAUUGUUUACUGCACUAAAAGAGUUAGGCCCAUCUAAUGCAAUGUUUUGAAUUUGUAGGAUAUUGAGGUUUUACAGUCUCUGGUUCUGAUAUAAAUUGUGCUAGUAUAAUGUUAUUUCAUUUCCAAAUUACGUGAACAUUGUUGGAAAAGAGGGAAAUUUAAAUUGAAAAAUUGAUAGCUUUUAUGUCCCAAGCACCACCUGUUGAGGAAAUGUGGAAGUGUUAGGCCCAUUUCAGAGUGCAAUGUUUUGUUGAAGAGAAUAUAGAAAUUCAUGGUGCCCCAACUUAAUUCUCGCUGCCCGUGUCCGUCAAAUUACUUGUCAGCAUUUAGUCAUGCUAGGUUUGUCUUUCUAUUGUGUUCAUCUAUAACAUGGAGUAUUUGGAUGUUUCUUGAUGUACAAAAUCAACAUUGAAAUUAGAGGACAUUCCUGUUGACCAGAAGAUUAUCCAUCUUGCUUUCUGAUGGGUAGUUUCUACAUAUCAAGCUAUUGAUUGAAGAUUCUUUUUUACAUGAUCAUAUCAGCCUUUUGAUUUAUAAAUUUGGUUCCCAGAGAAACUUCCUUUGUCAUCUAAAAUCUAAGUGACUUGUUUCAUUUGCUAGAUUUUGCAACAAAUGAGAAGUGACAUAGCAUUGGUGACUCUAGGGGACAGUGGUUCACCCAUCAGGAAUCCUUCAACUGCAGCUGAGGAUGCACGACUAGCUUCUUUAGUUUCCCUUGAUGGCAUACUGAAGCAAGUGAAGGUUCUUAAAUUCUUUCUGCCUCUCUCUCUCUCUCUCACACACACACACACGUGUAACAGAUUCAGACAGGCAUGUGCCUCCAGUAUUUAGUGAUGAAAGGCGAGGUUGCAGUGAAUGAAUGAGGUUGCAAGACUAACAGGCUGUGUUUUCACAGGAUAUAAUGAGGCAGUCUUCAGCAGGAAAACUGAGUAAGAGUAAGAAGAGAUCGAUGCUUUCAUCUUUGGAUGAACUUGCAGAUCGAAUGCCUUCUCUACUUGAUAUUGAUCAUCCUUGUGCGCGAAAACACAUUACAGAGGCUCGUAAAGCUGUAGAGGUGCGGUAAAAUUAUAUCUUUCUAGUUACUUCUGGAAGCCCAGCCUUUGAAUUCUGUGGUUUGUAAAUCAUGCCGUGAGGGAACAUGUGAAUUUUUGAUGUGUAGCUUUAAGUAGUUUGGAAGAUGUCUUUGCGAGUAUUUCUGUUCAAAUUCAAACCUCAGUUGGUCUGCAGUUACUCAGCUACAAUAAUUACUUCUUGUCAACCUGAUUUUGAUGUUAGAUUAAAGUCUCUCUCAAACCCCCCAAACCUCUACCACACAAAAAAAAAAAAAAGAAAAAAGAAAAAAUCUGUCUGCUGCUUCCAUACAUGCAUGUGUAUGCAUGUUUUUCCGUUUUAUUUGGGACUGAAGAUUUCUUUUGGUUUGUUUUUCUUUUGAUGUUGAUAUUUGGUUAGAAAAACCGCUUGUUACAUUUGUGUGAGAGUGCCAAAUUAACUUGAUAGCACUCGUUUUCAAGUUUUGUUGGGAUUUCAUCCUUGAUCAGAAGUUGAAGUUUGGGGUAAAUGCUUUUUGUCAUGCGAUUUUUGUUUAUAUGUUUCUUUUGUUUCAUCGACAGUGUGUUGCUGAGGAGGAUGACCAGCUUCAUCAUGCGGCAAAUGCUUCAAAACUUUCAGCAGACAUGGGGUCUGCUGUUGAAACAGAUGUGGGACAGUGGAAUGUUUUGCAGUUCAACACAGGCUCAACAACCCCAUUCAUCAUAAAGUGUGGAGCUAACUCGAGUUCUGAAUUGGUGGUUAAAGCUGAUUCCCGGGUUCAAGAACCCAAGGGCAGCGAGAUAGUUAGAGUUGUUCCAAGACCAACUGUUUUAGAGAACAUGAGCUUGGAGGAAAUGAAAGAGUUAUUCGCUCAACUUCCCGAGUCUCUGAGCUUGCUUGCUCUUGCUAGGACAGCGGAUGGUACUCGAGCUCGGUAUUCUAGAUUGUACAGGACUUUAGCUAUGAAGGUUCCAGCUUUGAGGGACCUAGUAAACGAACUGGAGAAAGGGGGAGUGCUGAAGGAUGUAAAGUCCUGAUUAUCUUUGUGCUGCUGUCUUUCACUACUGUAAAAUGAUUCUGAAGUUUGAAUUUUGAGUGGUAUUUAUUGGAUGACGUCAUUUAAGCCGGUGUUUUUGGUCUAUGGUGUGCGGCUUAUUUGCAUUGAUGGUAAGUUGAUGGAUGUUAAGCCAAUUUUGUGAUUUACAUUAUUGUAAAUAAGUAUUUUAUCUGCUACAUUUUCAAGUUAUUUUCCUCAUUUUUUGGUUCCCUAUGUCGUGCGAAUCACUUAAUAGUUAGUUGAUAAUCCUGCCCGUGUUUGCCACUCCCUCUAACAAAAAUGUCUUCUACGUCUCCUGGAUCCAGACAAUAAUAUGUUUCCUUUAGCCUGCUGUCGAGGAAGCAGCAUAAGCAAGAACAUUUUUCAAGAAACAAAAUGAUAAUUCACAAGGUUAUGAACCAAUACUUCUAAUGACUAAUUUGAUUACCCCGCAGUUGAGCCUAAUCUGCCCGCCUUCCCCCGUGAGUGGGGCUGAGGCUGGCCAUCUUUACCAUAGCACACGCGAAAUCAUUCAAGAGCGUCAGAGCUUAUGGUAGUAAUGAAAAUAUGAAACUUUUGCAAACACUUAACAGUAGUAAUGAAAAAAAGGUCAGGAUGGAUUGUCGUAGUAGAAAAAAUAUUUUAAAAGGUGUGAUUUGGGUAACAUCUUGAAAUAAAUUUUGGUAAUAAAAAAAAAAAGAGAGAGAGUUAUUAUGGUGAAAAAUAUGCUUGGAGACUAUUAUCUUAAAUGAUUCUCAGUCAUCUCAUUGAUUUUGGGGACAAUACUAAGAAGGCACAAAAAUGCUUUGCUGAUCAAAGGCUUUGUUCUAAAUAACACAGGCUUAGGGGUUUCCUGCUCUUCAAGCAUAAGUAGUCCUUCCUCAUCUGAUGAUAUAAUUAAAUAGUUUCAAAAUUAUUAAAACCAAUAAACCGCAAAAUUCAUAAAUUUAAGAACAUUUAUAGACAUGAUCUUCCACAUUUUAAAGAUAUUUAAUCAAGUUAAGUACUUCUUGUCACACAGAUGGAAUUGAUUUUUAGUUCACGCAAUUACCUAAACAAACUCACAAAACCCUAAAAUCUAAUGGUCAACAGCUAUUUGAUUACAAACAUAAUGUUUAAGUAUUUCCGAAACUUAGCAAUUAAGUGAUUAAAAUUUUCGACUACAUGCCUAAUUAAAAAUGUUCUGUCCAAACAAAACAAGUACACUUUAUUUCCUAGACUAUUCAGCUUUUGGUACUUUACUAGGCAUAUGGCCACAAAAAUGUACGUCUCUUAACCCUAAUAAUAAGUUUUGUAAUUUAAUAAGUAGGUUAGUUUCACCGUUUAAGAAAAAUAAAAAAAAGUAGGCUAUUUUCAGACUUUAAGGUAUUCUAAGUUGAAGUAUUAAUUCAAAGGCUCUCUCUAAUUGUUAUUUUCUUUAUUGCAAAGAGUGCUAUGAACUAGAAUGGCAAUAUUCAGAUAGAAAUGAAUUUUGAUUUACAAAAUUAAAAGUGUAGAAGAUUUUUUUUUAAAAAAAAAAUUUGAUUAUAGACAUAUCACAGUUUACAAGAUUAAAAAAAAUGAAGAUUGACUUUAAAGGAAGAAAAUUAGUAACUUAGAAAUUGAUCUAGCCUUUUAAUUGGCAAGAAGCUUUAGUAAUUUGCUAAGGAGAAAAAAAUAUUAUUAAUAACUUUGCAAUGAAGUAGUAUUUUUCCUGUCUAUGAGCUAUUAUAUAGUUUCUAAGAAUAAAACAAUGUAUUUUUUAAACCUCAAUUAUCAACAAUUGCUAAUUUAACUCCAAGUUGCAAGUAGCCCAAGUUUCAAUGACAUAUCCACCAUUUUUUUUUGCCAAUAAUAGCUUAAAGUUCCUAUUUUUCUUUAAAAAAAUCCGAUAAGGGAAAUUCAUACAUAUUUACCUUUUUAAAAUUCUUUUCCUAAAUACAUUGCAGUGCCUUUUAAAAAAAAAAUUUCUUCUUUAUUGUUCUCGUUUUGAAUUAAAUUCCAUAAACCCCUUCCUUGAUCUUGUGCUCCUUGCUUCUGGGGUUUUACCUUGCCUAUACAUUCCUUCCCUUUAUUCCCACUCCGAUUCUUUGCGAAAAAUCUUGAAACAAGCUGGAUUAGAUUCUCUCUCGUCAAGUAAAAUGAUGGGCUCUUCUUCAUCUUCUUCUUCCUUAACAUGUAAAAGAUUAACAAUAUUGACAAUAUUAGCAGUUGUAAUGCAAAUUACUGGAUUAUUUCUCUUCGUUAUAGGCUUCUUCCCAGUAAAAACCACUCUCUCAGGGGCCAGGUAACCUUCCAGUUUUCCCGCUUGAUUCAUUUUAGUUCUGUUCUUCAUCCUGUAUCAAGGAUUGUCCCUUUUCAUUUUUAUUCUUGUUUGUUUACAUCUUUUCUUUUAACGAAAAUUUCAGUGGUUUGGAGAGUUUUUAUCCACCUGGGUUCGAUUCAAGUGAUGAUAGAAAUGCUAGUACAACUUUACCUCCUCGUCAGCUUAAAUCUCUAUAUCAGGUGACUACCACUGUUUACCCUGUUCUUUACUCUCUUUUUUUUUUCUUUUAAAUUUGGAUUUUCAAAUUUGUUGCAAUUGGGAUAUUUAGUAGCUUAAGACUGGUAAUGUGCUUCAUUGUUGGUUAGGAUGAUAAUUGUUGAAAGCUUUUUUGGGACCCUGGUGAAAAGAGAAACUAAUUGUUAUUAAGUCUAUUCAUCAUUUACAGCACACUGGAAUAUGGAAAAGAAAAUACUCACUUAAUUUUUGCUAUAUAUUUUCUUCUCAUUUUAGCUAUUAAAGUUUAUGUCUUCAUGCAAAGUGGGUUAUUUUUGUCUUCCUUUACAGCAACUAUCUGGUGUACCGCCUUUGUUUGACCGGCUAAUACUAAUGGUACGCUGCUCAAUUUGUGUAAAAAUUGCUUCUGCUGAAUUAGUUUCGUAAGGGAGAACCCUGUUUGUUGUGAUGUUUGUUCUAGGUCAUUGAUGGUCUGCCAGCUGAGUUUGUGCUUGGGAAGGAUGGCAAGCCUCCUCCUAAGGUUUAUAUGGAAGCUAUGCCAUAUACACAAUCAUUAUUGGCUAAGGGAAAGGCAAUUGGAUACCAUGCUAGGGCUGCUCCUCCUACCGUGACAAUGCCUCGCUUGAAGGUUUGUAAACUGGUUAUUUUGGUGAAAUUUGAAGCUGCUAUUUGUGUGGUCUGACUGUUCUUAGUCCUGCUUUUGUGUAUAGUAGGCCAUGGUUUCUGGUGCAAUUGGAGGAUAUCUGGAUGUUGCUCUCAAUUUCAACACACAAGCCUUUCUAGAUGAUAAUCUUAUUGGUCAGUGGUUAUCCUUGCUAAAGUGAACUCACUAAUUAUAUGAGUGUUUUAGCAACUUUUGCAAUUUUCGUCCAUCUCUUUUUCAGAACAAUUUUCUAGAAUUGGCUGGAAAAUGGUAAUGCUGGGUGAUGACACAUGGCUUAAGCUGUUUCCUGGGAUGUUCACAAGGCAUGACGGUGUUAGCAGUUUCUUUGUGAGCCUCUUUUGCUUUCACAAUUUAAAGCAUUUUACUUCAUUAUGUUUUAGUUUUUCUGCCUUUCUGGUAUCUGUAUUUUGAUUUACACAUGCACUUUUGGUUGACUGCCUUUAAUAUAGUACCUUUCUAGAAUGUUCAACUUGUAUUCACCAGAACAAUGAGGUGAAGAUUUUAUAGAUUUAACACUUUGUCUAAAUGCAUUUUAAUUACUGAACAUAUUGGAAAUUCUGUUUUGUGCUAUUCCUUGUAUCAGAGGAAUAACAAGUGAAGUGGCAAUGGAAUUACAUAUUUUGCAAGAGCUGUUCCACUAAAGUAGGAACUCUGCAAGAAAUACUUUUUGUUAAUGUGCAAUGCUGAGGGAAAGUUUUGUUUAUCUUGUUUUUUUAUGCAAUCAUAGCAGAUAUUACUGAGAAACAUAAACAUCCUUGUAACAAUUACUCUGAGAAAAUAUUCUAUAGGCUAAUAUCUGUCAUUUGUAAGCUUUUUUCUUGUGAAUAGAGUACUCUCUGUAUAAUGUCUCUGAUCUGUUGCUUGAUUCCUGUGUUGUUCAAACUUGUAAACAUUAUACUGCAUACAUUAAUUCAAACAAAACUAGAAAAAACAAAAAAUCAAGAAAAUUACUAGCUUCAGCUUUGGCUUCUAGUCAAAAACUACAAAGGCAUUGAGUGUGCAAAACUGUGAGCUAUUUCUUGCUAGUUUCUUACUUAGUUUCAGUUACGUGAACUUAGAAAAUAGUUGCUUUGCUUCAAAGGAAUGUGUGCAAAAUACACAUUGAGUGCUUCUGCCUCCUCAUAAGAGGCAUCUUUAUUUUCUUUGGUCUAUAGAUGGGAACUUUUCUACCCUCUGAGCUAGUUGGAUAAAAUCAUUUCCUAUUAGAAUAGAAAAAGUAAGUGAAGAAACAACUUAAUAUUUUGAAGCAGAUCUGCAUCUGAUAUUGAUACAAUAAAAUUCAGAAGUCAGAAAAACAGAGGGGAAAGAGAAGCUGAAAAUAGAUGCUUGUAAAACUUAAACGUAUAUAAUUUUUGUCUGCAGCAUGAAAUCAGAAAAUUAAUAGGGGAGCCAACAAGAUUUUGACACGCCUAGAAGACAGUAAACUUUUUUUUGCAUGGUUUGCAGUAACAAUCUUCUUCAAUAGGAAAACUCCAUUUUUUGGAAGCAGGGUGUAUGAUAGUUCCUUUAGCAUGCUCCUCUCUGAGCACUAUUUUAUUUGGUUCUGAUAUUCUUGAUGCAGGUUAAAGACACUGUGCAAGUGGAUCACAAUGUUUCUCGCCAUCUGAAUGUUGAGCUCAACAGGACAGACUGGAAUCUUCUGGUAUUUGCUUAAUAGUUCAUAUUUGGAUGUUUAUUACGGUACUAGCUAGAGUUUGUAUGCAUCCAUAGCCUAUAUGAUGAUUCAGUGUCUGUGAAUGUUUGCGGAAAGGUUGAGCCUUUACUUUCUGGCUGAAUGCCUACCUUGGUGAAGCAGUUUGGCUUUUACUCCUUUGUUCCCUGCCCCUUUUUCUUUACAAUUUUAUGAUUCUUAUUUAGGUCUAAACUAUGUGCUGGGAUCCCCUUUUCUUUACAAUUAGGUCUAAACUAUGUGCUUGGAUCCCCUUUUUUGGUGCUUACUAUGCAGAUUCUUCAUUUUCUUGGUUUGGAUCAUGUUGGACACAUUGGAGGUCGCAAUAGGUAGGUUUGUGCUUCUUUUGCUGUUAUUUCAGUGAAGAAGAUCUAGCCUUAUCCAUUGAUGUCAAUCACCUGAUGAUUUCAGUUUGUUGAUGGGACCAAAACUCAAGGAGAUGGAUGAAGUGAUUAAAAUGAUUGAUUUGACUACUCUAAAAAGUCAAAAAUACAAUCAAGGAAGGACACUUCUGGUUGGUGCUGCUUCAUUCUAAUGGUAGUGCUGGUAUCCUAUUGUUGUUACCGCGCUCAUUCCUCUGAUAGAGUUUCUUGGGAAGUGGGUUUCUAGUCUAAUUCCUGUUGCUUAGACAUUAUUUGACUUUUACUUUUAAUAUCUUAUUUUAAUUUGGAUAUACAUGGGCUGUUAUGCUUGCGAAUUAUAACAAUCCAGUGGACUCCUCUGUUUAAGAUUUACUUCAUUAACUUUUUAAGGUGUUUGAGUUUGUUUCUGGGAUGGAGUUAUUUGAUCUCAAUAAUCCUUGUAUUCAACUUUUAAGAGAUUGCCUUUAGGUUGACAGCAAUUUGACUGUGAGAAAUGACACUAUGUAUGAUAUCAAAUAAAGUAUUGAAAUUGUAAUUUUAUCCAAUGUUUUAAGAAUUGCAUGGUAAUAGUAGGUUUCUAAUGAGAUUGAGUGUUCAAUAAAAUGCCUAUUGUUGGAAUACCAAAUAUGUUUCAUAGCUGCAGUGAUGAUAGCUAUGAUUCUACUAACUUGUCUUGUAAUAGACUUGCAUUAUUAAGAAAAGUACUUGGGAAUAUGUUGUGAUUUAGUUUGUUUUUUGAUUUUUGUAAUUGCAGGUGGUUGUAAGUGAUCAUGGCAUGACAGAAAAUGGCAAUCAUGGGGGAUCAUCCUAUGAGGAAAUUGACUCUUUGGCACUCUUUAUUGGGCUGGGAGAAUUUACUAAUUCCUCAACAACCAAUAACAUAGCCAACCAGGUUGGGCUCUGAAUAUUUCUUGCAAUUGAUGUUUAUCCAGAUUUCCACUGUAUGGGCGUCAUUUAUCCCUUUUCAUAUUUGUCUUUUUUUCAAAUUCCUUUUACAGCUGCUUGGUUGAGCAACGAAUGGAUAUGUUUCACAAAAUAUUGCUACAUAAAGGGGCUUAGUUUUGGUUUUAUCGAUAUCUUCAUUCUGGCAUAUAUUCCAAGCAUGUUUCAAUAAACAAUCAGGGGCAACCCCUGAGAUGUUUUUUUGAAUCAUAAGGAGGACAGUUUAUCAUUUUUUAAAAUUUUAAUCAGAUAAGAAGUUUUUUUGUUUGUUGUGUUCUUCAUGGAUUUGUUGUUUCUUUAUGUGGAAUGAUUUGAUUGCGUAUAUUCUCUAUCUCUCUCUCUAAAUGAUACUUUUGGCAUCCAGAAAAUUGCAUUAUGGAUUUUGGUACAGCGUUCUAUGUUUUUUCUGCUUGCAUGCUCAAAAUAUGUUGAGAAGAUAGUUUAUAAAUGAUAUAGGCAUUUUAUGUUUUUCCUGAUUCCGUGCUCAAAAUAUGUUGAGAAAGCUUCUUGAAGUAGGCCAUUUGCAUUAUAAUGGAUAAUCAAUUAGUAUUGAUGUUCUUCUUUAUCAUGCCAAUCGAAGUUGUAAAUUUCUCUUGAACUGAAUAGGCUGCAUGCCUAGAUGUUUGCAUGUCUUGUUUUGGUGCUGUUUGCUAUCAUCAUCUAUCACAAGGGCCCCAAACAAGAUUUAGUUAUUCUCUCAGGGCAUUAGAUUAGGCUCUUUUGAAAAUGUUUGCCAUCUUGGGAAAGACAGUUCAUAUGGGUAGCAUUGGCUGCAACAUUUGACAACAUUAACUGCCUCCAAGGCUGAUUGACCUAGCAGUUUGAUACUGUUAUACUUUUGAAUUUUGAAGGCUGCCAUUGUAAUCAUCACAAUGCAUUUUAAUGUUUGGUUUAGUGCUAUCUUUGCUAUUGGAAUCUAGAUGACUGCUAUAGGAUGGGAGCUAAGAUAGUAGUCUAAAUGAAAGAACAUUAGGGAGUUUUUGGACAGCAAAUCUGUUAUUUUCCAAAUUAUAAUGAGUGAUUCUAUAUAUAUAUAUAUAUAUAUAUAUAAAAGUAAAUUUCAGUUCUUGAACAAAAUUACUUAUAUAAUUAUAUUUUGAGAAGAAAGUUUAGAGGAUCUAUUGGUUUAUUCCUUGGCUGUGCUUUCUUAUUUUCUUUCUUUUUCUCCAAUUUCGUUCAAUUGAAAAAUGUUUCUGCCAUCUACCUGGCAUUUCCAAGUUAUAAAGUACAUCAUUGAGCAAUGUAAAUGGUGAGCGCCAAAUGAAGCACCAUUUUCUGUCUCAGUUUUUCAAACAAAUGUUGUAACACAAAAAGGAAUGAUGAUCCAUAUUGGUGAAACGACAUAACAAGAGAUAGAGUUGCAUGGUGGCCUAUGUCUUGCUUGCAAUCAAAGACAGCAAACAUAUGUAGCUGUCACAUGAUAAAUAUAAUUCAGUUUAGAAGUGUAUAUCUUCCUCAUCUGGGACAAGGAUGAUUGUGGAUUGACUGUAAUCCUACAAGGGAAUAGCAACUGAAGAGACAACAAUUUGUCAGAUUUGUGAACAUAUGCCUGUAUUCUGUCAGAGCAUCCUUUUGGCUAUAUUUGUAUUUUAUAUAAUUUCAGUGGGUAGUGAAGUAUGUGCGUGUGUAUGUCUUAUUAUUGUUUCUGUGGUCCCUCAAUCUUUGUUUUGUUUUCUUGUAAGACAGGUUGACAUUGCUCCAACAUUAGCUCUACUUUAUGGAGUCCCAAUACCAAAGAACAAUGUUGGCAUCGUUAUGGUGGAAGUUUUCAAGUUAUUGACAGGUUUAACCAUGUCAAAUUUUUCUUCCAUUUCUGUUGGAAAGCUACUGGAUCAGAUGUUUGCUUUUAAAGUCUAAUAAUGACAUUGGAUUGAAAGAUCAACAGGUUUCUGUUUGAAGAAGUGCCUGCAAUUUAACUGUUCUAUAAACAUCUAAUUAACUCAAGUAGCACAAAAUGUACAAAUGGUUAACAUAGCCGUUCAGAGUGCUAUGGUAGAAAUAAUCUAUGCCAAAUACACCAAAUGAAAUUAGUCAAUGGGAUUUUUGCCUCUUAUGUUGGAAAGUACUUACUGUUUGCUAAAAGCAUGUAGAGUAAAGCCUUGUCAAGUUACAUUAACAUAUGUUUUACAAUCUGGAAAACUGCAAAUUCUACAAGAAGCACGUGGGAUUUUGUAAAUUCUGCAAAUUUUACAGCCUUGUCAGUGGGAUUUUUGCCUCUUAUGUUGGAAAGUACUUACUGUUUGCUAAAAGCAUGUAGAGUACAGCCUUGUCAAGUUACAUUAACGUAUGUUUUAUAAUCUGGAAAGCUGCAAAUUCUACAAGAAGCACGUGGGUUGGUGCAUGCAGUGCUGUGUGUCAGUGUGAAAAUCUUUACAUUGUUUUGGUUUAUUCUUAUUCGAGUAGGAUGCCAAUUUUCUGAACUUCUAUCGGUUGCCUGGCCUAGGUACUUCUUUACAUUGUAUGAAUUUCCUGGACUGACUAGGAUAAGUAGAGUGGUGAUGAUUUGAGAAGUUUCAUUUCCUCGUCUCAAUAGACAGCAUAUGCAAAUGGAUUUACAUGCUUUGAAAGUUCAAGCUAAUCUUUUUCUUGUUCUGGGUGUGCUGUAUUUCAUUUGGUAACAUGGUUCUGUAAUAUUGCAGAUGAUGAACGGCUGAGGCUAAUGGAGUUAAAUGCCUGGCAGUUGCUCCAAUUACUUCAGGCUCAAUUGCCUGGUUUAGAGUGUGAAAUUUCCAAAUGCAAUGUCCAUAGAGAUGGUAAUGGAUCUGAGAUCAGACAAGACUAUAGCACUGUAGAGGAGAUGUUUUGUUGUCUAUAUUUACAUGCGGCAACUGUCCACAAAUCCAUGAGAUCUGAGUAAGCCUUUAGGUGAUGGAUUUUCACAUCUCUGUAAAAUGCUGAACUACUGCUUAAUUACAUAAUUCUUUUUUCCAGUUCACCUGGGGGAGAUGAAUACGGUAGUACCUUUUUGGCUUACCGUGAAUUUCUGAAAACAGCAGGCCAAUGGCUAUCUCGCAGAGCAACUGACGUAAGUCUAGGAAUAAAUACUAUUGUUCCAUAGGAUGGUUUACCUGUUGACUUGAGUUGAUGUUCUAGGUGAAAGUUGAAUAGUCAUAGCCAUUAUGCUCCAACAAACAUUUUGGUUGUAAUUAGGAUUGUAGGUAUACCAAUCAGUGCAGCCAAAUGGGUGCGGAGAGAGAGAGAGAGAGAGCAAUAGUAAAUUGCUGAACGUUCAGUUCUCUCCUUCACUUCUUCAAUGAUUUUUAGGACUAACAUGUUGUCUUUCAUCCUUACAGAGACCUCUCAGUCUACUUGCUUGUGGAUUUGCAGCCAUGCUCGUGUCUUGUUCAAUAAUAAUGGGCCUUCUUUUCUUCCUUAUCCGUGAAACCUAUAUCAAGGAAAGGGAGCUUCAUUCUCACGCGUGGCAGUUGGAUAAGACUUUUACACUGGCUAUAAUUUGUAUCCUUAUGCUAAGUAUGGGAUCUAGUUCGAUGGUAGAAGAAGAACAAUAUAUAUGGCAUUUUCUGACAUCUUCAAUUUUUUUGGUGUUACUCCGAAAAACUCUGCAGUCCAUCACAUUAGGAUUUGGGGUACUGCAAAACUCUUCAACUGUAAUUAAGGAACAAAGGGAAAGAGGUCUUCUUCAAAUUUUUUCUGUUAUUGUAGUUCUUGUUUCUGGAAGAAUUUUAAGAGGCUGGCAUCAAGGUGGUGUCAAUUGGGCUCAUCUUCCUGAUAUGGCAAAAUGGCUUGAGCAGGCAGGAAGCGGUUAUACAAAUGCGCUGCAGCUGACAUCUGGUGUCUUACUUAUCAGUGCAAAUAUUUUUACUCUUCUUUUUUCGUUACGAUCAAAGAGAACUUUUGCUGUGGUGAUACUUAUGAUCAAUUUGUGCCCAUCUUUGAUGAUUGUGUACCUUAUGAUUAUACAUCAAGGUAGCACAUUAGGGACAACUGGUUUUGGUGCCACCAAAAUGGUUCAAAGAUUCUAUGCAAUUUUGGGCAUUUCUACACUUGGGACUGUUGUUUCUGUACCAAUGUUUAUGCUUUUACAGAAUUCUAAUAGCCCAGUAAAUGAUUUCACCUUAUGCCGUGAUAUCUCUUCUGAAUUUAGAAGGAAUCUCUUGCUUCAAGGGAUGAAAGAUUCUACCUUUAUAACUGGCUGGAGUUUCAUAUUCAGCUGGUGUCUUCUGCAGCUGUUGCUGCAACAACCUGUGAAUUCAAUGCCUUUAUUGUUACUAUUCAUUCAAAUCCUUGCUACCAUGUGGUAUUCUUCUGAUGGUGAUGCCCAGUUUAUUGAGGUGAGUCAUGAUGCCAAAGUUUCUGCCCAAUUUUCUUACUUCUACCCACCCCCUAUCAACAAUCAUGAAAGUAGUAAAAGAGUUGGCAUGAGUUUAAAGUUAAUUGUCUUGAAAAGUAUGAACCUGCAACAAUGCAGCUAAGGAAUUUUGGUUUGUUUUCUGUAGUUUGUUGAAAUAACAUCACCGUGUAUUUCUAUACAUUUAGCUGAAGCACUGCUUAACGGUUCCUUGUUGAUAUUAAAUGAAACUGAUGUUAGAUGUGCAAUUAAUUGAAUAUUUUUUGAACAUUCAGGUGGCUGCACUAUACUAUUUGGGAAUGGCGGGCCAUUUUGGUCUUGGUAACACCAACAAUCUCGCUACAAUUGAUGUUGCUGGUGCUUUUACUGUACUUCUUCUCCCCUGAAAAGCUUUUUGAUUUCAUGCUGAUGCCUAAAGUUAUUCUAUUAGUCUCUGAGGUUUUUUAACUUUUUUUUUUUGGCUACAUCUUCAGUGACAUUGAUUUCAAUAUUGACAGGGUGUCUCAAGCCAGUCCACCUUACUUUCUGGCAUCUUAAUGUUCAUGAUCACAUAUGCUUCCCCGAUAUUUGCUCUUCUUAGCAUGGUGCUAUAUAUAUCUGUGAAGGACAUAGGUGGUGACAUAGAAGCCAAGGAAGUAGAUAUUGGAGAUCUGCUAAAGAGGAAUCUCAGCUUUCCUUGUCUAGUUCCGCUGGGUAUAAAUUCCAUGUUGCUGAUUGCAUACACCGUCGUCUUGCUACUAAUGAGAAAUCAUCUCUUCAUUUGGAGCGUCUUUUCUCCAAAGUAAGUCAUACUGAGCCAAUAAUGCCUAUGCAGUAUACCUAGACCACGUUCCCCACCCUAACUGUAGAUUGAGCUCUGGCAGUUGGAAAGAAUUUUGCUGUGUCCCAAGAAACAAAUGAUCUUGUUAUGCUUCAGAUUUCUUUACUGUUUAUAAAAAAGAAUGAAUGGCAUCUGACAACAUGCAUCUGCACAGAAGGAAAGAAGCUCAAUUUUGUUCUAAAGCUCAAUGUCGUUCUAAUCAUAGGCGGAUUAACCAGAUGGAUAGUUGCCCAAAAAAAUCAGAAUCAUGAUUUUCCAGUUCCCUAACAUCCCUUUCUUUGUGCAAAAUAAAUGUCUUCAUCAAUUCAAUCCCAGAUUCUCUUCCAGAAUCUGAACGCCACACAGUUCUUCCACAGAAAUUCUAAGGGUCUUGUGCCACUUGCUGGAGUCCAUUGCUUUCAAUAAGCACAAAUUGUAAUUUCGAAGCAUUCACCGCACUAAUCAAAUUGAUAGCAUCUAAUGGGUCCACAUGCACAGAGAAAAAGGGCAAAAGGCUAGCUCAUCUAAAAUAUUUCCAAGUGGACUUCUUGAUUAGUCAUGGAAUGAUAGAAUUCUUGUUCGCAUGCCUUUUUCCCCCGUUUUGGGUGAAAGUCGUCAUUUCUUUAGCGAGCUUAUCCUCUGAGCUUAAUUUCUCCAACUGUUUUAGCUAGCUAAGGUCUUAAUGUAUUCCAUUAAUAAUCUCUUGGUUCCUGAGAUAUCAUAAACUUAACGAGUACAUCAAAGCAGGAUACGAUAACUGAAAAAUUGCGAUCUUAGAAUGCUCUAGAUUUGAUAGAUGGAAAGAGAGUUUGUAAAUUAGUUAUGGUCCACUACUCUACAUUUCAUUAUCUUGCAUGCUGUUGUAAUUGAAUGACUCAUCUUGCUUCUCCAGGUACCUGUAUGUCUGCGCCACUACCAUCUGUAUCUUUCUGGGUGUAUCUAUUGUGGCCUCAGCAGUGGUAUAUUCUUUUGGGGUUCUUGCCUUGCGAAGAAGUUGAAGACACAUGCUGAUUUUGACUUGAAAGAGAGUGUGUUCGGGCAGUAAAUCUAACUUAGGAUGUUCGCCAACAGAUUUUAUCAGAUGGUUAAGAUUUCUUGCUUACUGCUCUCGUGCUAUGAGCAAAUAGAGCAGUGCAUCUAGAAUGCAAUUCUUCAUUUCAUUUGAAAGAUUGAUCAAAUGGCAGUUUUGUAAACAUUAUUUGAUUCUGUAGUCUAGUAAAUUCUGAACAUCAGUGAUUGUAGUAAAUUCGGUGAUUUUUCCUGUGGAGAAAAUAUGAUUACACAAUAAUGGUAUUUUCUCAUUGACACCCUCACCCUUAUGACAGGGACCCAAAAUGGUUCUACCAUGCAGUUUACCUAAAACUGCAAGUCCUAUUGUUGCUCAUUCAGUCUGAGAAUUGAUGAACUAAGCCAAAUGCUGAUUACUGUGGAUUAGUCUGUAAUUUACAUAUUAGACAGACUCGUGCAAUUGUCAAAGCAAAAAAGUCUUGGUCCUAAAGACCCUUCUUGCUAGUUGCCUGUAUCCAGCAGCCACGGCUAAACUCUCAAGACUGAACCGAAAGACCCAAUAAAAUCAGACAUUUAUUGGGCUAUGGCAGCAGAACUCAAUUUGUGUACAAACAAAAGCAGAAAAACCUACGAAUGAGUUAAAAUAAGGUUUUGGUUUUAAAUGAUGUUUUGGUUUUAAGCCAAGGUUUUGAUACUUGUCACUUCUCUUUUGUCAAUAGGUAGGACAAUCGUGUGUCUCAUAAGCUGGCAAAAUUUGCCACAAGCUUGCAUGACGAAAUCAGUUGGAAGGAUUCCUUUCCAAUUUGGCUUACUAGUUUAGCCAAAAAUGAUGUAAGAGCUGUUGCUCCAACUCUGUAAUUUCUACUCUCUCUUGACCUUUUCUAACCGAAGUUAGAGUUACGACUUUUACAAACCUAAAUCCCAGAAGAACCUCCAAAAGCCGGCAACUUUUGGAGGCCUCCCAGGAGACUUAUAACUACCCAACCCAAUCCCCCCAGAACCGAUGUGGGAUGGCAACCCCACAAGGGCAAGUCAGUAGGCCGGCCGCUGCUAAGAGAUGAAGACCCCCCACCAAACCCAGUAUGCUACCCUUGCAGGAAUUUAUCUCUUGACCUUUUCUAUCCGGUUAUAAAAUUUGUUAUCGUUUGGAAAAAAAAAAAGGUUAAAAUAAGGUUGGAGGGUCCCUUUCUUGUAUACUGACUAGUAUCCUCCUGUUCCUAAUCCCACGAGAGAAAUAGGUAGCCAAGAACAGCUGUACCCGACAGAGUGGUUUCAGAAUAUGCCUCCAGCUACUAUUUCUUCCACUGUUAUUCGUCCAUCACCCUGAAUAUGCUGUACAAGCCUGAAUAUUCGUACACAAGUUGCUCACGUCCAAAUUCCUGCUACAUUUUAUGUACGAGGAAAUAUGCAGGAGAAGGGGCAGAAAUAAUUGUCACGAUCGAUAAUAAUCCCAUGCAGUCAAAUAAUUCUAGUGAUCAGCAACUCUAGUAGAAGUUAACAUGAUGAAGGCUUAAUUGCUCUAUAUUGAUAAUUUCAAUUUGUUAUUCCCAAUUUUGUUAUUGGGAAUGAUGAAAGAUUCAGCCUCCAGAACGGAUUCACUGUCAUAUGACUGAUCCGCGAUUAUUAGCUUCAUGUAGGCGAUAACCAUCUCGAGAAAAUUACUUCACUGUUGUGGAGCGGAAAACUAUGUUCGUAUUCCACGUCUUCUUGGCAAAGUAGAAGGGGAUAUUGGUUUUCAACCCGUAAAUAAUCACUAAGAAUAGAUAAGCACCUAAAACUGCUCCAUGGAUAAACUUUUUCUGGUAAGGAAUCAGAGUUACGGUCCCUGUUUGCACACAUUACUCAGCUGUUACAAUCUCUAGCUCGACAUAUUUUUCAUGGCCGCCACCGCUAUUUCUACUGCUGAAGUUGUUGCCUCUGCCCAAUUCCAAAACUUCGAUGUUUUAGUGUUUUACCCACCAUUAAUCCUCAACUUACCACUCAAAAGUUACCAUGGCCAAGCCACCCUCAUGAUGGCCUUCACUUGUGGCAAUUCAUGGUUUCCGGCUCCGCCCAUGGCGUGUUAGAACACAUGGCCAUGUUCCCCGCAGACACUGUUAAGACCAGAAUGCAAGCUAUCGGCUCUUGCCCCAUGAGAUACGCUAGUAUUAGUCAGGCUGUUCAGUCAAUUAUCAAAUAUGAAGCCCCAGCCGGACUUUGCCGUGGGAUUGCAGCUAUGAGCCUCAGUGCCGGCCCGCCAAGCUGUUUAUUUUGCCGUUUAUGAAACUUGCAAGAAAGCUUUGUCCCAUGGGAAAAGAAUAAUCCCCUAGCACACACGGCCUUGGGUUGAGGGAGGAGGAAAGGAGGAAAGGGAAGAGGGAAGGGGCAGAGGAAGUGGGUGGUGGUGUUAGGUGGAAGGAGAAAAUGUGGUAGAUUUUUUUUUUUUUUUUGUAUAUAUUUGUGAGUAUUUUUGAGAUAUUGUAUUGAUUGUGUUUUUGGAGUUAUUUUUUGUUUGUCUAUUACUGUAACAUUGCAUUUAAAAAACUAGUUUAUAAAAAACAGGGGAAUCCAAACAAGGCGAAGAUUAUUUUGUAUUCGUAUUGUGACACAGGAAAGGCCACAAAAGUUGUAUUACUAGUAACUCUUGAUGCAAUAUCGUAUUGCUCCUCCCUGAGCCGCCUGGUUUCUUUUCUCGUUCUACGCGCGGUCUUCUCUACUUCAGGGUCGAAAAUUAAUUCGCAUGUACGAGAAGAGCGAGGCAUAAACUAGAAAAAUACCAGAAAAAAAAAUGAACUUAAAAAGAAACAAAUGAUUAACGCCAGUCCCCGGCAACGGCGCCAAAAAUUGACAGGUGUCGAGCCUGUGCAAUAAUAAAUACCUACUCGAGAAAAAUGAAUUUUUUGUGUAUAGUAGUGAGUAGGGUCGAAUCCACAGGGACUGGGAAAAAUUCGAUUCUUUUCAAGUUCGGGACACGGGGGAUUUUUAUCAGAAAUAAACUAAAAAUAAUUAAAUAAUUUAACCAAAAAUAAAUAAUUAAUUAAUACAAUUGUAAAUAGCAAUUAAAUAAAUGAUAAAUAAAUUCUAGCCAAGGAUACAACUACGCAGACACAGUCCAUUCAUCCGAUCAUUGAUGCAAAGAAGGUUCACUUAAUUUUAUUAACAGGUUAGUUAUAGUCGCCGAUAAACUCUAACGACCAGCUUUUCCUUAAUUUAUUGAUAACCAAGGUACGACCGUUGAUUACCCCUAACCAGGAAAUACUCCUAGGUACGACCGUAGGAAUUAAUUUCCUAAUUGCAUUAAAAACUAGAAAAGCCUAACCCAAAUUAAUAACACGCUACGAGGGUUAUUUAAAUCAGAUUGCAUGUCCCCCUAGUAUGUGAAAAUACUAGUUGUCACUAAUAUUAAUCAACUAAACAAUUACGGAUUUAAUUGAUUAAUUUGACAAGAGAUUAAUAAGUCAAAUUGCACAUCGGGCCCUUGAUAUCCAAUUAACAAAAUAAUCCCAUGGAAAUUAAAAUAGAAAACAUGCAAAUAUUAAUAAAUUAAGGAACACGUAAAAUUAAUUAGAUCUCACAGAUAUUUGGGACUGCGUCUUCGCGUUGAUCCUUGACUAGAGGAGAAAAUUAGCCACGCCUCAUAAGAAAAUUCCCACGCAAUUUAAAUGGAAUCAAAUACAUAAAUAACUAACUAAGAAUUUAGGAAGAAACUUGAGUCUCGCUAAACUCUUUUAAGAAAAGUUGCACACCACACAACAAGAGAAGGAAGAACUCCUCCUCUGAAAACCAAAAACUACCUCUAUCCUCCUACGGAGCUUCUCUGGAGAGAAAACUCCAAAACUAGUCUAAUGUCUUAUGAAAAACUAUCGUCUAAUGCCUUUCCCUUAUUUUAUUUUAGCACUAGUUUCCUAAGAGAACUAGUGACGUAGGAAGCUAAGUGGAAAAGCUCAAUCAUCAAAGCCAACACCUUGACUAAUGAGUAUAUCUCCCACAAUAAGAACAAACUUUCUACGUGGUCCCCGCUUUGAUUCCUUAUUGCUAGUGGAUUUCAUCAUAUCAAUUCAAUUCUUCAUCAGCAAUUCCGUUCAUCAGCAAUUCCGUUGGUUUGCACAAUUUGGGCUAAUGGUGGAAAGCUUUUAGAAGCUUUCACGUGUGGAGAAAUCUUCUCAAGAAGGUCCCCUUUUAGCACUUUUCUGUUUCACUUUCUGAAAUUAUAUCCAAAUACCAAAUAUAAAUAUAUAUUGACAAUUAAAACAAUAUUUGGCAAGGAUAAAGAGGAAAAUUAACGAUAAAAUUACUAACAAUUAAUACCCUAUCAAUUCCCCCCACACUUAAAUCAUGCUUGUCCUCAAGUAUGGGAACACUAAACUCAACAAUGGCUAACUCUCAUUUCAUUUACUGCCAAGCUACGCUUAUCCCAAAAUCAAGUUUUAGUGGCUAAGUGUCAAGAUAUAUUUCUCCCGGUUAGCUCCUGAAAUCAUAGACUCGUCCAAUUCAUAGCUAACUCGUCUAAGAAAUCAAAAUAUUAAACUAGCAAAAGUUAGCAAUUGGGUCAACUGAAAAUCAAAAUCUCAACAUUGAAGAACAAGGAUCGGCAGGCCAACAUGAUCAUAAGCUUACUUAUUAUUUUCUUCUCUCUCUUUUUUUUUAUGAUAAUAAUUAAUUUUUUUUUUUCAAUAAAUGCUCAGUCCCAAGCUAUUCAAGUCUUUUGACGUGAACUCUGACAUUUUUAGAUGAAAGAAACCAGUUACUCAACUUUUCACAGUUUCAGGACUACCUACUCAUAGAUAUCGCCACUUUUUGACGCGAAAGUCGACACUUGUGGUGAAGACUCCCGGUUACUGGGUGACGGCACUAGCGGAGUAGAGUCAUUUAUUAAUCACAAUUAAAGCACUAGAAAACCAAAUAUUUAAAGAUCAUGGCCCACGUCAUCUCCUAAUAUGGAGAACUAAGAUCAACAAUUGCCCAAUCCACACAACAAUUGCUAGUAAAAUAUUUAUAUUGCCUAAACAAUUUAACCACAAUUUGCACCAAGUCAUUAAACUCAUGAUAUUCACCAAGGUAAUAUGCUUUUACUUGCCAUCUAAACAAAAUUCAUAGGAUAAAUCACAACCAGCAAUAGAAGAGUGAGUUGCCACAUUUAUUCAUCAAGACAACAAUAAGAAAAGCAACAAUUUAAAGAAACUCCAAUCAAAUCCAAAUCUCCCCCCACACUUAAAGUAUACAUUGCCCUCAAUGUAACAAAUAUAUAGAAAAAGUAAGAAAAAGGGCAACGAAACUCCCCUGAAAUCGUCAAGACAUCAAAUUCUCUGAUCAGCCCUUGGGGUUGAAGGAGGUGGAGCGGAGGUCGAAGGGCCGGGGUGUUCUAGACUUAGAAGAAGAUUUGGGUUUCACCAUUUCUCCAAAUGUCACUCAAAUCAACAACAGACAACAAUUCUAACAAAUAAUGGAAACAGAAAAUUUAAAGCAAUAACAAAUGAAAACCAACCCAGUGAAUAAAAUGCACACUUCAAUCACCCACAAGUUAUAGAAAUACUCCAACACUUAUAGUAAAUGCAAUCAAUAAGCACUUGUGGUUCCAAACUUAGCCAAAUGCAAAAACAAUGCACCUCAAAAUCACCCCAAUCAACGUAAUAAUUGAAAUGAAAAAGACAAAAGACUCUCACACAAGGCAACUACUUCAAUAAGCAAAUUUAAGUGUUAAAGGCACCUCCCAAUUAAACAAAUAAUCUCAGCAAUUUACCCACAAUUAGACACAAGUUAUAAUAAAUUAGACACUAUUGGACCCAAAAUCAUAACAAGUGUCUCCAAUUGGACAGUCAAUCACUUAAGAUUAAGAAAUUGGAGGCAAACUAUCACAACCAAUACCACUGGUGGACUCACAGGGAAAAAUUAAAUCAAACGGCCAACCAAAGCACUGAUAAAUCCAACAACACCAAGCAAAGCAGAAAUAAAAUUAAAAAAAAUUCAAAAUGGUAACUAAUUUGCCAAGAACCUAAAUUGCAGUUGAAGCCCCAAACAACUCACUAAGUGAAAAAUCCAGCACCUCCUGCGAUUAUUCAGCAAGAAACCCAGGAAAAAGAAACAAACUUCAGCAUUUUAAGAUCUAGAAAAUUGCUAAUCGGGGAGGGGGGAUUCAAUAGCUCCACCUGUCGAAAAUUGACAAGUGGCGUGAGGUGAUCUGGAAUUGAAGUCGCGUGUGAGGGAAGCGACGGUGCACCGGCGAGGUGGAGAGGAGCGACUGGAGUUGGUGGUAAGCUGAGGUCGAGCUUGCGAUAGUGAGCUGGGCAGGAGGUAUUGGCGCGGCCAAGGAAAGUUCGCGCGCGGUGGUGGUGUUUGCCGCUGAACUCUGCGACCUUAGAUGAGUUGCGGACAGCUGCUGUGGCUGUUGGUGGAGACUGAAGGAAAAGCUGCACGCUGGGUAGCGCACGGAGAAAGAGCUGACGCAGUGGAAAGGGAGAUCGAGAUGGAGAGAGAGAGCUGAGCUGGAGAGUGGAGCUAGUUGCGUUGCAAGUAGUGACGGCGGCAGUUGGUGGUGUUUGGCGAGAGAGAGUGAGAGAGCAAAUGGAGGUGGUGGCGGCUGGCAUUGCUUGGGCUGCAGGAGGUCGACGCGAGCUGGUGGAGAUGAGGCACUGGCGGCUGCAUGCAGAGGUGGACGCUGGGUUGUGGUGGGCUUCAGGCGGAAGUCGGCGGCAACUAUGGACAGGGAGGAGGAGCUGCGCACAGCUCUGGGUUGCGCGCGGCUGGCGGAGCUUACAAUGAAGAAGAAGAAGCGAGCAGCGGGGAAGAAGAAGAAAGAAAGAAAGGAAAGAAAGAAAAGAAAAAGAAGGAAAGAAAAAGAAGAAAAGAGAAAAAAAAAUAUAGUUUUUGGUCUUACAUUUUUUUUUUUAAAAAAAAUUCAGAAAUUGAAUUGCUGAAAAACUAACCGAAUGUUAAGAAAGGAAGUAAUUUUUUUUCGAUUUUUUUGAUUUUUUUUUUAUUGCAAAAAUUUGAAAUUUUUUUUUUUUUUUGUUUUAGUUCGUCAAACAUGGCGUGGGCACGCCAAGAUUAGAAAACAUUCUCUGACUUGAGAAUCAGUUUUUGAACAUUAACGCGUGCCCUCUCCGCGCGGGCACGCCAAGAUUCCACUUCGUAAUGUUGAGAUUUUACCAACAUGGCGUGGGCAUGCCAUGUUUUAGAAACAUCCUCUGACCUUGAAAUUGGAACUUGUGAGAUUAAUGCGUGCCCUCUUCGCACGGGCACGCCAUGAUCACCUGUCAAAAUAAAAAAUUGGGUUGCCUCCCAAAAGCGCCUUUCUUUAACGUCUUUGCCUAGACGGAGUCUAGAAUUUGCUUAAACUAAGCAAAUCGAGUCUUCCGGUUGUAUCAUCUCCACCCGUUCAAUUGGAAAUCCUUCAUAAUACGGCUUGAGACGGUGACCAUUCACCACAAAUUUCUUCUCCGUUUUCAAACUUUGGAUCUCUACUGCACCAUAAUGAAAGACAUUAGUCACAACAAAAGGGCCAAUCCAACGAGAACGUAAUUUACCUGGAAAUAGUUUCAAUUUGGAGUGGUAUAGUAAAACUUUUUGCCCGCAGACGAAUGUCUUCCUAGAGAUCUGUUGGUCAUGAAAGAUCCGAUUCUUCUCCUUAUAGAUCACUGCAUUCUCGUAUGCUUCAUUUCGGAUUUCUUCCAACUCUUGUAAUUGUAACUUUCUUUGAAUUCCGCCUUCCUCGAUAUCCAUAUUACAUUGUUUGACAGCCCAAAAUGCUCUAUGCUCAAACUCUAUUGGGAGAUGACAUGGCUUUCCAAAUACCAAUCGGUAAGGGAACAUGCCAAUAGGUGUCUUGUAUGCCGUCCUAUAUGCCCAUAGUGCAUCCUCUAGUCUCACACUCCAAUCCUUCCUAUCGGGUCGGACCAUCUUUUCUAGAAUUGAUUUGAUCUCUCGGUUCGAUGCUUCCGCCUGACCAUUUGUCUGAGGAUGGUAGGAUGUAGAGACUUUGUGCAAGACACCAUAUCUCCUAAAAAUUGCAGCGAUCGUUUUGUUGCAGAAAUGAGUACCCCGAUCACUUACAAUUGCUCGCGGCAUUCCAAAGCGAACAAAAAUAUUAGACUUAACGAAUUCUGCAACCACUUUGGAAUCAUUAGUGCGGGUGGCCUUUGCUUCUACCCACUUCGAAACAUAAUCUACAGCAAGCAAUAUAUACAAAAAACCAAAUGACGAAGGAAAAGGACCCAUAAAAUCAAUGCCCCAAACGUCAAAAAUUUCAACAAAAAUUGUUGGGGUUUGAGUCAUUUGAUCCCUACGAGAGAUAUUACCCACUCUUUGACACUUAUCACAUGACUUACAAAAUGAGUAGGCAUCCUUGAAUAGAGUUGGCCAAUAGAAUCCACUCUCUAGCACCUUUCGAGCCGUUCUCUUCGGUCCAAAAUGACCUCCACAUGCAAAAGAGUGACAAUAGGCUAUAAUAGAUUGAAAUUCAACUUCACUUACACAUCUACAGAUGAUUUGAUCGGCACCCCGCUUCCAGAGAUAAGGAUCAUCCCAAAUGUAGAACUUUGUAUCGCUCCUCAACUUGUCUCUCUUUGCCUUAGGCCAUCCUGUAGGAAAUUUGUCAGUGACUAGAAAAUUAACAAUAUCUGCAUACCAAGGCAAAGAUGAAUUAAUAGAAAAUAAAUGCUCCUCUGGGAAUGCUUCUCUCAAUGGGAUGUCAUCUUCGGUGACUUGUACUCGACUCAAGUGAUCUGCUACCAGAUUCUCCGCCCCUUUCUUAUCUCGGAUCUCCAGGUUGAACUCUUGUAGCAACAAUAUCCACCGUAUUAAUCGCGGUUUUGCCUCUUUCUUGGUUAACAGAUACCGCAAAGCUGCAUGAUCAGAAAAAAUAAUAACUUUAGCACCAAGUAAAUAAGACCGAAAUUUCUCUAAGGCAAAAACAACUGCUAAAAGCUCCUUUUCGGUGGUUGAAUAGUUCAAUUGAGCUCCGUUCAAGGUUCGAGAUGCGUAGUAGAUAGCAUGGGCUGCCUUUCCCACUCUUUGACCCAAUACCACACCAACUGCAUAGUCACUGGCGUCGCACAUGAUCUCAAAUGGGAGGUUCCAGUCAGGGGGUUGGAUAAUAGGUGAGGAGGUCAAUAACUCCUUUAACUUAUCAAAUGCCCCCUUACAUGUUUCAUCGAAUUCGAAGGAUACAUUUUUUUGUAAAAGUUGGAAUAAGGGUGCUCCAAUUUUCGAGAAAUCCUUGAUGAACCUUCUAUAGAAACCUGCGUGACCCAAGAAGGAACGAACUUUCCGCACACUCACGGGGUAAGGUAAAGUAGAUAUAACAUCUAUUUUUGCCUUAUCAACCUCAAUACCUGUAGAUGAUACAACAUGACCCAAAACUAUCCCGUGUUCAACCAUAAAAUGACAUUUUUCCCAAUUAAGCACGAGAUUAGUUUCUAUACACCUUACUAAGAUCAAUUUCAGGUUAUCUAGACAGUUUUCAAAACUUUCACCAUAUACACUGAAAUCGUCCAUGAAAACCUCAAUAAUAUUCUCAACAUAUUCUGAAAAGAUACUUACCAUGCAUCUUUGGAAGGUAGCAGGUGCAUUGCACAAUCCAAAUGGCAUCCUUCGGUAUGCAAAUGUUCCAAAUGGGCAGGUGAAAGUAGUUUUCUCUUGGUCUUCGGGUGCGAUGGCAAUUUGAAAAUAACCUGAAAAUCCAUCCAAGAAACAAUAGUAAGCUCGACAUGCUAAUCGCUCCACCAUCUGAUCAAUGAAAGGGAGGGGAAAAUGGUCCUUUUUCGUGACGGCAUUUAGCUUUCGGUAAUCGAUACACUGUCGCCAUCCGGUGGGCUUUCGAAUUGGUACGAGCUCACCCUCUUGGUUUGAUUCCACUGUCACCCCUGCCUUCUUCGGGACCACCUGUACUGGACUUACCCACGGGCUAUCUGAUAUUGCAAAUAUAAUUCCAACGUCCAGCAGUUUUAAAAUCUCUUUCUUUACGACCUCCAUCAUGAGAGGAUUUAAUCUCCGUUGAGCUUGCCGUACGGGUUUAGCAUUCUCCUCGAGUCGAAUUCGGUGCAUACACACCGCAGGGCUAAUUCCCUUGAUGUCGGCGAUGGUCCAUCCUAUCGCCUGCUUAUGUUCCCUAAGAACUCGAAGUAGUUUCUCUUCUUGAACCUUUGAUAAACCCGCGGAGAUGAUCACUGGAAGUGUCUCCCCUUCACCUAAGUAUACAUACUUUAGGUGUUUCGGCAGUGGUUUUAGUUCCAAGACAGGUGCCUGCACCACAGAUGGAAGUAACCUUUGGUGAGGUUCGGGUAUGAAAAUCGGUGCAAGAUCAUACCUUGUCUUCGUGGUUGGUAAUGUUUGCAACGAUCCAAUCACGCAUUUAAGCUCUUCACUCAACUCUACCCUAGAGGUCGUUUCGGACUCAAAGUGCCUGGUCAGGACGACCUCUAGUUCAUCCCUGCCUUCAAUUUCAAAAACCUCCUGUAUAGCAUGGUCAAUAACAUUUACCGAGAAAACAGAGCCAAUAUUUGAAUCGGAUGGAUAUUUCAUGGUCUCAAAGAUGUUAAAGUGAACAAUCUCACCAUCAAAUUCCAUAGACAAAGUACCCUUAUUAACAUCAAUUUUGGUUCGGGCUGUGCUCAAAAAGGGUCUACCUAACAACAAAGGUGACGGAUCACGGGAGUGUUCAUCCUCCAUGUCGAGCACAUAAAAAUCAGCUGGAAAAACCAAUUCGUUAAUUUUUACCAAAACAUCUUCAAUCAACCCGUCAGGGUAUGCAUUGGUCCUGUCAGCUAAUUGGAUUAUUAUCCCAGUCUCUUUCAAAGGGCCUAAGUUUAAGGAAGCAUAAAUGGACUUUGGCAUGACAUUAAUUGAGGCUCCCAGGUCUAACAUGGCCUUUCCAAUCAAAGUAUUACCUAUCCUACAAGGAAUUGUAAACAUACCUGGAUCUCCGCAUUUUGGUGGAAGUUUCCUUUGUAGAAUUGCUGAAACAUUCUCCCCAACUAUAACUCGUUCAUCCCCCUUCAACCGCUUGCGGUUGGCACACAGGUCCCUCAAAAAUUUUGCGUACCUGGGUACUUGUUUAAUCGCAUCCAGCAGGGGUAUGUUGAUCUCCACCUUGCGAAAGAUCUCCAAGACCUCUUUUUCCUUGUCUUUCUUCUUUGGUUUCUCUAACCUGCUAGGAAAGGGAGGUGGAUUAGUUUUAGUUGUAGGAAUUGGGUUCGAGGGUACCUUUGCAUUUUUGUUGUCUGUGCCCUCAUCUUCCAAUUCUUUCUCAAUCCGUUCCUCGUCCUUGUCUUUAGGAAUCACCGGUUCGGGUCCUUGGACUUUCUUGCCACUCCUCAAGGUCAUUGCACUUACAUUCUUUGGAUUCACCUCAGGUUGAGAUGGCAACUUCCCUUGAAUUUGGGACUCCAAACGGUUGAUCGUUAUGGCCAUUUGAUUCAUUUGAUUUUGCAAUGAUUGCACCUGUCCCAGUUGAUUCCUCAUGCUUUGUAAGUCUGAAUCCGUCUUUUGUUGGUUAACAAGUAAUUGCUUCAUCAUUUCUUCCAUGGACGGACUUGAGUUUGAAGGGGGUGGUGGUGGUGGUGGGCGAGGAUGGUACUGCUGUUGGUGUCCUUGCUGUCUAUUUGGCACAAAGUUAGACUGCCUAUUUCCUCCAUAGCUAAGGUUGGGGUGAUCCCUCCAACCAGGAUUGUAGGUGUUUGAGUACGGGUCGUACUGCUUUCUUGGCGCGGGCGCGUGGCCAGCCAUGUUCACCUGUUCUGCAGUUUCUUCUUGAACCAGUGGACACAUUUCCGUAGGAUGACCCACGGCAGUGCACACCCCACACACUUUGACUUGUGAAGCACUCCCCACAGCUAAUUGUCUUACGAACGAUGUUAAUUCGGAGAUCUGCUGUUGGAUAGAGGACGUUUCCACCUCAUUCACCUUACGCGUCGGGAUGUCCUCUCUUGAACCAAACUGCUGUGAGUUCUCAGCCAUCCCUUCAAUCAACUCCCAUGCUCCUCGAGGGGUUUUGUUCACCAACGCCCCUCCACUUGCAGCAUCGAUUAUGCUUCUGUCCCUGAAAAGCAACCCCUCAUAGAAAUAUUGAAUGAGCUUAAAAAUAUCAGAAAAAUAUCAGAAAAAAAAAUGAACUUAAAAAGAAACAAAUGAUUAACGCCAGUCCCCGGCAACGGCGCCAAAAAUUGACAGGUGUCGAGCCUGUGCAAUAAUAAAUACCUACUCGAGAAAAAUGAAUUUUUUGUGUAUAGUAGUGAGUAGGGUCGAAUCCACAGGGACUGGGAAAAAUUCGAUUCUUUUCAAGUUCGGGACACGGGGGAUUUUUAUCAGAAAUAAACUAAAAAUAAUUAAAUAAUUUAACCAAAAAUAAAUAAUUAAUUAAUACAAUUGUAAAUAGCAAUUAAAUAAAUGAUAAAUAAAUUCUAGCCAAGGAUACAACUACGCAGACACAGUCCAUUCAUCCGAUCAUUGAUGCAAAGAAGGUUCACUUAAUUUUAUUAACAGGUUAGUUAUAGUCGCCGAUAAACUCUAACGACCAGCUUUUCCUUAAUUUAUUGAUAACCAAGGUACGACCGUUGAUUACCCCUAACCAGGAAAUACUCCUAGGUACGACCGUAGGAAUUAAUUUCCUAAUUGCAUUAAAAACUAGAAAAGCCUAACCCAAAUUAAUAACACGCUACGAGGGUUAUUUAAAUCAGAUUGCAUGUCCCCCUAGUAUGUGAAAAUACUAGUUGUCACUAAUAUUAAUCAACUAAACAAUUACGGAUUUAAUUGAUUAAUUUGACAAGAGAUUAAUAAGUCAAAUUGCACAUCGGGCCCUUGAUAUCCAAUUAACAAAAUAAUCCCAUGGAAAUUAAAAUAGAAAACAUGCAAAUAUUAAUAAAUUAAGGAACACGUAAAAUUAAUUAGAUCUCACAGAUAUUUGGGACUGCGUCUUCGCGUUGAUCCUUGACUAGAGGAGAAAAUUAGCCACGCCUCAUAAGAAAAUUCCCACGCAAUUUAAAUGGAAUCAAAUACAUAAAUAACUAACUAAGAAUUUAGGAAGAAACUUGAGUCUCGCUAAACUCUUUUAAGAAAAGUUGCACACCACACAACAAGAGAAGGAAGAACUCCUCCUCUGAAAACCAAAAACUACCUCUAUCCUCCUACGGAGCUUCUCUGGAGAGAAAACUCCAAAACUAGUCUAAUGUCUUAUGAAAAACUAUCGUCUAAUGCCUUUCCCUUAUUUUAUUUUAGCACUAGUUUCCUAAGAGAACUAGUGACGUAGGAAGCUAAGUGGAAAAGCUCAAUCAUCAAAGUCAACACCUUGACUAAUGAGUAUAUCUCCCACAAUAAGAACAAACUUUCUACGUGGUCCCCACUUUGAUUUCUUAUUGCUAGUGGAUUUCAUCAUAUCAAUUCAAUUCUUCAUCAGCAAUUCCGUUCAUCAGCAAUUCCGUUGGUUUGCACAAUUUGGGCUGAUGGUGGAAAGCUUUUAGAAGCUUUCACGUGUGGAGAAAUCUUCUCAAGAAGGUCCCCUUUUAGCACUUUUCUGCUUCACUUUCUGAAAUUAUAUCCAAAUACCAAAUAUAAAUAUAUAUUGACAAUUAAAACAAUAUUUGGCAAGGAUAAAGAGGAAAAUUAACGAUAAAAUUACUAACAAUUAAUACCCUAUCAAAAGAAAACAACAUAUUAAAUUAGUAAAUCAAUUUUUACUGAAAGAAAGAGAAAAAAUGUAUAAAAUUUCACAGAGGAACCUAAAAUUGUGAUCAUAGUGAAUUUCAAAUUUUAUCACUUUUCAAGAAUGUAAAAAUAACUUAGGUAUUAAUGCAAAUAAUUAAUUAACACUUAGGAAAUUUAUUAGACUUCUAUGAAAUGAAGGGAGGAAGUAGGAUAAAAUUUUAAAAAAUAAAAGAAUAGAAAUUAAAAAAGGGGAAAAAUGAAAAAUAUGUCUUUGUAAAAAAUUAGAAUAUAAUUAUUGGAGUGAUUUAGAUUUACCCAUUAAUGAUCUAAACAUGUCAAAAUAAGUGAUCUAAACAUGUCAAUUUAAUACCCAUUAAUUAAUGGGUUUAAUUAGGUCACUCAUUUAUUUGUUGAUGGGCGAGCCAAGUAAACAGGUUAGCGGGAUAGAGCAAAGAGAAAAAAGAAUUUUGGGGAAUAUGAAGGAUUAGAGAGUUGUUUUUUUUUUUUAUUGAUACGAUAGCUUCCUACACUAUGGGGAGGAGGAGGGUUUGAAGAGGUUUUGGAGUAACUCGGAGGAGAUUUAACCACCACCGGACCAGAUGGGGUGCACUACGCACCUGCCUGGAUUUUUUAAACAAUGCCACAUUUAAUUGUGACAAAUUGGUGGAAAACAAUAUUUGAACCCUUGUCUCCUACCCCACCAAGCCUUAAUGCAUUGAUGGUAGCCACCAGCCUUUGGGCUCGUCGUUAUUAGAGAGUUGUGACUUGUGAGAAAGUUGGCUAAUAAGAAAUGUGAGGAAAAGGAUAGUGGAGAGUAAAGGGAUAUGGUGGAGCAAAUGGUGCUAAGAGGGAGAAUAUGGGGGAGAGAGAGGUAUUAAUGUUGUUUUUUUUUUUUUUUCCUGACGGAGGGGGUAUACGGGCCAUCAGGUAAAUCGGACCCGACUAAUCCCCCACCAGCCCGGGAGGAGAGGCCCCAUUCCUCCGAACACGAUAACCAUGUGACUCGAACCCUUGUGGGACUGGACAACGGCUCCUAAGGAGGUUUGCCGUGACCAACCGAGCUGCCCAUGAGGGGCAUAUUAAUGUUGUGUUUGGUGUGCUUUUUUUUGUGAUCUUUUUUCAUAUUUUUUAUAUGCUUUAAGGUUUUAGAUAAGAUACAUAAAUAAGAUAUAAAUUAGAUAAUAGUAUUCUUUUAAGUUUUUAAUCUUUUUUAAAUGUAACUACUAUAAAUAAUUCAUUUAUUAUUGUUAUUAUCAUCAUCAUCUUAGAUAUAAAUCAUGCAUAACACGGGUCAGAAUACUAGUUUUAUAUGUACUCUAGAAGGAUAUUUCGAUACCUAAUUCAUUGAAAAAAAUAUUUUACUUACAUUAUAAAUAUAUCUCUUAGUUAUAUUUUUAUUUUUAAAUUAUCUUUUUAUUUCACAUAAUCACAUACAUCUAUAAUGCUGUAAUAAAUUUUUUUUUCUCUAAGUGAUGAACUAUACAAACACCUUAUGCUAAUACAAUUUGGUAAUGACGAACCACUUUCCUAUAAAAAGGCAUGUGUCACCGAUGGACGAUUUGUAACCGUUGCCUAUGUCAGAAACAUGUUGGUGAGCGAUGUAUGUCCUUGCUGGGCAAUUUGUAACCGCUGCUACUGAUGUCAAAUUUUGUGUCCUUACUGAAUGAUCUGUAAUUGUUGGUGCCAUGUGAAAACUGUGUUGGUGAGCGAUCUGUAUCCUCGCUAGACAAAUUUGUAACUACUGAUGCCGAUGUCAGAAUUGCAUUGGUGAGCAAUCUGUAUAGAUCCAUCUAUGGUCCAAGAGGUAUGUAUGACUCGUAAGAGUAAUCGAAAUCGAAUCCGAAUCCAUCUAAAACUUUUUUUUUACCAAAAAAAAUUAAUAAAACAAAAGCCAUGUUUUAAACUGAUGUCAGAACUGCUGUGUUGAUGAAUAUAAGUCCAUAUAUGAUCUCAGAGGUAUGCCCUAACUCGCAUGCGUAACAGAAAUCGAAUCCAAAUCCCUCUAAACUUUUUUUUUUUUUUUUUAACAAAUAAAAAACACAAACACAUGUUUGAAAGGAAAUGCGUGGAACUUGGGAGUGGAAAUUAAAGAGAGAGAUUGGAAAUGCCCUUGGGCUUUGACUCAUAAAGACUCCUCGUCACUGUGCAGCAAGUAAAGUUCCUUUCUUUCCCUCCAAGUAUCCGGCUUCCCUCAGUUCUCCAGACCCACGCGAGAGAUGGGCGGCCAGGAUAAACCCCCAGGACCCGGACUCGAACCCGACAUACAGCCAUUACUGAACGCCUCCAAAUACUUCCUCUGUCACCGGAACUUUUCCCAGAGCUUGAAAUACGCGGACAAAGCCCAGCAAUCCAAUCCAAACCACCCUGGUCCGCCCCAAAUCCUCGCUAUAUCCACUGUUCUCUCGGCGACUCCGUCCUCGACCCGACCCGAACAGCCAGAAUGGUACUUAAUCAUCAACCUCCCUCGUUUUACUCAAGACCAGAAUCUGAUUCGGACCCGUUGUGCUUCGCUCGUCAACCUCUUAAACCCUGACACAAACCCUUACCCAUUUGCAGCCGAAGCCCGUGAUUGGGUUGUCAAAGCAGAAUCUGUUUUGUCUGACCCGGACGCGAAAGCCCAGUAUGAUAACGGAUUGAAAAUGACGCAAAAAAAUGUUGGAAAUGGCGGCGGAACUUUUUGGACUUUGUGUCCGUACUGUUACUUUAUGUAUGAGUACGAGAAAAUGUAUGUGGAUUGUGUCCUGAGGUGUCAGAAUUCCAAAUGCAGGAGGGCUUUCACGGCGGUGGCCGUUGCUGCUUCAGCGGCGCCGCCACCGGAGGUGCUGGAGGAAGGAAAGUAUACCUGUUAUGGGUUUUCGCCGCUGGGUUCUAACAAUGGAAGUGGUGGUGAUUCUGGUGAAGAGAGAGGGAAAAGUUGGUGGGCUCCAUUUGUAUCCAUGGGUCAAUAUCCGGGUCCAGUUCGGGCCGAUGAGGAAAAGGUGGAUGUGAGGACUAAUGUGGACUCAAGGAGUGAAAAGAGUAAUGGGUUUAUUGAAAUUUCUGAUGAUGAAACUGCAGGUAAAGAGAAAAUUGAAAGAGGGGGACAGGGAAACGGUGUUAACGAUGGGAAGGUGGUGAUGAAGAGGAAAAAAAUGGCUGCUAUAGGGAAGAAGAAAUUGAUGGGAAAAGGGAUUAGAGUUGUUGGGAACCAUAGUUUAUCAGCGGAGGGUGGUGAAGGAAUAGGAUUUAAAGCUGGAGGGAACGAAGCAAAUGCAAAUACAAGUCCAGGGAAUGAAGCAAAUGCAAAUACAAGUGGAGGGAUAACGGAAGGCUGUAAUGAGGAGGAAUUGGAGUUUUGUGCUGGAGAUGAUGAUAUUUUUGUUGCUGUGAAUCCUUGUGCUGAUUUAGGAUGUGAAAAGCUUAGGAAUUGAUGAGAGAUGAGUUGGGGAUUUUGAACUCUGUUUUUGUGCACUGUUUUUCUAGCUGGGAGCCUUGGACAUGAUGGUGUACUAAAUGGCCAGUAAAGUUUUGUAACUGGUAGAAUCAUGUUGAUAAUCAUUAGAAUUGUAGACCAUAGAACUGGUAGAAGUGAAGAAGUAAUCCUGAAUAUGGUUCUUGAUAUCUUUGUGUGGCUGUCAUGUGGAUUCUUUUGCCGGUAGUAUUUGAUGUUUUGAAACAGUUAUAUGGCCAAUAGUAUGCUUGGUUUUAUCCAAAAGUAAGUUGGAAAAAAAAAACAGAGAAAGGGAUCAUAUGAUUGGUUAUCUUUUUGUUUAUAGUUUGUUAUUGGCAUACGAGUAUUAAGUCAUAAGCAAGGAAGAAGAUUAAAAUAUUCUAGGUGCUUUAAUUUGAUUGCUGGGUUUUGGAUCUGCUCUGCUUUGCCGUCCAAUUUUUCUAACAUUUCCCGCCAAUAAUAUUUCUUCAGCAAUCAAAUUGGGUCUGAAUCUGCUCUGUUUUAAAGUCCAAUUUUUCUUCUAUUUCCUGUCAAUUUUUAUACUAUUCUAGCUGCUUUAGUUAGAUUGCUGGGUUUUGAUCUGCUCUGCUUUAGUGUCUAAUUUUCUGACGUUUCCUGUCAAUAUUUUAGAUUUUCUUUACCUUUGCCUUUUUCUUUGCUGGAUUGCAUUGUUUAUGUUUCUGGUCUUCCUUUUAGUGCUGAUGCUGAGGAUCUUUAAUGUCUGAAAAAUCUGAGCCUAAAUUUCUCUAACUUGGACAAGUCUGAAUGUUGGUGUAGCUGUAUAUCUAGGAUGGUAAAUUGAUGGGGAUUUGACUUGUCAAGUUGAGAAAAGGGGGUUUUUUUGGGGGGGAAAGAAAAUGAAGCUGAAGUUGAUGAGGACAUGAACUCUUCAUGUCGAGUAUUUACAUUAUACUUGAAUUUUGGUUCUGUCCUGAGGUUUGGUGCAUUCUCCUUGAUUCUAAUAAAUUGGUGGUGGCUCAUCUAUCUUCUUCUACUUCUUGUUGGAAGGUCCAUUGUAACUUUUUGGUAAUUUGGGUUCGGAUUGCAUCAAGAGAUAUCCUGCAAUAUUGGGUUAUCUUUUAAUGAGAUACUGGGAUAAUAUAAUGGACUAGUUCAGCUCUGAGAAGCUAGUUUUUAAAGACUCAGAUCAACAAUGGGAAAUUAUGUGUUAUGUUUAUUUGAUUAGGGUGACACACUGGUACUAGGAAGCAAUAAAGAAGUUAUUACCUCUUUGAAAAUGUUGUGUGUGUAUAAAUCAAGAAGCGACUGUGUUAAUUUGUUGAAAAAUAAGAACCACUAAAAGUAUGCAGAAAUCUAGUAAUCAAGCAUCGGUAGUCCUGUCCUGUGGCCCUCUUUCUUUUCUGUCUCUUUAGCAUCAAGUAGAAUAAGAGAAUUGGAAUGAUAUAUAAGUGGGAGAACAGGGGCAGACAUCCCUACAAGGGCCUGUCCGGACUAAUCUAGGAUGUCUACCUAAUUUUAUCUUCCAGUUUAGCCCCCUGUGACUGGAUGGUCUUUUACCUAUAUUGACUGCUAUUAACAAGUCUGAAGAGAGAUUGUGUUAUAUCAUGUGGGUGCGUUUGCAUAUUGAGCAUUUAGCUUCCCUGCGAAUGCUUUUUCUUUUUAUUUUAAUUGUGUUUUCAACGAGAAUAGAUUUUGCUUCUUCUUGAUUUGCUUGUGUCUUGCGUGUUCUGCUUUAUUCUGCUUAGAUAUCACAGUUGAACUGCAUAUCUUCUGAUGCAUGUCGUCAUGUCAUUCUUCGCCUAAAUUGUGCUGAGAAUAGGAAUGAGAAGAAAAAAAUCUCUAAACUACCUAGGUGCAGAGAAACAGCUUCAUAGGCUUAAAGCCGCUCCCACAGGUUCUGGUUCUGCAUUUUCUUGCCUCACCAACUCUCUCCCUCUCUCUUGCUUAGUUGCUUUUGAUUUUUCUGAUGUUUCUUCCAUUUGAUAAUGUAUGAUCAGAUAGAGCGUGAUCUCUUUUAGGCCGCGUACGAGUUCAUACUUUGAGAUGGAUGAGGAACUAGCUUGUUGCAGGUUGAUUGAGUUUAUAUAUUAGAUUAAUUAAGACUGCUUAAGAAAAAGAUUGAUGUUAACUUCGAUCAGGCUCAACUAAAAACAGUUUUUCAGUGUGAAGAAAGAUGCUUCUUUCUUUAAGGUGUCAUCCAAUGGCUGUACUAACAACUUUUUGGAAGCAGAUUUUAACUUGAAAGUCGAGACCCCUAACUUUUAUCCAUCUGGGAUUCCUGAUGGGCCAAUUUUACACAUGUUCGAUUGCCCUGUGCAUGUAUUAUUGUUUCCCAAGCUAUAAGGAAGAAAACAGAACUUUUUGUUACAAGCAGCUUCAUGGGAUAUCUUUAACAGCAAAAGAAUUAGUCUUGUGGAAUGGUUUAUUCAGUCAUCUCCCUCUUUUUGUGGUGGGGGAAAUGUGGGGUUUUCUUUCUGGUUGCAUAUUAUUUAACAAAUCAAGUCAAGCUUGCGAAGUGGAACGAAGAAGAUUUAAGUUGAUUUUUUGCACAAUUCGUUGAAGGUGCAAAGAUGCAAAAUAGAACAUAGAGGAGACAUUAAAUUUGGCCGAGAGCGGAAAAUCAAGAUAACAAAAAGAAACUUGAACGUGCCAGGAAAAAAAAAUCACACUACUGCCUUUUGUUCUGCUCUUUGGCUUACUUUUGAAUCAAACUGAUCAUUUUUGUCAAAGCUGAGGACUAAAGAACUUCAAUUCUCUCAAGUUGGGUUUUCUUUUCACACCCACGUGGGCAAAGACACUCAAUUCCUUGCCUCUCCUCAGUCCUCCCCCAAUCCCACACGAAUACAAAAGAAUUUCACACCAAAUAUGCAUACAAGGAUAACUUCCAAAACCCAAAAAAAAAAAAAAAAAAAAACACACGCACACACACACACAAGGAUAGUUGCCUAUACAGGGGAUUUUUCACAUUUUGUCACUAAGUUGUUGGGCAUAGAAAUCCCUCCUUGGAAGUUUAUCCAUGGCAACCGACCAUCUCUGAGAGUUUACGGGCCUAUUUGGUAAAUAAGUUUUUGAUCAAGUUCGUCUGCCACAAGUUUUUUAACAACUUUAGCUAUAGUAAUCUCAAGAAAUUUCUUAAAAAUUUUAAACUAUAUAUUUCAAAAUAUCUAAAAAUUUAUACAUUUCAAAAAUUUUACAAAUAACUCCUAUCGUAAAUUACAGUAAAAUUUUAGACAAACACCCAAAAAAUUUAUUUGACAAACGGCUUGGUUUCAAAGUUGUUGCCAACCUUUGCAUCUUUUAAGUCGAAAAGUGAAAAAGGCAAAGCAAAGCAAAGAUCCAAACUGUAGAUGCUGGAUAAAGAGGACACCCUAUGUUUCUUCAUACCGUGAACUUAGUGAGGUGACCGUCCCAGCUGUAUUUGAUUGAAUUCAACUUUUCAUCCAUUGUGAAUGGGAUCUUUUUCCAUUCCAUUUCAAUCUGUCUGAAACCCAAAUGAUUUUGCAUUGUUUUGCUAAUACACGUAUUUCUUGGUCCUGUUUAUCCUAGGACUAUUUUGCAUAUGCUGAUUUUCACGGACACCUAUUUGACAUAGAAAAAGCAGUUUAAACUGGAGCAAUCUUGAUUUUCAUGCUUGCUUAAUUUAAGCCUUAAAGCUUCAAACGUCAUCAAUGAUAUAAAUGUGAUUGGAAUCUUUUAAGAGAAAGGGUAACUAUUUUUUUGUCUGUAACGAUACAUAUGUAUAACCUACUCUAUCCUAAUAUAGGAUAACUUGAUAUUGUGUUCUUUGUUACAAGGUACAAAAGCAUCCUACCACCAACCUCCAUACUUUUAGCACAAAGGGAACUGAUUAAAGCACAACUAAAAGAAAAGAAAUUAGAAACUUUUUUUAUCAAGAACAGAACAGUUUGCUGAUUGGUCUGUGUUAGAGGCUAACGGUUACAGGAAAAACAAGCCAGCGGUCCUUGUUGCGGAGAACAAGUUUGAGGUCAAAGAGGGGACUGUGGGGCUCUGAAGUUGCAGGUGUGUGGGAACAAAUGGACAAACAGCAAGGCUGCCUCUGCCUUUUCUUUCUUGGGACCCCAAAAAUAAAAUUCUUCUGCUGCAUGCCAAUGCCGUAAUCAACUGCGCCGGAAAAUCAUUGCUCUUUUGAACUUCUCCAUUAGAAUUCACUGGCCAAACCAAAAGCACAUCUUGUGAUAAAUAUUCUCCCUGCGCUUCUCACCUUUUUGUUCCUGUGUUUUGUUCAUAUCCCAAUAAUGUCAAACGCAGCGUUAUACGUUAUGAAUUCUAUACUUCAUGUAGGGGAAAAAAAAAUUGUACUAGUAUCACUUGGUUAUCAUACAUGCACCUUUUGAUUCUCUAUUGCUAGAACUCGUGCAGAAGCAGAUCUCCUCCAUUCGAUUUGUCAAUUUUGAUAAACGUAUUUUAAUUGAAAUAUAUUUUUGAUAAUUUUUCUAUCUAGUCUAGAAGUUUGCUAUUACAAUUUUCAAAGUUUCUUUGCAUGUAUUCCUGUCUGCCAUAAGAUCUAACAAGAAGUCAAGAACUCAAUGACGGGUGAAUGUUGUAAUGAUUAUUUCUUUUGUAUGACAAGCACACUACUGUAAUUUUUAGAGUUGUAGACAUUUAUAAAAUAUUAGUGGUGUUCUAACAUAAAUGAAUCUCUCAAUAUAAUCCUGUUCUUAUUCCAAAAUUUUAGAUACAUUCACUCCUAAAAAGAGAAUACUCUCAUGAUUUUUCGUUUAUGUUGUGUAAGUGAAAUUGAAAUUCACAGCGCUGUGACUGUUUGUCCAAAUUAAGGGCAUAGCUACAACCAUUAAGAGGUCAAGGGAUCUUUUCAAAGAGGGAUCAUAGUUUGGGGGCUUAAGUGAAUAUACCGAAAAGUGAAAAGUACAAAUAGCCUGAUUUUAUUAGUGAACCUUUGCCUUACAGUCACACCGCAUCCUUACUAACAAGUCCAACUAGACAUACUAAAAGCAUCACUCAUUUUCACUUCAAAUUGGCUGAUGUCCUGAUGAAGAUAGAGCAAUCUUGGCAUCCAACUCUUACGAAAACAAUCCUUUUGUCUUGGUAACAGGAGAAAUCAUCUCUGGGAUUUUUGUGCGAUAUUUCAGAUUUACAGAAUCUUCAAACUCAGAGGCGUACCAGAAGAAGCAGGUUGGAUUCUAACUAUAAAUGCUUCACCUUGAUUACGUUGCAAUUUUCCUCAAUCAUUUUCACUUCUACUAGUUCCCGUGGAAACAUAUGCCUUAAACGCCAAGAUUCUUCUUUUUUCUUGUGCUUCUUUGUUGUUUUUACCGAGAUGGAUUAUUCAUUUGUCUACUUUUGAUGCCUCACUUCUACUUGCUUUUGUCUACUCUUUUAUAUCAAGUGAGAGGAGCAAAUGCAUACUUUGCCAAGUUUCUAUGAAGUUGGAAGCUGUUCAGAGUCUUACAACUUCCUUCACGAAAUUUUGAACUCAAGAGAGCAACUGCACCUUGACAAUUCAAACGUUAAUGCCAUUUCAAUGGCUGAGGCAAAAGCAGUUGCAGCAAACAAGAGCCACAGUGAAGCUGAAAGGAGAAGAAGAAAGCGUAUCAAUGGUCAUCUUGCGACACUUCGCAACCUUCUUCCCAAAACCAUCAAAGUAAGUUUUGUUCAUUCAUCUAGUUGCUCUUUUUAUUUCCCUAUUCAACUUUUCCAUGUUCAAAAGACGACCCUCCAUUCUUCUUUUCUUGGUUAAUAAGUUUGAAAUGUAAUGAAUAUAGGCAGACAAGGCAUCAUUGUUAGCUGAGGUUGUCCGGUGCCUAAGAGAGCUAAAGAAGUCAACAGAAGAACUCUCAGCUACAGAAGGUGAUGAUCAGUCCAACACAGCAAUGAAACUCAUGUUUCCUAGUGAAACUGAUGAACUCAAGUUAUGUUAUGAUGAUGGAGAUUCAAGGACUAUAAAGGCAAGAUUAUGCUGCGAGGACCGACCGGAGAUGAUGAUAGAGUUAAAGAGGGCAUUAAACGCAGUAAAAGCUAAGGUGGUGAAGGCAGAAAUGGCAACAGUUGGGGGAAGAACAAAAACUGUGCUUUGGCUGCAAGCUUCAGCAGCUGGAGAAGAAGGGCUGGCGACAAUAAGGAGAGCACUGAAAGUGGUUGUAGACAGGUCUAUCAUGUUGUCUACUCCUGGCCAGGCUUUGCCGGGUAACAAGCGGCCUCGUCUCUAUCACUGCUGAAUAUGAGUUUAGGGUUUUGUAUUUUCUGAAUCUUGACGGUGCCCCCUGUUUAAAAUGGUCCAUACUAAUGUUGGGGAUGGGGACCAAUGACCCCAUGGAAAUUGAAAAGUGAGCUAAGGUGAUCAUGGAUGAGGUAGGAGAAUUUGAAGUGUCAAUUUGGUAGAAGAUUUAUCCUAGUUAUGUAUGAAUGUCAAACUCCCAGCUGGUGCUAUGAAUCUAAAAAGUAGUACUGCCUGCGCUGCGAGAUCUUCAUUCGUGUUUCCUUUUAAUUUUAAUUGAGAAGCAAAAUUGCGAGCUCUGAGUGAAUUAUGAAAGGGGUAAAAGUUUAAAUUAUUUUGGUAGAAUUCUUCGUUUUGCAGGCUGUUUCUAAUGAUUCCUUGAGUUACUAACAUGUUCCUUUCUUUGAAGGGAAAAAAAAAUUGUAACAGGGUUGAGCUAGUAAUGAUUUCCUUUUUCUAAUCAAAAGUUUGACUUCGACUUAGAGUAAGAGAAAAGUGGGGUUGGGGGAGCCUAAUCACUGAUUUCUUGUUUUUCGACUUUAGAAUCCAAGGUAAUCAUUAACAUUUGCUCUUAUCAGACUAGACUAUACUAUUUCAGGCAUAUGUUUUUAGCCUUUAAUAGUUUAAUCAUAUGAAACACUAGCUUAUCUUUUUCUCAAUUUUGGAGCAAAUGUAUUACCAAUUUCUAACUCUUAUUUGACACGCGACUGCAGUCACUCCCCCUCAUUUGUUUGCUUAAAUUACGUAAGACCUACUCCAUGUUUUUUCUCAACCAAGCCAUACACAUACCUUCAUCAAGAAUGUUGUCCUAUGUUUGAAAUCAAUUGAGAAGUUGAACUAACAAUAGAAAUCCUCCAUUUCUUCACAACUACAUUUUAUCCAACUCUUUGAACUUUCCAAACACACAAAAUCUAUAAUUCACUAUAAAUAGCCAAUGCAGUUCCAAUCAAUUCAUUCAACUCAAAACAAAAGAAAGUACAAACCCUUUUAGCCACACUCUUUUUGUGCUUUUGAUCAAACAAUGGCUGCCUUGAACCAUUGUCUCCUUUUCUCCUUGAUGGUAGCAUUCUUCUUCUCAAGCUUCCAAAUGAGUUUCGCAGCCCGCCACCUGCUGCAGGCACCAUUGAUUCCAACAAUGCCUACGAUCCCAUCGCUUCCUAAACCCGCUGGGAUGCCUCCAUUGCCUUCAAUUCCAAGCAUUCCUAAGGCAACAUUGCCACCUUUGCCAAGCAUCACAUUGCCUAAAAUCCCAGCUGCUGCUGCACCACUGCCAAAGCCCACUUUGCCAAGCACACCUCCGCUCCCAUCCUUGCCAAUACCCACCCUACCAUCUUUCCCAUCUGUUCCCAAGUUCACUCUACCUCCACUGCCAUCCAUUCCAAAAAUCCCCGUCCAAGCACCACCACCAUCUCACUAGUGCUGGAGGCUCGAGUUCUUGCAUUUGGUUUCAUUACGCCAUAUUGGUAGAUUCAUGAGCUGUUCGGUUUGAUCUUAUGUUCAUGGUUUGGUGUAGUAUUUCUGUCUUUUUUACGCAUUGGUUACAUGUAUUUGUACUUUGGCGAUUUGUAAACCAUUUCCAUUUCUGUAUUCAUCCAUUGUAUUCUUGGAGCGUUCGUGUGUUGUAGAUCUAUUUGUGAGUAUUAGUAAAAAUAACUUUUAUCUUCGUUUAUAUAUAUCAUCUUCAUUCUGUGAUUAUAAAGCUGUUUUUUUUUUGUUUCCAAAUGAAUUGUGAACGUAGAUUAAAGAAUUAGUCUAAAUAAAAUUUGGAGGGCAUAUUCUAGCCUGACACUCUUCAUCAAUCAUCAAUCAGAGGGUUGUAACAUGCGUUGGAAAACGCCUCCACAAUAGGGUGAAAAAGGAAUGUUGAAUAAAUUUGAAUGCAAAAUGGGGCAAAUGCCAAGCGUUACUUGGGUACCUUCGUUGGAUUUGGUGCUUGACAAUUCCAUGUAAAACCUGCCAAAAACAUGUGCAACCAUGACCGCAUGCAGUAAACGGAAUCCCUAAUGUAUUACAAUUCAAUAAUAAUAAAAAUGCAAACAUAUGAAUUAUUGCGUAAUAAGUACAUGAUAAUUGUACAAUAAUUCAUAUGAAUUAUUAUAUAGUGAAAUUUGAAUUUAAGAAUUUAAAGUCUUGAACCCUAAACCUUAGGUUGAAAACUCAUUUUCAUGUUAAUGGACGUCCCUCAACAUGAAUUAUCUUUAGCGUUGUUUGUAUUUUCUAAUGUAAAUCAAAUUUAUGAAUCAAUAUAUUUUUUGAUAAACAAUAAUUAAGCUUGCUCUAUGCUGACCAGCUGUGCAUAUACUUGUAAACAUCAUAGCACUCUUAUAAACUUAAAAGAGCUUACCUUGUUUCUUCCGGUGAUUACAGUUCUUUAAAACCUUAAAAAAAAAAAAAGUGAAGUAAAUUUAACUUUUUUUUUUUUGUGGGGUUGCAUGUCAACCGAAAUCCAAAUUCAGAUGACCUUUAGGUUGCAAAAUUUUUCAUUGAAGGAGGGAAAAAAGGGACCAAAUCCGUCAAUUAUUCAAUUCCAAUUGGGUCCCUUAAUAAUUUUGGAGGCCCAAAACCAAAAUGCUACGAAUUUUCUCUUUCGUAACAACAGGUUUUAAAGCCGAUCUAUAGCAUGUUCUUCCCAUUCCAUCUUGUCUUCCACUUUCAAGACCAAUUUGGUCUGAUUACAAGAACAAUAGCUGAAGAUUUGCUAAGAUAGGAACAAAAAUAGAUUGACAUUAUAAUUGCGAUUAAGAAACUGUUGAAACUGGUUAAGAACUACAACUACUGAAGCGUUUUGAUUUGCAAUGAUAGGAGCAGAAAAAGAUUGACACUGAAUUUCUACCAAGAAAUGGUAGCUUUUUUAGGAAUAAGUUUAUUAUUGCUUCUCGAUCUACUUAUUUAUCGGCAUCAGAUCAUUGGAGAUUCUUUAAUAGAUGAUAAUCAUCAUAAAAUCUCACAUUAAAUUUGUACGAUGAUGGGUCCUGGCUAAUUUUCUUUACAAUUAAUUCAUGGGUUUUUAAGGGAUACAAAAACUAAGUUAUUAUAAGGAAAUAUAUAUAUAUAUAUAUAUAUAUAUUUUACAUUAGUAUUGAGGAAAGAGAAUCACCCAUGACACAAAAAGAUGGGUUUAAAAUGGUUUCAUGCAUGUUAUUACUGGAAAGAGGUGUUAUGACACUAGAAUCAGCUUGUCAAAGACAAGUUGGUUGUUAAUAGAGAUUCAAAAUUUUAAUUUGGGGUAUAAGUUUGUAGUUUUAAUCUCAAACCUUGCAAUUAAAGAGGAUUUAGCGUAUGCUCUUUCCUUUCCUUCUUCUCCCUUAUAAGGUCAGAGUCUCCUUUGAAUCAAAGUAAAAAAACCAAUAAUCCAAUAAAAAUGUCACUAAAAAUAAUGUCAUAUAUAUAUAUAUAUAUAUAUAACAGUAGUCUAAUAAUAUCCGAAAUGGAUUAAGAAUCUGAAAUAAGCUCAAUUAUGAAUGAUGCUACCCGUCCUUUCGAACAAGAAUUUUAAAUGAUUUUAGAAGGGCAAUGUAAAAAUGCUUUUUGAUUUUUUUUUUUAUGUCUUGGGAAACCACCCCCCCCCCCCCCCCGGUUCUCAUGGACAAAAUGUCCACUUCUUUUUUAUCUUGUUCUCCCCACUUUUCCAGUCGAAACAAUCAGACCCCAAUUCAGCUCUGUUUUCAGACUCGGACCGGACCGGCCGGUCGAACCGGUCGAACCGGAAACCGGCCAGGUAGCCGGUCCGAGUCACAUUAGAAAACCGGAAAUUUAAAAUCCGGUCAAAGCCGGUCAAAAACCGGGUUUGACCGGGAAAAAACCGGUUUUUCCGGUUCAACAGUAAUUUUUUUUUAAAAAAAUUCAAACUUUUUAAUAUUAUGUUUUGACCCCCUAAAUUGUUAAAACUUAUUGAUAUAGCUCAAAUAUUUGAUACUUUAUAAAUAUUGUCCUAAAAUUUGAUGUUAUUUUUCAAUUAAAUUCAUAAUUUUAAUUCUAAACUUGUUAAUAUUUAUUAAAUAAUAUAAAUUGCUACUUGAUUGUUCUAAUUUCUUUGUAUUUUCUUGUUAAAUAUAUUUGAAACAUCAAAUAUAUAUGAAUAUGCCUUUAUUAAUAUCAAUAUAUUAUUAGAUAUUAUAUAUAUAAUAUUUUAAUUUUUAAAUAAUUUUUAUUUAUGACGUCAUCCGGUUCGACCCCUAUCGACCCCCGGUCGAACCCAUUGACCCCUGACCCCUGACCUCGGCCGAGUCGCUAUCCGGUCCGGUUCUGAAAACAUAGCAAUUCAGUACCUUUUUCAGUCCCCAAAUUCCCGGGGAAAUUUCUAAUCUAUGGAGUUCUUCUUAGUGAGGAGGCUCAUUAGAAUGGUGACACAUACAUUCAAAUCUACGCAUCCUCUGCAUUUUACGAUGAAUGUAACAUGAUUCUUCGUUAAUUAUUCUCCAUCUAAGAAUAACCCAAAUUGCUAACCGACUCCCCCAUUGUUGGAGUAUACAGGUGCCUGAGAGAAGUGAUGUUUAGUUGCUAACCUUUGUGAUCUCAUCAUAAGUCGAGAGGUAGUUGAUCAAAACUCCUUGUGUUCAUUUGCCAGUUGCCACUUUGAUGCUUAUUUUCAUUCCACUGCAACAUCUAUUCUUCAGUUGGUGGAUGCUGUUAGGAACUUAGGAUUUAAUUAUCUCAGUCAAAAUUUUUGCAACUAAAAUCUAGUUGAGAAGGCAUACCAACCUAUACAUCUUCAAACUGGUCCAACUACAUUUGAACUUAUCCUUGAAGCUGAAGGGCUUCCUUUAAAUAGCCUAGUCUUCCCCUUUAAGCUGAUCAAAAUACACAAAAAAAUCCUACUACCUUGGAAACUCAAAGCGGAGCUUCGAUCUUCUGCAUCAAUCAAUCAGCAUGGCUUCUUCUUCUUUUUCUAACCUUUGCAUCUUUCUAUCUCUGAUCAUUGCUUUGUCAUUUCCAAGCAUUCAUGUAACCGAGGCGGCUCGCCAGCUUUUACAAACCUCACAACCAACAAUACCGACGUUGCCCACCCUGCCAAACUUGCCCACCGGAGCAGCAGCAUUGCCACCAUUGCCAACCACUCCUCUGCCAACAUUACCCACAAAUGUUCCAUCCUUGCCAAACCCCGCAUUGCCAACAGUUCCCACAAUUCCUCUGGGUGCCCUCCCUCCCAUACCAGCUGCAACUUCAUUGCCAAACAUCCCAUUCACAAUCCCUUCAAUCCCAACUAAUCUCCCAACGUCAAUUCCUUCAAUUCCUUUCUUCUCACCUCCACCAUCCAACUAGACCAUUUUCUACCUGAACUUGUUUCAAUCAUUGAAUAUGCCGUAUCUGUUGCUUCGUUGUGAUAGCCUAAUGAUUUCCAUAUAAUUUGGAAAUUUUCACAGUUUCAAUGGUCCUUGUAGGGAUCCUAUGAAACAGAUGGAGUUUGGAUUAUAUUGUGAGUCCCUGUAUUGUACACUGCAGGUUGUAUUCCCAUUUCUAAUGUUAUGAAUCCUUUUAUAUUUAUACUAUAUAAGAGCAACAUCUUAAAAUUUUCUCUUUUUUUUUUGUAUUUGAUUUUUCUGGAAUUACCUUCUCAGUUUCUAGUGCUCUGUUACACUGCUAAUUCCAUUCCAUUUGAUGAUAUGUCUCUUGAAUUAUGAGUAGUGUUUCAAUGAUGGGAACAACAUUCGCGCCGAUUUGGUCCCCAUGUGGUAUUUGGCAAAAAUGUCACGGAAACUUUAACAAAAAAAAGUCAGAUCUACCAUGUAAUUUUAAGAAGGAACAAUUUUGUUGCUUGCGAUUGGGAAAGCAACAGUUUGUAUUUACUUUCAGUUUUAAGAAUAUGGUGUAAUGAAGUCAAUUCGAACUCAAUUAGUGAACAACUCGAGAUCGAUCUGAACUAAAGUACUUGAGUUCAAAUUUGAAUUCAAACUUGACAAACUCUUAAGUUUCAUCACAUACAAAUGCUCACGCUUGGACUCGUCAUUUUUUUUUUUUUUUUGGAAUUCAUGAAGUUGUUCAAACUUGAUCAAAGCAAACUCGAAUUCAAGCUUUAAUUGAACAACCUUGUGAGUGGUUGGAUUGGACGUUUGCAACCCUACUUUAAUAGGAAUACUUGUUAAUUGAUACCAAGGUUUCCUUCAGUUACUAAAGCUUUGGUGCUACGUACUAUUUAGAUUCAGUUUUAAGAGUUAUUAAUGAAUAGCAGCCAAUAAUAUAAAAGCAGCAUAAAUUACAACAGUUAUAAUAGCCUCUCAAAUGAUCAUGAAAUCAAAAGCAAACCGCAUGAAUGAAAUCAAUACUGAUGGGGUUUAUGUUCUUGAAUUUUCUGUUUAUUUAAUUCCCUUCGCAUGAUAAUACAAAUAUGAUUCUUGGAGAUAAAGUUCCCUAAUAUUUGAGAGUUUCGUCCGCUCAAAUAAAUAUUCCACGUGUCUGACUUUUGGAGAAGAGAACACUUGGCAAAGCCUGGAUUAAACCUUAUUUGUCCAAGUCAUUCCCAUUUCCAGUUCAUCCCCUAUAAAUUCACCCCAUACAGAUCAGUUUCAUGCAGUCAAAACGUAAUUUCUCCUGAUCAGUUUCAAAACUGUGGAUUGCCAGAUGAUGGAGAAGGCUUCAAUCAAGUCUACUCUCUCAGAGUUGCUCUCUUCAUUCUUCCAAUUUGUUAGCCUCUCUCUCUUGAUCUCUCAUUUACACUUGCACAGGACUAGAAUGUGUAUUGGUGAUGGGAUUCUUGCUUCAUAACUUGAAUUCACCGGUUGAAAAUCAUCACUUUAUUUCUUCUAUUAAAAGAUUGUUUCUUGUUCACAAAAAAGGAAAAAAAAGAAAAAGAAAAAGAUAAACAGGCCCUUUUCAGCUAACAGUUCUUUCUUCCUAAUGUCAUUUGAUUGCAGUAUUAUCAUUCCCAACGAUGAAAGUGAUGGAAGUGAAAAUGGCAACGAGCAUCUCAAGAAAAUUUCAGAUAUUUGAAUGUGGAAAUCCUUGUAGCUCUGAUGCGGAUUGCAAAUGCACUGAUUUCUAUUGUGCUCCCGGAUGUGAUGAUAAUGGUUAUUAUAUUCAAAUCAAUUUUGGCAAUCUUAAUUAACCAAGGUGGCCAACAAUAAUGGUGUACUUAAUAAGGGUGUUUGUAUGUAUGUAAUGUAAUCUGAUCAUUCGAAAAUGACUUGAUUAAACCAGAAGAUGUACUUAUUUUAUUAGAUCAGUAUAGACCAAAUCUUGAACUUUCUAUACUGCUAAGUUGACAUAAAUUUUAUAUCAAGUCAAAAGUGUCUUGUCCUCUUAAUUAAAAUUUUAACUAAUUCCGACUAUAAUUCCCAAAAAAAUGACAUUCACAUCGCAGUUUAAUUAAUUAAGAGAGUAGAUUUACUAGCCUCACUUCAGGAUCAUCCUAUGUACGUGGAUGUGAGGACAUGGCAUUUACUUGCCUACCCAAAGAAAAUUUAAAAGAAAAAAGAAACCUGGACCAGAACAAACCGGACCGGACCAGACCAACCUCCAGUAGUGCCCUGGUCUGAAAGUUUUUUUUUUUAUAUAUAUAAUUAAAGAGUGUGCAAUAGAUGCUUGAUAAUACACUUAAUUAACAAUUGUUAUCCUACUUUAUAUUUUACAUAUAUGUGUUUUUCUUAAUUAACUUUUUACUUUUUAAAAAUAUGAACUCCUAAAUUCUAUCUUAAUGACAAUCCAUUAGGUACCACUUAAAUAUACACUAUAUAAUUUUACAAGCCCAAAACCCAAAGCGCUAAUUUUCUAACUUUUCAAAAAAAAAAAAAAACCCCCCAUCCACUCGGCCAGGUCUUUUCCCAACGAGUACUCAGGCUGCUGGCCCUAAAUUACUAACUUCAAACUCACAACAAACUUUGGCAAAUGAUGAGUUAGUUUUAAAAAUGCUUGUUUUCUUAGCUAGGUAAUUAUGGUAAUAUGCGUACAAGAACUAUUUUGUUCCUUGUUGAAAGUGGCUUUCGAAAUUAUUUUAUAAUCAUGUUACCAAUUUUAAAAAUUUUGAAGUUUUUUUAAUAACUAAAGGUAAAUAGAAGGAUUCACAUCAUUAUCCUUCCUAGUCUGGAGUUAGUUCAUCGACAUUUUUCUAUGCUGGCUUCUCACAACCACGUCCUGUCCAUCAAAAUCCUCUCAUCUAUUUCAGUUGUCAAAAAUGAGCUUGGCACUUGGCAACUGGCAGGUCAUUCCAUAUCAUAUAUACACAUUAUUUAUGUAUUCGGUGGACUUUUGUUGAUGAGAAUUCUGAACUUCGAAAAAGUGGAAUUGGUUGAGCUAGCAAACCAACCAGUAAUUCUUCCAACUUGUCCAACUACAUCUAGCCAACCAUUGCUCCCUAUAAAAACUAAAAAGCAUUACCUCCCCCUUCAACUCAAACAACAUACUAACACAUAUAUUAUUCCCCUACAAAUCCAAUUUCGAGCUUCUUCCUUCUGCGGUAUUCAAUCCAAGUACUCAAAAUGGCUACUUCUUCCAAUGUCUGCUUCUUUCUGUCUUUGCUCAUUGCUUUAUCAUUUUCGAGCAUCCAAGAAAGCCAGGCCGCUCGCCGACUAUUGCAAACUUCCCCACCAGUGAUACCAGCAAUACCAACAUUGCCUGGUACAACCCUGCCAAAUUUGCCUACCACAUUGCCACCAUUGUCAAGUACUCCUUUGCCAACAUUACCAACAAAUCUUCCAUCUUUGCCAACUAUGCCCGCAGUUCCGAAGGUGGCCCUCCCUCCCAUUCCAGCUGCAACUUCAUUGCCAAAUAUUCCAUCCACAAUUCCUCCAAUCCCAACUAAUAUCCCAACUUCAUUUCCUUCAAUUCCUUUCUUCUCACCACCGCCAUCCAACUAGACAAUUUUCGAUAUUUGAAUGUUUGAGUUUGUCAUAUCUGUUGUUCCUUCAGAUCGCUUAUCAUACGAUCGAUUUCAUGUACUAGUAAUUUUUACAGUUUCGUUAGUCCGUCUAUAUAGCUAGGGAUCUUAUGAAGUAGACGGAGUUUGGUUUGUUUUUGAGAUUGUAUUGCGAUUGUUUAUGUUAUAACUAGUUCUUAAUUGAUACCAUGUAGGAGUUUCUUGUUUGUUGUUUCUUGAUACUUUCAUUUAUUCAUCUAUCUUUCGUUGGCUUGAGGCCUUAUAUUACACCUCUCGUUACACUUUAUUAUUCCACUUUUUAAAAUGACAUGCAUCCCCACAACACAUUAAUCAAAAGAACUUGGAUUCUUAUCCAUGAUUAUAUGCAACACACGUCAAUCUAACUGUUUGUCUAAUAAGAAUAUAACAUAAAUCAGACGAUCUUUUUUAUUUUGUAAAUUACAUUCUCACGACUCAGCUAUUAUUCAUCAUAUCUAAAAAUUUAAUUUAAGGUCAAUUUUAGAAACCUUCUUUAAAGUUUUUAACGAUUUCAGGCAGUGCUCUCUUGUAAUUUGGAUAAUUAAACCCACCUACAUUGCUAACUUGAAUUGAGUAUCAUAACCCUUUUCUAAGAUACAGGCUGUUUACAAAAUAAAAAACCAGAAAAUUAUUCACCCAAAUUCCCCAACCCUCCCCGUUUUCUUGUCAGCACUAUGGUACUUUUAUCCAUUUUUACCACCGUCACCACCAUCAUUGCCAAAAGCAUGGCAAACAGAUGCUUCUCAAAUUACCUGCCCAAAAAAAAAAAAAAAUUUCUAAUGAGAUGCUGCAACACCACGCAAGCCAUAAUCUACCAGCCCAAAAACCUCAACAAAAAAAAAAAAAAAAAACCACACACACGAGAUGCUCCUUCUUUGCCAUCAAGCAUAUCUGCCCAAAUCCUUUGUUACUUUGGUUUCCUCAACCAAUAUACCUCAAUCCCUCCCCUCUCUCAAAUAACAUCUCAAAAGUAAUGGAGUCAGCUCCAGUCCCAAGGGGUAUACUUCUUUCUUUAGUUAUUCAUGGUGGAAAUAUGCUGCUUUAGGUCUUUAAUCUCAAUCAAUGUCCACAAUAGGUAUAGACGACAGACAACCAAGCUAUGCUGGUUUCAGCAAUUUGAUACAGACGUCCAAAAAAUAAAACAAAAAAGUAUUAAUAUGGAUAUAAUAAUUGCAAACUCCAAAUUACUAAAAUGUCAGCGUUUAGCCAAAUGUAUGAUCCCACACUUGGAUUCAAUAUAUAUAUAUAUAUAUUUAUUAGGUCGCUUGGUUUCAAUUUCUCCAAGCUUAUAUGAUCAUACACUUUGUUUGAGUUUCUUUAAGCUCUAUCUGUCUUUGGUAUACGGUUAAAGGCUUAAUGCUUUGUUAGGAGCCUUAAGUUUGUCUGUUUAGGUACAUGGUUUAUUGGAACUUUAGUUGCUGUAGCCUAAAUUCCUUUUAGUAAAGAUUAAAUUAAUGGUGGGAUCGUAGUAGAAGUAAAAAAAAAAAAAAAAAAAAAAAAAAAAAAAAAAAAAAAAAAAAAAACCCUGGACUAGGAUUAUAUUUUGUGGUAAGCACUUUUUGAUACGUUUGUGUAUCAUAAAGUAUCAUCAAAUGUGGAAAUCUUAAUUACUCAUAUUCUGAGACCGAACAAACAAAAAAGAUAAUCUGAAUCAGAAACUUGUGCUUGUGAUUCGUGAACAUCCGUCAUCUUACUCUAUUAAUUUGGUCUCCAGCGGUUGUAUUACUCUUUGGUUUUGAUUUUAUCUGGUUGUACUUUUGGUCAAGCAGUGACUUGUUGAAACUGGCCAAUGAAUUGGAAAAAAAAAAAAAAAAUCAAAAGCGAAGCGGUUUGUUCAAUUUUCGUGUGUUUUCUUUACAUUAAAUUUAUUCACAUAUUAACAUUAUAUGGUUUCUUGUGGAUUAAGUUCCUAACGUGAGAUUCUGCCCGCUAUGGAAACUUUUAUAUUGUACCGAAUUUGAAAGACCUAUUUGGCACAUUCUCGAUCAAUCCUCAUUUGUCGAAUCCAUUUCCAGUUUGAGUUUAUCCCCUAUAAAUUCACCUGAAAUAGACUAGUUUCAUGCAUACAGAAAUUAGUUUCUACUGCUCAUCAACGACAGUGGAUACUAGAUGGAGAAGGCUUCAAUCAAGCCCGCUCUCUUAUUUGCUCUCUUCAUUCUUCCAAUUUGUGAGUUUCUCUAGGAUUCUUACCUCAGAACUUGAAGUCACGGGUUCAAAAUCCACACUUUUAUUUCCCCUACUAAAACAUUGUUCCUUUUCCAUUUAAAGAAAAAAGCACAGGUAAAAAGACCCUUUUUCAUCUAACAAAACCUUUUUUCCCCUAAUGUGAUUUAAUUGCAGUAUUAUCUUUUCCAGUGAUGAAAGCCAUGGAAGUGAAAAUCACUGGCAACAAGCAUCUCAAGAAAACUUCAGCAGGAUUGUGCAAUUCCUUGUGGCUCUGAUGCGGAUUGCACAUGCAUAGGUUUUAGUUGUGCUCUGACUCCCAUAGAGGGAUGUGACGAUAAUGGUAAUUGUAUUCAAGUUAGUCGUUGCCUGGACGAAAUUCAAGCAUUGUGGCAAACGAUAAGAGGCGUGUAAUACAAUUAUUUUAAAGGUUUGGUGCACUGGUUACUGGUUUCUUUGGUAGUAAGAGUUUGUUUGUAAUAAAAAUAGUAGGAUGAGAUUUUUUUUUUUUCCGAACGUAAAAAGGGAUUUUAUUGAAUAGAACAUGAAUGUACACAAGUGCAGAGGUAUUCGCUACACAAAAGUACUACUAAAACCAAUUAAGCUAUACAAUAGUACUGCUACAAUGAACUAAACUCCGAUUAUGCUAUCAACAUUUAAGAAAAAUGCCUUGGGGAAAUCCCAACUAAAGCAAAAUAACCAGUUGUCUCUUGUACUCGAUACAUUCCUCCAUUAUGCCACAUAAGAGCGAAUCUCCUUCCAUAUAUAAUAUACAACUGCCUCUAGUGCCAACUUUUUUACUGUGUUUAUAAAGCAUUCUUUCUUCCAAUGACAACUGAGACAUUUAACUUCAGUAUGCCAUUCAUAAGUUCCGCGUAUUGCAAGUGGGGCAUUGCUGUAUUCUUGACCAAAUAUAAGUUGCAUACUCACAUUAAAAAAAGAGAUGAUUACAAGAUUCAUUUCCAGUAUAGCAUAAUACACAUCUCAUUUCAGACAUAAUGCCCCACUUAACCAACCUGUCCUUUGUGCUUAAUUUGUUCUUGCACAACAACUACAAGAUAAAUGAAUGUUUUGGAUAUAUUUUUUGAAGCACACAAGAUGAUGCCAAUAGACCUCAGUAGCGAAAUGGUUCAACCCUUCAUUUUCAGAUUUGACAGAGAACAAACCUAAUUUACUGGGCAGCCAUUUCACUAUAUUUGACAUUCCCUCGCUUAGUAACUAUCUAGAAGGAAGAAAUUGUGCAAAAUCAUCUACUUCAACAGGUCUCCUCCUACCAGCAGGGAUCUUCCACUCUCUAUUUUCAAUGAUAGAAAAAACCUUAGCUUGUGGCGUACUUCCAAACUAUCGCACCAUAUUGGGCCCAUAAGCUGUGAAUAAUGGCCCUCUAUGGUGCCUAUUAUCAUACCAAAGAAGUAUUUUCUCCACUUUUGAUCACUGAGACAAUAAAGGGCUGUAUAAUAGGUCUGAUUUGAAGGAGUUUAUGCCAAACCCAAGAACAAAAUUGAGGCAAUGAAAUAGACCAGAAACAUUUAUUUUUGAGUUUCACAAUGUGAACCCAAGCAAUCCAAAGAGAAUCCUUUUUAAGUGUUAUGUGCCAGAUACGUUUAAACAAUAAAACCUUAUUCCAAUUAGUCAAAUUAGGUAAUCCAUGUUCUCCUUGUUUGAUAGUAGGAUGAGAUUGUUGGUGUGUUAGUUACUCAUUGUCAAUGUAUGGAUUUACUUCUGGUCUAGAUUGAACCAGAAGAUGUUCUCUUUCUAUUUAAUCAGUAUAGACCAAAUCUUGGUAAUUUCUAUAUUUCUUGGUUCACAUAAAUGUUGUAUUGAGUUCGAUACCCAUGAUACGAGACUGACCUGCUGGAGUAAUGAUGGAUUGUAGAUUAUUUGUGAUCCAAGAUCAUCCAAAAAGCAAACUGAAACAACCUUAGUGGCCCAAAAAUUUUUUUUUUAAAUAAUAAAACGAGGUUGCAAAAUUUCAGAUAAUAAAACAGAAAUUUGCUACUUCUCAGUCGAACAAGAUUGUUAAUUAACCUUAGAAGCCCAUAAUACAAAUUGCCAAUUUUUUGAAACCCAUUCUUUCUAUGAACUUUUCCUAACUUGUACUCGCUCUUCCAAACUUGGAUUACCAAUUCAAAUUUGCGGUCUAAAUUCCAUCCCAGGUAGAACACAUGUACUUAUUAUUUACUUGGUAGAUUUUUUGUUGAGGAAUCUGAGUUUCUAAUAAGUGAGUUUAGUUGAGAAGGCAAACCAACCAAUGCUUCUUCAAACUUGUCCAACUACAUCUGACCAACCAUUGCUUCCUAUAAAAAGCAUCAUCUACCUGCUCAUCCCCUACGGAUUCAAUUUGAAGCUUCUACCUUCUACAUUAAUCAAACAAGUGCUCAAAAUGGCUACUUCUUCCAAUGUUUGCUUCUUUCUAGCUUUCCUCAUUGCUUUAUCAUUUUCGAGCAUCCAAGAAAGCCAGGCGGCUCGCCAACUAUUGCAAACUUCCCCACCAGUGAUACCAGCAAUACCAACAUUGCCUGGUACAACCCUGCCAAAUUUGCCUACCACAUUGCCACCAUUAUCAAGUACUCCUUUGCCAACAUUACCAACAAAUCUUCCACCUUUGCCAAAGCCCACAUUGCCAACUAUGCCCACAAUUCCUAAGGUGGCCCUCCCUCCCAUUCCAGCUGCAACUUCAUUGCCAAACAUUCCAUUCACAAUUCCUUCUAUCCCAAAUAAUAUGCCAACUUCGAUUCCUACAAUUCCAUUCUUCUCUCCACCGCCAUCCAACUAGACCAUGUUAGACAUGAACACGAUUCAGUGUUUGAAUUUGCAUAUUUGUCGUUCCUUCAGAUUGCUUAUUGAUACGAUUUCUUGUACUUGAAAUUUUUACAGUUUUAUUAGUCCGUCUAGCUAGGGAUCUUAUGAAGUAGGCGGAGUUUGGAUUUCAUGUGAUUGUUUCCUUUGGUGGGUUGUAGUCCCCGUAUUGUGCCUUGGACAUUGUAUUCCGAUUGUUUAUGUUAUGAAUUAUGAUGAGUUCUCUGAUACUAUGAACGAGCAACUUUUUUACUUAUGUUUGUUUCUUUUGCCAACUCUAAACAUUACUUUAAGUCAUAGAUACGAAUGUGGGAUACAAAAGUUUAGUUUUGGGAUCUACAGCAACCGUUAUACCAGAAUACAUCUACGCUUAAAAUGGUGUACUCCCAAAAAAAAAAAAAGGAAGUCUUGGGAUGGACAUAAUGAAGAGUUUCAAUAUGUAAGUUCUAUCAUCUGCACAAAUAAAUUGGAAAUUCAUGAUGUGUUAAUGUACAAACAUUUGGGAAAAUGUUGCGGAAUUUGAACUAGUUUCAUAUAUAGGUGUAUUUUUUUUUUUAAAGAAUGAAAAUUCUAUCCAAUAAAGACUACAUUCACUUCACAAAAAAAAAAAAAAAAAAAAAACAAAGAUUAGAUUCACCAGCUGUCUAAAGUUUCAACUUAAAAAAAAAACUUAAAAGUCUUUGAUGAUUAAUUACCUUAUUAAGUCUCUCUUGCCAAUAAAAUCUUGAUUUAGUAGUGAAACAACACUACUAAACCACUUGCAUUAAGAGCUGAAUUCAUCCGAACAACCCAAAAGAUUCGUUUUAAAGAGAUAAAUAACAUAUUUUUCCAAAAAAGAAAAAAAAAAGUGAUGCCAUAGCAAAAGCGUGAAAAAUAAAGGGGUUACACGAACACCCUCCAUCAGAAAAUUAUUACACAAAUGAAAUCUAGGUAUGAAUCAGUGAUUCAUAAGAAAUGUGAGAUAACUUUCAACAAUUAGAAUAUCCAAUUAAAAUUUCAUUAAUAGUUGAUAAAAGACUUGUUACAAAAGUCCUGGAAAAAACCUAUUUAUAAACUACAAAAGUUUAACCUAAAAAGAAAACAAAACACACGAAAAACUCUAAAACAACUAAAAGAUGCGUUGCAGCCGUGAUGACCCUUCAGAUAUAUUUAGUAACACUAGAUUUUUUGUUUUUUUUUUUGGGGUAAGUUCGGGUAACAUGAUUUUGCUUCUUAGCUAGAAGUGACGGGUUCAAAUCUAUACUUCCUUUCUUCUUUCAACACAUUUUUUUAAAAAAAAAAAAAGGACUGGUAAAAAGGCUUUUCAUCUGACGAUUUUUUUUGGGAUUUAAUUGCAGUAUUGUCAUCGCCAAUGGUUCAAGGGAUGGACGUGAAAAUGGCCACAAUUAUCUCAAGAAAAUUACUUCAGACUGAAUGCGAAGUUCCGCUGAAGACGAUUGAACAUGCAGUAAUCACUCUUGUUGUUGACAACCCAAUAUGCGAAGAUGAUGAUGAUUGCGAUGCAGUAUUCAAAAAAAAAAAAAAAAAAAAGUAUGCCAGCAUAUGUGUAGCCUCAAACCCUGAAGUGAUUGUUCGAGAUAAUUCAUGGUUGGAACUUGGAAUCGAAACGCGAGAUCUGCUUUCUCUACAUGAAAAAUCUAAAUAAAAUCCUCAAUUUCGACAUAUUUCGAAGUUCAGAUAAAUGUUUGAUAAGUCAAAUGUUGUACCUUGCAUCUUGUGACCAAGUCUGUAAUGCAAAUAAUAGGAAAUAAACCAAAGUGCAUUGCAGUACAAGGACUGCUCAUGUCUGUUUGUAGUUUAAUUUGAAUAUUUCGUGCAAGUUAUAUAUAUGUACGUUCUCGAAAUUAUUUCCAUGGAAUGUCGCUCAUGCUUUGAUUUGACCAUUAAUCCCUUUCAUUUUUAUUAUUUGUAGUAGUAUUAAUACAAGGAUUUUUACUUCGACUAAAUAAUAGGAGAUUAGUAUGAAAUGAGAAGCUCUCAAGAUACAGAUCGAGGGAUAAUAUCCUGCAAACACUAGAUUAGUACAUGAAAUAUAAAUUGCUUGUUUGAUUCCUUCACGACUUUUAGGUCUACCAGAAAUUUAUACCAAGAAUUUUAUACAGAGGGAUAUUUAUGUUUUGAUACCAAGAAAUGCACUGGCACUAAUUAGUGUACCAAUUUUGGUUAUUUAUGCAAGCCUUGGAAGUAGGCUUGGAUCGAUCAUUUCAAAGAUUUGGUCUAAUGCUUUAUUGGUUUGUUUAUCAAAUGAGGACAAUCUAGUAUGAGACUGCUUGUGGUAGUAUGAGAAUGUUUUGUAAAGACAAUCUAUGAUGAGAUUAUUGGUGUUUUUUACUGCUCAUAUCAAAUGUUGAAAUUAAGAUUAUAGAGAUGGACUGAUAUGAUCAUUAAAAAAUAAUUUCUGUUCUAGAUUGAACCGAGACAUGUACUCUUUCCCCUACCUCUUUUAAAUUCCAACCUUCCCUUAUUAUAAAAAAAAUUAAAAAUAAAUAGAAAAGUAAGCUGUUUUUUUUUUUAAGAGGACAACUUCACAUCACAAAUACAGUUGAACUACUCUUUUUUUUUUUCUUCUCCUUGUCAAGUGUUGGCCAGGUCUGGCCUCAGUAUCGCUGCUGUUCGAUUGGAUUUUCCUCUCAAGUUCCUCUCCUGUAUUGACCUUACCCCAUAUCAGAUUCUGUGAGGGAAUUCUUAAUAAUGUUGAUGCAAUCGAAUCGACCAAGUGUACACUUGCACACCAUAAACUGUUGGUGGUUCAUCAGCAUUCUAAUUCCAAACUAAUUCAAAGUUUAGUUGAGAAAGGCCAACUAAACCUAAUUCUACUAAUCCAACUACAUUCGAUCAAACACUUUCACCUCUAUGGCUAUCUAUAAAUAAGAGUCAAGAAACAAUAUGCGAGUCCCUCAACUCAAAACCAGAAAAAAUACCCAUCUUGUACUUGUCGUAACACUUAAAAAAGUGUUUGCUAAUUUCUAAAUUCCAAUACAAUAUCAUUUACCAAUGGCUGCUUCUUCCAAAGUUUGCUUUGUUCUAUCCUUGAUCCUAGCUUUAUCAUUUUCAAGCAUCAAGGUUUCUAACGCAGCUCGCUACCUUCUGCAGACGACGCCAGGAAUACCUACAAUGCCAUCGUUGCCCAAGUUGCCUCCAUUGCCUACCAUGCCAAGCUUCCCUACAGCCACAUUGCCACCAUUGCCAGCUACCCCUUUGCCCACAUUACCCACAAAUCUUCCAUCACUGCCAAAGCCCACAUUUCCGCCAUUGCCAAGCACUCAGCUUCCAACUUUGCCUUCCAUUCCAUCUAUUCCUACUACAAUUCCUACUUUACCUUUCCCCUCACCACCACCAUCAAGCUAGACAUUGAAAACGAAGCACUUCGAUUAUUUAUCAUCAUUUCUUUACUGGGAAGUCUCGAAAUCCAUGAAGAUUAGCGAUCAUUUCUUUUUUUUUUUUUUUUUUUUUUUGGUGGCUCCAGCCAUAGUCGAAUGUUACUCAUACUAUGAUUGCGUUGCUGUAUCUUUGUUCUUCAUACUAUGAUUGUAUUAUUGGAUCUCUGCUACUCAUACUAUGAUCGUAUUAUUUGAACCUUUCUUUCACGGGGUCUGAGUAUCUGGUUAAGAUUUGACAGACAGCCAUCAGAAAUCUUAUCUCAACAACAUAAAAGCGGCUCUUUGGUUACAUUCUUUGAAUUAAUUGAUUUUUUUCUGAAAGACGAAAAUAAAAUGCGAAUCUAAGGCUGCGAACGAAAACACAAACGACUACUGGCAAAACGCGAUUCUGUUAGAUGAUAUUGCUUUCAGGAAAAUAUAUAUAUAUAUAUAUAUAUUGGUUUCCGGGUGAAAAAAAGAAAGUUCCAGACAAAAGCACUGAAAUAUCACCGACAACUGUAUACUGGGCCAGCAGCAAUUCAGUCCUUUUACAAUCCAAGCAUUCCGGUGCAACAUACUUGUCUAGAUUGAAAUCAGGCUUCAUGUCAAAGUUGAUGGAACUUCAUCUUGGAAACCCCAAAAAAAAAAUUUUUUUUUGAGAGAUAGACAAGCAAAACAUGAGAGGAUUUACUUUUCGCGCACUUUUAUAGUCUGGAUGUAAAUCUUGUCAUCACAUCUUUGAUAAGUAUCCGGGAUAGCUGUUUAUAUCACAGUAGUUAAUUGAAAACAGAUUAAAAUUUUUUAUGUUUUUUGGUUUAAAUGAGAAUUUUGUUCACCAGUUAAUAUACACAUGCCGCGUGUUCAAGCAAUGACGAGUUUGGAUCCUCUUAAUUGGUGUAACUUCCAGAGCUGUUAGGUCGUAGUUGUGCAAGCAACUCAUUAACAUAUUUAAAUAUGUUGAACACUUCAACGAUUUUUAUAUAAUUUAUUAGGAUAUGGUACAUGUAUUGUGUGAUUUGAUAUUAUCAGACUCGAUUUUUACAUAAUAUGAUAUGGUAUGCAUUUACAUAAGUUAUUGCACUGAAUUUCUUAGCAGAUGGAGUGCAAAAGAACAAAACGUACAGAAAAAAUAAAAUAUGGCUCGCAUGACGUAAAUUUGCAUCAAAAUAUGUAACAAAUACAAUUGUAUAGAACUGCACCUACCGCAAUGGGACUUGCCUCAUUUCCAUUUUAUCUGCAUCAGAAAGGAGCUAUAAAAAAUGCUAAACUAUUAUUAGCAAGUUUCGCAACUCAUCCAAAGAAAUCCAAACGGAUGUACAUCAUCCUUUGAAUUUUUGGUCUUAACUUUCCCAUUAUGGUAUGUGUGUGUUUGAAAAGUAAAAGCUGAAAACAAGAGGGGACUUUGAAGCAGCUGACGAGUUCCAUGCGAUGUACUGUUACCAUUGCGAAAUCAGUUUCCAGGUGUACACUACUUUUGCUACCUGUCACCAUUUCAGCCCCUUCACCAUGAAAUUUUUCCAGAUCACAUGUCAAAAACUCAUCUAAAACCUGAGAAACCAUAAGUCCAGAUUGAGAAAAUGCCAAGAACCCACCGCACUGCAAUUUUCUACUGAUAAUCUAGACACCAACGUCAUACUCUAAUCAAUGUAUCAUGCUCUUCAAGCACAUAUCAUGAAAUCCUUCUGGUUUCCUUCACUAUAAAUAGAGCUUGAAUGAACUAGUAUUUUCCUAACAUCUUCAGUUUCUCUUUUGUAAGCCAGAAAGCACAGGAAAAAUGAAGUCCGGAGCGUUUAUUUUGGUUGCACUUCUAUGUGCUCUAUUUCUUCUCGUUUCUUCCACUAUGGCUGUUGAUUCACCCAAGGAUGGAACAAAGGGUAAGAAAAUACUAGUACCAAGUAGCUAUGUUUAUGUUUUUGCAAGAUUUCCAUCGGUCAUUAACUUGAUUUUCUUAUUUUUCAAUAGAUAUAUCAUACGAUCUCCGUUAAUGAAUAGUAUGGAUAAUAGGAUGAAUUACAAAAGUUUGACUGGUUGACAAUUUUUGUUUGCAGAGGACAAGGCAAAGGAACCCGAACAAUAUGGAGGUCGGUGUAGGUUUGGCUGCUGUGGUCGUUUGGGCCCCUAUGGUUGUAGUAGGUGUUGCAGAACAGGUAAUAGUUGUACCAUUUAAAGAAACAGGAUUUAAAUGGAUAUAAAAUCGCACCUAGCUAACACAAUCAUACCCAGUCCCAUUUGAUUGACAUCAAAAAAGAGCUAUUGAAAAGCCUGAACUAUUAUUAGCUAUUUCACUACUCAUCCAAAUAAACCCGAACGGAUGUACUUUUGUCUCAACUUUUCCCGUUAUACGGUUAUAGUAUGUGUGUGUUUCAAAAGUAAAAGCUGAAAACGAGAGUUGACUUCGAAGCACCUGACAAGUUCCAUGCGUGCAGUUGCUAAGACAACCUCGUAAUAUAGUGUUACCACUGCGAAAUCAGUUUCCUGGUGUACGCUACGCUAUUCUUGCCACCUGUCGCAAUUUAAGCCCUUUAACUAUAUAUUUCUUCCAGAUCACAUCUUGAAAACUCAUCUAAGAACUUAGAAACUGCAUUCCAGAUUGAGAAAAGUCCAAGAACCCAGCGUACUGCAUUUUGUACGCACUGAUAAUAUAGAACAACGUCGUAUCCUCAUCAAAGUAUCUUGCUCUCAUGCACGUAUCAUUAUAUCCCUCUAGUUUCAUUCACUAUAAAUAGUGCUUAAAAUGGACUAGCAUUGCCACAACGUCUACAGUUUCUCUUGUGUAAACCAGAAGCUUAAAAAAAAUGAAGUCCAGAGCGUUUAUAUUAGUUGCUCUUCUAUGUGCUCUAUCUCUUCUUGUUUUUGCUACUAUGGUCUGCUGAUAACCCAAAAGAUGAAACAAAGGGGUAAGUGCAUCCCAAUAUUUAGUAGCUAUUGCAUGUGGCCUUGCUAUGCCUGUAUAUACUUCUGUUGUAUUUCCUUAAACUUUUGCCUAUACUAUCAUUUCAAUCAUUAAAUGUUACUUGAUUUUCUUAUUUUAGAACCACGAUUCAAUUAUUUAUAUUCACUUUUAAUUACAAAAUUGAAUUUUAUUGUCUUUCAAUGGAAUUAUCAUCUGAUAUAUGUAAGUUAUUAGUGUAAAUUAUGGGAUGAAUUACAAAAAUUUGUGUGGUUGACGGCCGUUGUUUGCAGAGAACGACGCGAAGGAGAACGAGGCUAAGGAACCCGAACAAUAUGGAGGUCCGUGUAGAUAUGGCUGCUGUGGUCGUCGGGGCCCCUAUGGUUGUAGUAGGUGUUGCAGAACAGGUAAUAGUUGCACCAUUCAAAGAAACAGGAUUUAAAUGCAUGAACAGUACUUGUAACUUAAAAAGUUGUGUUGUCCACUCCAUGUAGCUAAUGAAGCUGAAGCAACCCAAGUAAACGCUGACAUCAAUAGCAAUGAAGGCGGUGGACAUGGUGGUGGCGGCGGCUAUGGAGGUGGUGGUGGCGGCCAUGGAGGUGGCUAUGGAGGCGGCGGCGGUGGUGGCUAUGGAGGUGGUCAUGGUGGGGGAGGUGGUCAUGGUGGUGGAGGUGGAUAUGGUGGGCACUGCAGCUACGGCUGUUGUGGUGGCUAUGGCAAAUAUUGCAGGUGCUGCUACAACCCUGAAGAAGCUCAAGCUUUGGUACAAAAUGAGAACUGAGCCAAGCCAUAAAUCAAGGAAACUUCCAUGUACAACUUAGUUUGCAUGAAUAACUACAUGGUUGAAUGUUGAUCUUAUGACAAAAAUAAAAUACUUAGUACAUGUGCUUCUGUACUUAGCACAUAUGCAAGGAAUAAAAAGUUUCAGUCAUCAUUUGAUGAUGUGAAUUUCAAGUGUCCUUCAAUCCCAUGCCUGGAUUUCUUUUCUUUUUUUUUAAUUUGACAUCUGCUACUUGUCAUGUUCGUCUUUGCUCUUAACAUUUGCACUUUGCACUUGAAUGCUCCAAUCAAAAUUUAAGUAACUUUGCGAAAUAAAUAAAACAAUUCAUAAAAUUAUGCCAAAAGAACUAACUUAAGAAGGCACAUCAAGAAGAGAAUGUUUUGAGUUCCAAACACACAGUUAGUUAUAGACAAACAUUUUCACAAAUCCAUGCACAAUUUAAAGUUUAAAUUGCUCAACAUCUCAAUUAUGUGUCAGUUAGGGAUAGGAAGGGCAUUGUGUAGAAUAAUCUCUUUUGACUCUGUUAACAAAAUAAAUGGCUUGAUUUGCAUGACAAAUCAUGUUCAUAUGCAAUACAAAACACUACUACAAAUUGGCCAUUAAGAUUAUUUUAUUAACAACAGCAAACCAUUCAAAAACCAAACCUAUUAUUAGGAAGCUUCAUAAAGUCAUCCCAAGGAAAAACAACCAAACGAGUCUACUUCAUCUAAUGGAAUUUUUUGUUUUGUUUUGUUUUGGGUGACAUUUCUCGAUUUAGUAUGUUGAGCAUGCAAAACAGAGUGUACCGUUCAAGGAUUGACUUCCAAGCAGCUGACACAAGUCCCAUGCAUGCAUUACACGGAAACCCUCGUAACACAAGCCUACCAGAAUUUAUUUCUAGGUGUUGAUUACUCAAGAACCCUGCCAAAUUGAUAUAUGCUAGCUGCCACGAAUUCAGCCUCUUCUGAAUCAAAUUGUUUACAAAUAGGCCAAAUUGAUAUAUAUGCUAGCAUCAGCAUCAUCCGGGUUAGUUUUUAGAUGGGGGUAGCGAGAAGGAAAGAAAUCUUGGCAAUUACAUGGAAUGGUUGGUAAGGAAUGGAAAGAAUAGCGGUCGGGAUGUUAGGCACUUUAGGCAGACAGCAAGGGAGGCAGUGUCAAUUUCACAGUUGCAGGCACGUUAGGCAUGGAUGGCAAUGUGCUGGAAAAUGCUGGCUCUGUGGGCUUUGGCAGGGUACGUAUUCAUGCCACUGAUGGAGGCAAUGUAGUUGCAGGAAUUGCGGGCUUUGUGGGCUAUAACCAUAUAGAGUUGUAAGUAAUUUCUCACAGUAAAUGUUCUGCUUGUUCGUGGAAACAAGAGAACUAAAGCAUCAUCAGGUUUGACAAAUGCAAGUGCACAUCUUUGGACUUGGGAGUUGGGAGGACUCGGGAGCUAAUACCUACAUAGAAAAUGGGCGAUGGAUGAAGAAAGGUGCAACGGACUUUUUAUGUCCUCCAAUGUGGGUGGCAGAAUACACUUUCCUUGAAGUUGAUCAGCGAGAUUACUUUUGUGAUUGCUGAAAUUCAUGACAAAACGGUUCAACAUCUUCAAUCACAAAUUCGUCGAACUGCAAUUAUAAUCUCAUUGGACCAAACUCGAGUAAGCAAAUCAAAUCAAAUCGCUAAUGUCACUUCUUCCAAGUAGCGCUGACAUUCUAAGAUUGACAAGGAAAUGCAGGCUUUGACUCAUCAUUUACUUAAAGCAGGAUACAACAGCAAAAGAAAUCCAGAAGCAAAGAAUAUGAAACUAACCUGAAAACAAAGAUUUAGUAUUUCACAUUUAGAACAGUUACACGCAAAUCAAAAACAUUUUUGCUGCAUUGGGUCGGUGAACAUCCGUACAAGCAUGUGUUACAACAAGAUAUAUACAGUCUCAGGAGUAAUGCUACUAAAGUUUGAUGCCCGAUGCUGUCAGAAGAUAAAAUGGAACUCAGACACGUCGCUGAAGACUGGAGAGUCACUCAUCACUCAAACGGUGGUCUUCUUAGACAAAGAAACACCAUUAUCACAGCUGUUUAAGUAAAAUCCAACAGUCAAAGGCAACCAAAAAUAGUUAAAAUGAGGCAUAAAAUAAAUAGAUUUCACAUCAGACUUCAACGACACUACUUGUAAGCUUACAUUUCUGCAAAAGUGACUUAAGAAAGGGUGCCGGAUGAUAUGUUUGAGAAACCAAAGAUUGCAUUAGUUAAAUCCACAUUCAAAUGCACAUUAUAUACUUAGCCAGUCGUAUUGACCAUCCCAAUUAGUCAUGAGAUACAACUCAAGGCUGAUUAUCAAAUCAAAAGGAGUGGUUUGAAAACACAAAAUUUGGAAAAGAUGGCCAAUGGAAAUGUGGUUACAAGUACAAUUGAAUAUGAGAAACAUAACGAACUUGAUAGAUCUUCCUGCUGAAGUUAUUUGCUUUUCUUUUAAUUAGUUCAUAAAAUGUUAUUCGACUAUAAUAGUCAGCAGAAAGACAUCCAGAAAUUUUCUCACUCCAUAAUUGAAUUUAAGAAAAGAAAUUUAUACUAUAAGUUAAGUCUACGCCAAUGAACAAGUUGCACAAAAAUAGUUCUUAAAUAACUGAAACACGGCAAGAUAUGAAAUACACCGGACUUGCAAGUAAGCUUAGUCAAAUUUAAACAAGAAGAAGCAUCAGAUAAACAAAAUUGUUUAAUAGUAAGAGGCAAAGGAAAGAAUAUUACCCAUGAUACGAGCCUUAAGGGUGAUAAGGUUGCAGUCUCUUCAGAAAAAGGGUCAUACUAAAGAACCAGAAGAGUUCUUAAGCCUUGUCUUAGCGCUUGAAGAAAACAAUAUCUCUGCUGCAGCUAACUUUGAUAGCUUCCUCCAAACUCUCCAUCUGAUCAAAAUCAACUUUAAAAGUUACCAUGGUAACACCAUCUUUUCCAGUGUCAUAAUCUUGCUUAAUGUCUUCAGCCCGAAAUGAUUGUAACUGCAAGAUACACAAAUGGUGUAUUUGUGAGACAACUUUUACGAUGUUGAGAUGCACAAAUCACAACCUCAUCAAGCAAGUAAAUGCAUUGAUGACAUUUAGCAAAAUGGUAAUACAUGAAAAACUGACGUAUGCUCCACAUGUCAAAAUGACAAUCGAAACUUGAUUCGUCAUGAUAAUAUUUGACAGCUAAUUAGCCAGCAACACAACCAGAAGAGAACUUAUAAAUCCUCUGAAUCUUACCUGAUGGUAGAGAACCCCCAAAAGGUCAUAUGGAAUCUCCAAGCCCAUUGGAACCUACAAAUCAAGAUCCUUGUCACAAUAUUUAAUUCAUGAAGCAGAUUUCAGUGUGCAAAGUACGAAGUGGAAAAGAAACUUAUAGAAUUAGACUACUAUUGAUUCAAUAGGCACAUGUUUUAGAGAAUGUAAAAGCCAGCAAGGAUGAGUUGUUACUUUGGACUUGACAAGACAAGUGGGGGCAUUUCUCAAACAAUCAGCGGCAACCCCUCCAUAAGCCCUGACUAAACCUCCAGUGCCAAGUUUAAUACCUCCGAAGUACCUAAAUUAUGAAAUGCAAAAAGAUGAACAUCUUGAAUAGCUUCUCUCCCUAGAUAGAAAAGCCAAAUGACAGAUUAAUGAAUGUCAAAAACUUAAUGCAUGUAUCAAACAAUGAAAAUGGUUACGUAAAAAACAACAUUCUCUACAUUUCAUUCACAAAAGAAACAUUUGAAUCAGAACCAAAGGGAAAAAAGCAAUAGCAUGGCCCCAAAAAUGUGCAACAUUGUCUACCUGAUCACGACUACCAUAACUCUAUCAAUCCCAGAAGAUUCAAUUGCAGAAAGUAUUGGCUUGCCAGCAGUACCAGAUGGUUCACCGUCAUCAUUACUCCGAAACUGAUCCCCAACCUAGAAUUCACAAAUAACUGCAUUUGCAUCGAAAACAACCAAAAAAAAAAAUGGGGCAAAAAGAAAUAAAAGCCUCAUAAUUGAUUCAAAGUACUCCAAGAAUCACUAAUAACUAUCAUACCGGAAAAAUAUCAAAUUUUGUACUUUAUAUGCCCAACAAUUAUGUGUAGCCUUGGGGUCACGAACCUUAUUUCCAAACAAAACAAAAAAUCAGUCUUUAAUGGCAAAAAAAAAAAAACAGAAGCAAAAUGCAAGAAAGAAGAGGGACAGGAGUGAUUAUUAAUACCUCAGUGAGGAAGGCCUGAGCAGAGCGUUCAUUAGAGAUGGUGCCAGCAAUGGCGAUAAAUUUACUCUUCUUUAUCUCUUUCUGAAAUGUGACCCUUUCUUUAAUUGUGGUAAAGGCACCACCUUUAUGAUUAUUAUUGGGAUUAGAAUCAGAAGCAGUGAUGCUAUUGCUGCUAAUGGUGGCCAUUGGCGUCAGAUAAAUACAGGGUUUUGUCAGAAUUACGGAGAAUGAGGGAAGAAAAGGGUGAUACUUAUUAUGGAGAUUGUGAUGGAGAAGAAGGGAUUUGUUCAGAUUUUUCAAAGGGGUUGAGAGAAUCAGCAUAGAAGCAGCCACCUGCAUCAGCAAAAACCUUCCAUCUAAAACGUUGUCGUGAAUGGUGGAAUUCGAUUAAGGUUUCGUUCUUUGUUUUUUAUGCUCAAUUUUGAGGACAGAAAAAUAUGCGAGCAACAAAAUAGUCUUUAGGAUUAUAUAGCACACUUUUAAAAUAUGCAAGCAACAAAAUAUUCCUUAGAAACAUUGGAGGCGUGGAACUCUAGGGUAUUAUAUAGCACGCUUUAGAGGGUGCAAAAAGAUGGGAGCCUUUCAACUGAACAGAAAGACAAAAGAAAAGGGGAAAAAAAAAAAAAGUUACCCCACAUUUGUGAUUUGGUACAAAAAAUGACUCCAGUAGACAAAUUUUGGAAAAUGCAUUUCCAUCCAUUAAAAAGUAAUUUUAAGAAGUUAGCCUAGAGUGACAUUUGCAUAAUUUGGCUUAAAUACCUACAUUUUGAGAAAAAGUAUAACAUAUUUUCCUUGAAAAAUGUUGUUCGCACCAUAAUAUCUAUUAAUUACACUCCUAUUAUUAUUUUAAUCAUAUAAUUUUUCGAUUGUUAGAGUAUAUAAUAAAAUAAAUUAUGAUAGUGCAAGUAACAAAAAAAGAAGUACAAAUAACAUUUCUCUUCUCCUUUUGCUCAAGUUAUGCAAGUAGUACUAUUUCCUCUGUCAACGAGCAAUUCUUAGGUUUUUUAAUGAAGGACAACAAAAGUAUGAAAAUACAUAUUCAAAUGAUGUCCAUGCCAAAAUAAGAAGACCACCAUGCAAAGAAAUAUGUUAUUGUGAAAUUUAAUAUUAAAUUAUCAAGGUUACUGCAAAAUAAAAUGUAAAAGAUCAAUAUGAUGUUAAGAGAUGUGAUUCGCUAACUAAGGUUUUUUCAUGAUUAAAUUGGAUUGGCACUCCUCAAAAAUGCCCUUUUUCAAUCCAAAAGUCUCAUACUAAAUAUGAAAAUCAAAUAAACAAACUAAGAUGGCCUUUUCAUUCGAACCUUCAUUUUGUACUAAACAUAGAACUAGAAAUAAGUUAUAAAAACAUGAUCUAUUCAAGUUUAUGUGAAAAAAGUAAAUUUUUCACAAAAAAGAUUUGCACGUACUGAUGAGCAAAUAUAAGCAAAAUACCACACUUUCCUAGUAAAUCAAGCACAAAUGCAAGGAAUUGUUUUUGCUUUCUAAUACUAUGGAAAACUAUAAUUUUUUAUUCGCUUCGCUUUCACCAUCCCCAACGUCGCUUUGGCCGAGUGGUUAAGGCGUGUGCCUGCUAAGUACAUGGGGUUUCCCCGCGAGAGUUCGAAUCUCUCAGGCGACGACUUUUACCUUUUCGGCACAGAACUUCCGUUUGCUCUUACAAUCUCACCUACUACUUUCUAGUAGUUCUUCACUUUUGACUGUUAAACAGUUGUUCUUUCUCCGGCUUUCAAGUCUAGACAACUUUUCGUCCACAUUAAUCGGAGAACCUGAAAUGGGAACUGGAAGGGGACCUCACCGGAGAAAGUCAAUGACCUCCUCUCCCUCUGUCCCCCUCCCCCAUAUAUAUGCCUCUUCUGACUUUUGAAUUGUCUCAAGACCGACCCUAACGCGGUGACUCGGUCGUCCCUCCGACCAGUUUGGUGAACUGGGCAAUCCAGCCAACAACAACUCACCAAACAAUAAGUCCAAUGCAUUAGGUCCACCUCUUGACACGUAGCAUUUUCUUUUUUUUUUUUUUCUAGAAAAAUGUUUGGGUAGAUUCAGCUCCAAUCAACACUGGUGUGUACCUCCGCGACCAUAGAUCGCUUACAGAAAUUCUUACAGAUAGCCCACCAACACAGUUUUCACAUUGGCGGCGGGAUUCGCAUACAUAAUCUUUUGUAAAAAAGUGAUUCAUUCUUAUUAAUUGAACAACUUGUGUUGACAUAGCCUUUGUUGUUCAUGAAAAAGGUUGCAUUUCCUUUCCAGUCUGGAGUAGUGACUUAUGGGAAUUGGAAAAUAAGGGUGCAUUUAAUAAAAUUGAAAUUUGAGAUUUGAAAUCUAAAAUCUAAAUUUAGCAAAUUACUAAAUUAUUAAGUACCAAAAUUAAUAGUACAUUUGAGUGUAUGCCACCACAUUAAGUGAUAAGUGAAUAGCUUAUCACUUAUUUUUUUAUACAAAUUUUGUCUUAAAAAAUUCAGUGUCAUUUAAUUAGUUCAAAUAUUUUAUUUUUAAUUAUCAAACGUGUCGGAAUAAGUUAAAAUUUGAAUACACUGAAUUUAAGUGAUGAAUUAGAUUACCAAACACGGUUGAGUCAAGCUUAACAUUUGGCUGCAAUCAAAGGGUUAACGGCCCCGUCAGUCUAUGACCAUAUUUAAUUUCAAUGAUAAUGUGAACGACUAAUAUAUUUUAUCAGCCUCAUUUUUUCUCAAACUUUUUGACAGUUGCUAUUAGCCUCAUCUACCUGAUGGAAUUGGUGUCCUUUAACGUGGUCAAGUGACGUUUUCUUCUUCCAUGGGCCAAUACUUGGAAUUUUUUCCUUUAAUUAUAUGAUUAAAAUUAACACACAAUAAUGACAACAAUACUGAACACACGCAGAUUAAAACUGAUCAACAACAUUACAACUAAUAACAUUAGAAAAUGUGGGAUGGUAACUAAUAAAUUCACAUUCAGUGAGAUUUAAACCCAAGAUUUGUUUAUUUACAUGAUUUAUAAAUCGUCUCUAUUAAAUUACCCUUAUUAAGUUAGCAUGGCAAAUAAUCAAUCAUCAAGCGAUCUGUUAUCUACAUGAGCAGAAAUUUUACAAAACCCUUAUUUGAAUUACUCUAUAUGCAUAUGUUUUGAUGCCCUCAAAUUGUUCAGAAUACUUCAAUAAACAACCUAUUCAGUCGACACAUUUUCAUGUUCGUGAACUAUUUUUCAGUAUUCAGUAUUUCCAAUCCUUGUGAUAAAGUGGUUAACUGAAGGGUAGAUAUUAAAGUUCUCUUGAUUACUAUUGAUUAAGUGCAUAAGCAUAUUAUUCUUUCAUCAAAUCCAAUAAAAUUCCUUAAUCACGCACGCGUUAUAGUGACAUUAGGGUACAAAACAAAAAAAAAAAAUCGAAUAUUGAAGCUGUUGAUUUGCAGCAUGGACUCCUUGAGGUUAGGUCGGAGGUUUGCUUAAGGGAGGUAAUAUCUUAGCCUUAGGUAGUGGUUGGAGGACCGGGCGCAUCAUCUAGAUGCAAGAGUUGAGAAACUUUAAAUCAGUGAUGGAAAUUUGAUGCUUGAUCAUGCCAAAUAAUGGCCUUAGUCCUCUUCAUGGUGCUCAGUAUAUUUUUCAUCCAUAACGAACAUAUUCACAUGCCUGAAUUUAAUUAUGAUGCGACUUUAGGCAGUCUUUCAUGGAUUGCCUGCUAUCAUAAAUAGUGUAAUUAGUUAUUGAACAGGAAUUGGACUAGGACUUUUACAUCCGAAACUUGUACUAUUUUUUUUUUUUUUUGGUCGACACAGGGGUGUCCAGGCGGGUCAAUCCUUACAGGAUCCGACUAAUCCCCUGCGGCCCGGGCUCGACGCCCCAAUCCGGCCCGAACACGUUAAGUGCGCGGAGGAAUCCAGUGGAGUGGAGACUCGAAUUUGGGACCUCAAGGGUCACCGGUGAGAAGCGCUACCGCUGGACCAUUCACGCGGGGGCUCCGAAACUUGUACUAGAGAAAUGCUUUUAAGACGUUAUUGUUUUCAGGUUCAGAUAUAUAUUGUAGAGAAGAUUACUUGACGAAAAGAAAAUUCACUAUCUAGUAAUUAACUGAUUUUAAGAAAAAAAAUUAAAAAAAAAAAAGAUCAGCUAGCUACUAUAAAUGGUGAAAUUUAAAAAGCACGGAGAAAAAAGAAAAAUUUAAAUUCAAUAACUCUAAAUCCUGAAAUCUCAACUUUAAUCAUUAAAAUGAUACUUGCUCAGCAUUGAAAAUAAUUGUCCGAGAAAUUAUUACGCGUAAAACAUACAUUCAAAAGUCAGAAACUCGAUCGUGUUGGUCAUGCAAAUAAUCUCAACUGGUCAAAAAUAUAUGUUACAACUUUUGAAAGGCAAAAGAUUGGGUCUCAAUUUGAAAUCGUUUCUAGUUGCAAUGCUUGGUAAUAGGGCCAUCUUUAGGGCAGGUCAGAAGAACAUGCUGUUGACUCUUGGCUUUUCUAUUUUGAUUGAGCCAAAGUGGGAAUCCGAUAUUAUUCCGCUCUCUGUUCUUUCCUUUUGGCAAAGAAUCAUAUGAUAUGCAUGAUAACCGAGUAUGCAGGCUUUUUUGGGUCUGGGGAGGAAAGAAAAGGUGAAAAAUAUAAGAAGAAUGCGUCACGCUGGACACCAUAGCUCUGACUUGGUUCCCAAAGGCAUCCAUUCAAUUGGAACUCUGGUCAAAUUUGCGCUGUGUAGACUACGCAGUAUUGUUCCAACUAUUCCAAGUCGUAAUAAGGCAACUUGUUGGACAACAAUUUCUAUUUUGUGGACGUAAUUCAUCAUGUAAUCAUUAGCAACCUUUCCACAAUACGGAGAGCCCAGGUUGGUUUGCUAAACUAAUUUAAAACUACUCUGAAACUCAGCAAAGAAGUGUUUCAUUGGGUUUGUUUAUAUAUUAACUUAUUAAUAAAAAAUUAUUUAGUUAUAUCAAAAAUACAUAUUUCAAUUACCUUUUUAUCUUUCAAACUAUUAUUUUUUAUUUCACAUGCCUUACAUAAUAAUACAACAUGUGCUACAACAUUUUUUAAAAAAAAAAACAUUUCAAAUAAUCUCCUAUCCAAAAUUAUUAAUUUGGAUAGAAGAGGGAUUUAAAGGUAAGAAUGUGCGACACUUUAUUCUUUUUUAUUCUGGUGUUUAGGAGAGAAAUUGAGAAUUAUAUUUACUUUGCUUGGAAGUUAGGAUAAGAAAGAGAAAUGAAGCAUCCAAAUUAUUCUGACUUUCUCUACCUGUUAAGCAAGAGGUUUACUUAUUUUUUUUUCUCUACUUUUUUCAAGUUGACAAACUUGUACAUGUCCAUAAUUAUUCGCAAAACUUGCAAGGAAACUAUCUUAAAGAAAAAGAGCCAAAAUAGGUAAGUUGCCAAAGCAAAUGGUGCAAAUAUUUGCUAAUUACCUUUCUAGCUCUCGUUGUAUCCACAAUUCAUGAGUUCCAAUAAUAAUAAAAAAAAAUAAAACAACAAAAAUUUAAAAAAAAAAUGAAUACAAAAAUGAAGUUUUCUAACCGACAUUCAUUGAAUACUCGAUAACACAUCUAAAUUUCAUCUAACAUAUCGUGUGUGUGUGUGUAUAUAUAUAUAUUAAUAAUUAUUGCCUUCCCUCCUAUUUAUAUACUUUUUCUAAUUAAUUUUAUUUUUCAAAAAAUUUAGCACCUGAAUUAUAUUUUAAAACGUGUCUAUUGAGCACCCCUUAGAUAUAUCCUUAAAAAAUUGCAAAAAGCAAAAGUUACAAAAGUAUUAAAGAAAUUAAAGAAAAAACUUUGUUGGCCACAGCCCGCAACAAUACAAAUUCAUGAAUUCUCAUACAGACCCCCUUAUUCUUCUUUAACAGUAACCAAUAACCUUAGAACUGCGCCAGUUGGCCAAUUUGCAAAGCGCAAGAUGUGGUAGCGUUCUACUAGGUCAUUAGACAAUUAGUCUCUGACCCCAUAACCGCGUAAACAAAUUUAACCUAAAUUCUACCACUACGUAAGAAACUUCCUUCAUUUCCCAUUUUCAUUUUCCUUUCGUUUCCUUUUUCCUAAAAAUAGUUCCAAUUUCCCCCACUAUAUAUAUAAACCUUUCUCCUCCCUUCUCCCUCAAACCAUCAAUCACUUCAAUUUUCUUUCCCCUUUUACCAGCAUAUGUCUCAGAGACCCAACGUCCCACACUUCUCCUCCGUCGCCUUCGGCCUCCAUUCCCAUCUCCUGGUUUCCAGUGAGAUGUCCUCUAAUUCCAACUGGUCUUCUUCUACUUGUACCUUGUAGCUAUUCCACCACCUAGUCUUUUUCCUUAAAUACCCCACAAAAUAAAAAUUAAAAAACACACACACACACUAAACCCAAACAAACAAAGAGAAGAAAGGAAUCAAGAAAAACGCUACUCAUUUUUUCUGAGUUCAACAAAAGAAGAAAAUAUGGGUUUGAAAGGCUUUCUUGAAGGAGGCAUAGCUUCAAUAGUGGCUGGAUGCUCCACCCACCCGCUGGACCUCAUCAAGGUCCGAAUGCAACUUCAGGGAGAAUCCCCCGUCCCCAAACCGGCUGCUCAAGCGCUCCGACCAGCUCUAGCCUUCCACCCUGCAGCUGGUCAGGUUUCUCAUCAUCACAUUCACGUCCCUUCUCCAUCUCUUCCUCCGCCGCCGCCCCGCGUGGGACCCAUUGCCGUGGGAGUCAAGAUUGUCCAGCAAGAAGGGGUCGCCGCGCUGUUUUCCGGCGUCUCCGCCACCGUCCUCCGCCAGACUCUUUACUCCACCACCCGCAUGGGACUUUAUGAUGUUCUGAAGCAAAAAUGGACCGACCCACAUACCAACAAGAUGCCUCUGGAAAGAAAAAUCGCUGCUGGGCUCAUCGCCGGCGCGGUUGGAGCGGCCGUCGGGAACCCCGCUGACGUGGCCAUGGUCCGCAUGCAAGCCGAUGGUCGGCUCCCGGUGGAUCUGCGGCGCAAUUACAAGAGCGUGGUUGACGCGAUUGGUCAAAUGGCUAAAACCGAGGGAGUUGGCAGCCUGUGGCGCGGUUCAUCCCUUACGGUGAACCGCGCUAUGGUGGUGACGGCAUCACAGCUGGCAUCAUAUGAUCAGAUCAAGGAAUCGAUAUUGGAAACGGGUCUGAUGAAGGAUGGGCUUGGGACCCACGUGACUGCCAGCUUCGCCGCGGGGUUCGUGGCGGCGGUGGCGUCGAAUCCGGUGGACGUGAUCAAGACUAGGGUGAUGAACAUGAAGGUUGAACCGGGGAUGGCCCCACCUUACAGUGGAGCCCUGGAUUGUGCUAUGAAAACUAUCAGGGCUGAGGGCCCACUGGCCCUUUACAAGGGGUUUAUUCCCACAAUCUCAAGGCAGGGACCAUUUACUGUGGUGCUCUUUGUAACACUGGAACAAGUCCGGAAAUUGUUCAAGGAAUUUUGAUUUUUGAGGAUGAUGACGAAGAAAUUAGAAUAAAAAGAAAAUUAUGUUUCUUCUUUUAUGUUCCUGAGAUCUGGGAGUUUGAAUAGCAAGAAAUCUGUCAGAUGCUCAGGUCCUUUGAUUUAUAUUAAAUGGUUAAUUUUUUUUUAUUUGAAUUAUAAGCUUGAAACCAACGCAAUUAAAGUAUUCUAUAAUGUUUCAUUAUUAUUUUCAAAGGUGGCAGGAGAACACGUAAAUCAAUGCAAACUUAUUUGUUUCUUGGACGAACGAAUUAACUUUUACUUUUGGCCUAAUAUCGAACAAAGUCGAUGCAAUUUGUCAAAAGGUGAAUUUGAGUGGCUGCAAUUAGUACAAAUUGUUUAUUCAUAUGAGCUAGGGGCUCUAGCUUCUACUUACCCUUUUUUUCCUUUUUCUAAAUGAGCGGUAUUAGUCUCAUGUUCUUGUUUUUGUACUCGCAUAAUUACAUAUAAUAUCAGCAAAAAGUUAUAUCCCAAGCUUGAUUUUGGUUUCUUUGUUAAGCAAAAUUCAGUUCUAAAUUAGUAAUAGUAGUCUUGUUGAACUCAGUUAAACUUUGCACUCAAGUGGAAUAUUCGAAGCUCAUAUGCGAUGCUAAAAAGUGCUGGUAUAUUCUUACAAGAUAUGUAUAUAUUCUUUAGUAAUGGUUAAAGUUGAGACGCCUAGGAAUUAAACAUUCUGAGUUCUAAUUUUCCUUCUCUUCGUCCAUUUUUUGAAUCCCACCUCUUUCCUGUCAGAGAAAAAAAUUCUUUAAGGAUCUAUAUUUUCUCAAGCUAAGAAGUUACUUGAGAAUCUAUAAUUAUUCUUUUAAGUUUUCAAACAAACUUUAUGAAAAGCGAAUGCAUUUAACUUAAGGUAAUUUCUUUCUCAAUAAAUGAAGAAGAAAAUAACCAAAAAAAGUAUUAAAAAAAAAGGGGGGGUUACAUGAUCUUCACAUGCAAUGAAGGUAUUAUCAAACAGAGACGUUAAAUGGAACUUUUUUUACAUGAAUAUUUGGCGUUUACGUAGGACAACAUGAAAGGUUGUGGACAUGGUUUUUUUUGGCAUGUGACUAUGUAGGAUGUUAUGCAAUUUCUAGUCAAGAUGAGAAUGUGAAUGGCCAAUAGGCCAAACGAUGAAUGUCGAAAUGCUGCCGACCUGUCAAGAUGAGAUAAUCAUAUGAACCAUGGAAUUAUUUCUUUUUAUUGUUUAUGAAAGUGGAGAUGUGGAACCUAGCACCUUCAACGGGCAGCAACUCCUGGAAUUGGCUGUAAUCGUGACUGUGACAAACCAUGUUGGAGGAUCAAUUGGUCCAGCACUGGAAGUAAUUCAAUUCUCACUUUGGGUGGUGUUAAAUUGAAGGUAUUAUUCUUAUAUAUAAGAAUUUGGUAAAUAGUAGCUAUGUUAAGUUUUCCUGGACUUGUCACUCACAAAAAGUAAUACGUACUAAUUUUGAGGGGAAGAAUGAGUUCCAUCGUACGGAAGAAGAAGACGGUGUAAGUGAGAGGUUUCGAGUUUCGAGACUUCCCACUUAAACUUUGAAAAUAUAAAGAAAAAGCAAUAGGAAAUCAAACCAAUGAAAUUCCGGCCCUCAGGAAUCAAACCUUCAUUCCAAUGAAAUUCCGAGGGGUGCCAUAGGAAAUUUCUGAGAUAAUUUUUGGUUAUUUGGGAUAAUUUUUUGAAUGAUGUGAUAUAUGUGAGAUAAAAGGGUGGUUGAAAAUGUGUUAAUGAUACAAGCAAAUAAAUGUUAAUAAAUAAUUGGCUAUCCAAACAUGUUAGGAGAGGGCUGGCCAAAGGUGUUCAAUAAUUACAUUUUGUAUUAAGGUUUAAAAUAACUUUGUAAUUGGGCACUAUAAGAGCGAAUGAGUAACAUUCUGUGCAACAAUACAUACAAACUAUUUGUGAAAGUGAAAAUUUUCAAAUGUAUGUGUUAUACCAAAUUAACAUAUCAAUGCACAUGCUGAUAUGUAUUGUGUUGCCUUAUAUUUAAAUAAUUUUCCUAUUUAACUUUAAUUGUUUACAAAAUCGAUAUUGAUCUCUCUUAAUUAGUACUCGUUAGACACUUGUCAAACAGACCAUUUAUAUAUUAAAAAAAAAAUUUUGAGCUUCACAUUUAAUAUAUAGUUUACUAUUUUUGGGAAAUUUUUUUUAUAGUUAUUUUCUUUGUCUUAACGGCACAUCGAAUCUAACUUAACCUACUCCUACAGUCCUACUCCUACUUUGGGGAAGGGGGAACCUACUCUAGGAGGUGGCCCAACUGAAUCGAGGGAACCUGAUGAGAACUGAACCACCAUCAGUCCAGACGGGUGCACCACGCACCCGUAUGAAUUUAAAGCAAUUUUCGUAUAGAGGCGCAUUGAUGGGAGAUAAGGUUCUCCCACCUCACAAUUAUUGUGGUGGCUAACUUUUUUUAGAGGGAGUUGGUUUUUUAUAAUUGUUCUUUAAUAGGAAUUCUAUGCUGUUCAAAAGUAGUUUGGACAAGUAACAUGAAAUGAGCGUAGGGAUUGUAGCGGACGGAGCGCAGAGGAUUUAUUCUAUGGAAAUGGAACUUUUGUGCAUAAGACAGCCCCAUGAAUUCAUGGAGGAAAUGGCUCCCGGGAGCUGCCUUAAUUCCCAGAGCAAUCAUUCACCUAAGAAUACAUGUCAUGCACGAUAUUAGAUGCAUGUACCUGCCUGGAUCCUGAAAACUAACAUUCAAAGAAUUCCUUUGUCUUUUUCCUUUUAUAAUUUCAACCAGUCAAAUGAUUGUCCCAUCAUCUUUUUCUGUCUAGAAAAAAAAUUGUAUGCUGUUAUCGGAUGUUUGGUUUGUACCCAGAAACUAGAAUGAAAACCAAAUUCCACUUAGAAAGGUUGUCAACUAGCUAGGAGCCACCAAGCCACUAGCAGUCUAAUGCCUAAAAUAGGCUACUAUUCAACUGCAACAUUUUAGUUUAACACCAAUGCUUCAACUCAAAAGGAAAUUUUAUAUACGAAAUGAGGAAAUAAAACCAAGGUGAUUUUGAGCAAAAUAAAAAAUUUCAAUUAAUGUAAUACAAUCUUGUGGUUACACUUAACAAAAUUGUAAACCAUGAAAGCACUUCAUGGAGAUCAUCAAAGGUCAAGAGGUGGCCUAAAAGCAACAGCGAAGUUGCUACAACAGGCAUUGAUUCUUUUAAACAAAACAUCAUGGUUACUGAUUGUUAAGAGACACAAAACAAAAAAUGCUAUAAUACUUUUUUCACAAAAUUAUCUCAAAUAAUUUACGAUCCAAACACAAUAGUUUCAUUAGAGAAAACAUUUGCUCCAGGUUGAUAAACACCAUUUACGGCAUUCCUUUCUUAGUUGGAAAACAUUUAGCGUAUCCAUUUAAUGGAGUAAUUUCAUAAACCUCCCUUGAGGUUUUUGAUAAUUUCACUUAGCACCCUUAAAAUUUUAAAAAUAUCAUUUACUUCUCUUAUUUUCAAAUUUUGUAGCAUUCUCAAACCAAUUCAAACUAUAUGAUUAAAAUACUCAUUUUAGGAAAGAGAAAAUAAUUUCUUUCCAAUAAUGCCCUUUCAUUUUUUAAUUUUUUAAAUUGUAAGUAUAAUAAUCAUAUGUUAAAAUUAAGGACAAAAAAUGAAAAUGUUCUUUUUUUUAAAGGAACAACAUAUAAUAAUUGCAACCAUAAAAAAUAUACUUUUUUAAAGUACAAACAAAUAAUAAAAUUUUGUUUAAUAUGUUUUCAAAUUAUAAAGUAAUUUUUUUUCCUUUAAUGUUUGUCUAUUUGGUAUUCUAAAGUCACAUGGUAAGAAAUAUGAUCCAUUUGGAUUAGCUAUUUUUAGAAGUGUUUUUGAAAUAUUUUACUGUAACAAUGUAGUUGAAAAAACAUUUAUUAUAGAUGUUUUUAAUGGUGUUUUUGAAAAUAUAUUUUGAAAUAUUUUUAAAAUUUAAAUUUUUAAUGGGAUAUUUAUAAAAUUUUAUAAUCACCCACCACUAUUCCACCACCCCUUCUCUUCUCCCUUAUCCUCCUUCUCCUUCUCCCUCCUUCCUCCUUCUCCCUCUUCCCCUCCUCUUUUUCAUCUCUUUCUUUCUCCUCCCUUCUCCUUCCUCUUUCUCCUCUACCCCUCCCCUCCUCCCUCCUCCCCACCCUCUCCCACCACCCCCCUCUCUAGUCAUGAGUUGCGACUAGAAAAUGGACGCUGCUUGCGACCAAAUUUGGUUGCAAUUGGAAGGGGGAAGGGGGCAAUGAGAGAGACGUGGGGAGGAAGGAGGAGGAAGGAGGAGGAAGAAGGCAGGGGAGGGAGAAGGAAGAAAGGGGAAGGGAAGAGGGAGGAUAAGGAAAAAGGAGAGAGAUAAGAGAAGGAGAAGGGACAGCGGGUGGUGGUGUGUUUUUAUUAAUUGUUGUUGUUGGUGGUGGUAGUGGUAGUGGUAGUGGUAUAUAUAUAUAUAUAUAUAUGUGUGUGUGUGUGUAUAUAUUUGAAGUUGUUUUUGAUAUAUUGUUAUUUUUGUUUGUGUAUUAUUAUAACAUAGUAUAUGAAAAACUUGUUUUUGAAAAAAUGAGGAAUCCAAAUGGAGUUAUUGUUAUUGUUUUUUUGACAAAAAUAUAGAUUUCUUCUACAAAAGUGUUGUAAUUUAGGAGACUAUUUAUAAUUUUAAAACUUCAGUGCUUGUUCAACCUUAUUUAUCCAUAUGUUUAUCACAUGCUCUUAGGUUAUCGAAUGAGAAAAAUCUUUCUUUUUAUGUAAAAUGGUUUGAUUGAAUCUAAUAAAUUUUAUGAACUAUUUAGAAUCUUUAAUUUUUAUUUAUUUGAAUCAAUGGCUUGAAAAUUUACAAAAGGGAAAAAUUUUUAAAUUACAUUUAGAAUUUAUUUGAGUUGUUUAGAAGAUAAAAAAAAGUUAUUUUUCACAUAUUUACAAUAUUUCAAAUAAUUUUUACAUACUUUGUUAAUUAUUUAUGAUUUUUCAAUUUAAAAUUUUGCCUCCAAAUUGUUGAUAAGAUUUGUUAAAGAUUUCUCAACUCUAAACUUAUAAUUUUUUUUACUAAAAAACACAUCCAUCAAGUUUUCAAAUAUAAAAGGAUUUUAAAUUGAUUUGUCAUUACAGCUAAGGGAUCACAAUAAAAGAGCAACUUUAGAAUAAAAUAACUUUCUCUUUCCUAAACAUAGUAUUUUAAUGAUAUAAUUAGAACUGGGUUGAGAAUGUGAUAAAAAUUUCAAAAUAAGGGGGAAAAGUGAUAUUUUUAAAACUUUAAGGGUACUCAGUGAAACUAUAAAAAACUUCAAGGGAAAUUUCUGAAAUUAUCCCCCAUUUGAUCCUCUUGUUUGCGGCUGAUAUUUACUUGAAGAAAUUAGAGGCGUCAAAAUGGUUGAUUUGGACGGGUUUGGACGAGUUGAAAUGGAUAAUGGGUAUAAGUGAGUUAAUCCAUUUAUACCCAUUUAAUUAGAUAGGUAUAAAUGGAUAAGUCAAAAAUGAAUUGGGUAAUUCAAUUACCAUUUAUAACUCAUUUAUUUUAACUUUUUGUAAACUCAUUUAAAUUCAUUUUUGCAAACUAAAUUAUCAAUUGAUACCACUCUUUGCAUCCAUCAUUAUCAAUAAGCCUAAUUACUAAAAGAAAAUAAAAAUUUGAACUAACUACCAUGAAAGUUAAUAUAAAAACUUAAUCUAAAAACUUUGAACCCCUUACAAUUUUUUCGUGUGUAAAUUUAAAAUUUCAUUUUAGAAUGGUAGGAAAGGAGACUAAAACUUGUCAUAAAUUGGUAAUGCUAAAAAAUGAACAAAUUAACAAUCUAUAAAAAAAAAAAAAAGGUAAGAUAAAACCAACAAAUCUUUACAUAUAUAAAACGGGAAUCUUUACCUAUGGUCCGGUUAUGCUGUGAUUUUUGUGAGCCUGAUGGGUGUUAUGGUCUUUUGGAGUCGAGUGGGAGUGGUUUUGCUGGAAAUUCACCGUUCCCCACGUGUUGUUCUCGGACGGCAACAAGUGUAGCGGUGAGUUGAGCUGGAUGCAACAAGCACUGCUUCAAAGUUUUGCAAUCUUCAUUACUUUUUCUUAUUGUUUUCUUAGCCUUGUCUCCGUUACUUUCUCUUGUUCUUUUCUUGACUUUCUCUACCCAGCGUUUUUUCCGUUCCUCAUUCUCCUAUCUUUUUUCUCUAUAUUCUUUUCUUAGCUUCUCUGCCCAGUGUUUUGUCCUUUCCUCGUUUUCCUAUUGAGUUCUCUACUAGACCGCAAAUAAUUGCGCAUCAGAGCAUAGGUGCUUUGCAGAUGUUUAAUGUCAGUUAUGCUCUAUUUUAUUGGUUUGCAUAGCCAUUCAUGCAGAGCAACAAAUCAAAGUAAGGCUCAUGUAUCCACGCUCUUGAUGUCUGACUCAGAAGUUUGGCAAUGAAUAUAUGAGAAGGAGCUGUUGAUUGUGUUGGGUAGGGUGAGUUAGUCUUUUUUUUUCGCUUUGUUUUUUUUUUUUUAUUGUGUUGGGCCAGGUGAGUUGAGAUUUGUUUAUUGUUUGCAUGUAUGGAUGAAUGACGACAAUUAUUCCUGAUAGUUAGUCUUGCUGUAAUUGCGUCUUCUGUUGCUGCCAUUUCUUUGCUUUUGUCAAUGCAGUAUCUUCUGCAGUGUAAAUAAGUUCCAGCAAAACUAACAAACUAACCCAUUGCAGAAACAAUGUCUGGGCAACCUUAAGCGAAGGGCGAGGCGCACAUCAACUAGUAGUUAACAAGAAGUUGAAAAAAAAAAUUAUAUAGGAUAUCUAUUUACGUCAGAAAUGCAUCAAAUAUUUGUAUGUAGAUAUGCCGUGGAGACGCCGUCGCCUCGAUCGUGGCGGGGGCAGCGCGCGCCAUCGGCGUGCUUCGGCAUCUGCGCGCUCCCGGUGCUGGCCUGCGGGCACCCCAUUCGGCCCGUCUUGAAACACGGACCAAGGAGUCUGACAUGUGUGCGAGUCAACGGACGAGUAAACCCGUAAGACGCAAGGAAGCUUGAAAAAUAAAACAUUCCAAUAUAUACAAGGUUUCAGCAAUAUUAAUGCAUGAAAGUCUCCAACAAUAAGUUCAAUAAUUAAAAGCAGGCUCAAAUUUCUUCUAAAUGGGUGGGAGGCUUGAAAAAGAUAAUUCUAAAUGAAUUAAUUGGAUUUAAUAAUAAAGGGAUAUUAUUACCAUUUAUACCCAAAUGCCAAAAUUUAAAGAUACCCAUAUAUAACUAUUCAUAGGUGGGUGUGGGUAAAUUUAGCUAAAUGCGUUUGUUUGUUUGCCACCUAUAGCUGCAACGAAGCAGCCAUUCCUCAAUUCUUCUAUCGUUAUCGGUGUAUGAGAACUCCAAGUUUUCCCUCUAUGUCUAUGUGUGUUUCUUUACAAUUCUAGUAGAAGCAUCCUAGGAUAGCAUCGACCGCACUUCCAUAAUCGAUCCGGGAGGUUCCACGUCUUUUUGUUGUAGUGCAUUCCCGAGCAAUUGUUGCAUCCGUGAGGCAAAAAUAUCAUCUAAAACCUGCAAAUCAGAAUCUUUGUUGUCAUGGUAGUAUUUAUCAUAUUACUGGAUCUUAUUAAAGACGAUUUGGCCAGCCAAAGUUUAACUCGAGCCAAGUUACCAAGUCAGCCUGCAUUUUUCACUCCCUUGCAAACAUCUCUAACUAUUUCAAGGAUGAAAGACUUACAUCACAUAGAAGAUUCAAAGGAUGAUCAGAUUAUCCCUCUUUCCUUCUUUAACACUCUACUUCGUAUAAGGUGAAUUUCAGUUAAAAACGUCAUGCUUUUAAUCUUUUCAACAUUUGCAAAUAAUGGCUGCUGCUUAAAGUGACUAUCUGAAUCCUGGAAGAAUUAGCUCAACUUACAGAUACUGCAACCCGUGAAGCUUUGUACCAUGACCGAUUUUCCUUCCUCUCUGCCAGAAAUCUAAGCACAUCCUGUCACAAAACAUCAAACAAUAAUAAGGAAAAAAAAGAAGAAGAAAAUAAAAGAUACGUAAUGAAAAAAUAAUUAUGAGACAUUUUGCUGAACAUUCUACCAAGAAACUUACCUGUGCCAUCCUAUCCCAAAUACCUCUUGAUACGAUUAUGAACACCUGAGGGUCCAAUAAAUUGUAAAGUUGAUCAAUCAUUUUUUCAAGCAAAUCCUUCAAGGGCUGCAUCCUACUUCGAACAUCAGAUUCUACAACAUUUUCCUUUGCAUCCUGAAUUAUUUUCUUCAACUUUGUAGAGGGUUGCAAUCUUGUCUGAAUCCAGAAAAGCAGUAUAAAAAACGAAAUCAAUACUUGAUAGUGCAUAUCCAAAUGUCAUUAAGAACACCACAAAGUAUAGUUGUAAUGGUGAUCAUAAUGACUUUUUCUGCAACUUGUAACCUUGCAUUAAUAAAUGACCAAGAGAUGAAAAAAAAAGCAUGCUUUCCAUCCAAAUGCAUCUUGCUGGAUAAUCAGCACAACACAAUGCAGGAAGAAUUUUUUUUUUUUAAAAGGACCAAAUUCAUAACCUAAAUGUUAGUACACCUACAUUUUCCACAAGCUUUUCUGUAACUCCUUGCAAAUAAGUUCUCAAUUUGGCUCUGAGCAUAACCGUUACUUCACUCAGAUGCUCGCCUGGGAUGGUACUCCCACCAUCAGGGAUGCAAGAACCCCAUACCUUUAUCUGUGCUUCUAUUGGGGGCCGCAAAACAUCAAGAAUCCUUUUCACGGAAUUAAGAAAAAUUCCCAACUGAAAAAUUAGAGCAAAAAUAUUAAUUUAUGGUCAAAAGAAGGGAGAUACCAAGUUCACAAAAAUCCAAAGAUAGCAAACAAUCUGACCUCUCUGCAAACGGAAUAGGCAGAUACAGUGCCCUUAGCAAAUUUCUGAACAUACUUGAGGCCCAAUUUAAUUGGAAUUGAGUUCUCCUUCAGUGCAUAUAAAACAUCUGCAUAAUGUUUUUCCAUAGUCUCUAUAACUGUCUUUUCCACAUCUGUUAUGGCCUGUAUCCAAACAAGAAUUAGAUGUCAAGCAUUGUGUGUAUUACUCCAUAAAGUUAGAAAAUACACUAGCUACCAUGAUCCGUUGGGUCCUACUGUGUCACCAAGAAGUACCAUUAUCACACAAACUAAUCAUUAAAUGUCUAUCCAUUGAUGCAGUAAUACCAAAUGAAGACCUUCUAAUCGAAUCAUAGCAGAAGAUUGGGAUUCUAUACCCCACUUAGCUAAAACCUUUCCCAAAUGCAUACAAGGAAAAUUUCAAACUGGAAAGUAACAUAUAGAAUACUAGCCGGUUUCUGCCAACCCCAAUAAGAGUUAAAAUGAUGAAGGCAAUAGAAAUUAAAAAAUUCAGACUUUACUUACACUUUCCAACUGGAUGGUAUACUCUGGCCAAUGACUUAUAAUGACAUCAUAUUCCUUUAGUGUCUCCUUCAGUUGAUCGUAUAUAUCAUCCACGAAAGGGGUUGUGAGAUCCAGUGCUUGGAAGCUGGACCAUUUUACCUGGAGGCAUGUAAAUUCUACUAAUCAGCAAUAGGGAAAUUAUAAACACACCAGCAAAUGCUGACAAAUUCAUCCAAAGCAUCAGUUUUUGGCCAAACAUAAAAUGAAGCAAGAAGAACAGAUAUGUCAAAUCAUAUUAAUUAUGUAUAUAUGUACUACAAACAAACAGUAAAACCUACGCAGAUGACUAACCUGAUGUUUUUUGAAAUAAGAGUUUCUUGUUCCCUAUUUUAAUUCCAUAGGAACAAUUUUACCUUUCUAUAUCAAUAUAAGAUGCCUUAAGAGCCAGUUAUUUUAUCAGCCUCCAAUGCAACCCACUCUUAUCAAGUAAUGUCUAAGAUGCAAGUGCCACAUUAUAAAAGGUUCAAUGGUCCAUAGAUAUAUUAUUGAAACAAAGAAAAAACUUAAGGUAAAGUAUCUCUUUCUAUUGCUUUGCUCAGCGUUUAAGCUGCGGUUGAGCAGACAAAUAAGGUGAAAUCUUGUUGAACCUAAAGCUUCUAUUUAGAAAAGUAAGGAUCAGGCUUCUCAUCUACAAAGGUAAGGGUAGUAAAACUGGGACAGAUCAGAUAUUAGUCGCAGAAAAGCUACGACCUACGUUGUAUUUUGAAGUCAAAUAAACUUUCUUCCCAUUGGAAUGAUCUCCUCAAGAGAUCAACUGAGGCAACUACCAAAUAAGUUAUCAUGUGCACAUAACCAGUUCAGCCUAAUAGCUCAGAAGAAUUCAGACCAGGUAAUUUUAUGUGCAUAUCCAACACAAGAUGGUGUUGACUUCCAGUGAACAAUGCUUGAUGGAAAUUGAAGAAAUAUAACAUAGGCCAUGAACUUGACCCAGUGAGUCCAUGUAGACAAAAGAGUACCUUAUCAGGUUUGCAUAGUUCCAGCAAGGUAAGACGCUUUUCCUGGAUCCAGAAGGUUAUAUAUGAGUGGAACAAUUGUUUUGAAUCAACUCCACCUUUAACAGCUCUGCAAAAGGUCAUGAUAUGAUUAAGGCAUGCUAGAAAAGACUAAAGUGUAAACUAAGCACAUAUCAGACUUACUUAAUAUUCCAGGAGGCAAGAUCCCUUUGAAAAUCAGCUGUUGCAACAACGAGUUCUGUCACAGGUGGCAAUGGACUAGGAGGUGGACAAGCAACAAGAAAUGUCUGCAAUCUACUGUUGAGUUCGGUGCUAUAUAUGGAUGAGGAUAGAUUUGGAAGGUCUAUGAAACUAUGCAAAGACAGAUAAGAGAAAAACCAGAGUUAGAGACUUCUAUGAACAAAAAUCCUAUCCUUGGAAGAGAUCAUGCUCAGAUAAAUAACAGAGAAGCCAUUGCAUGAAAUGAAUGCAAAUAAGACUUGAAUAAAUCAGAUUAUAGGAACUACAAACAUCUCUAAUUAUCUAAUAUGGCAGAAUCAAGCUAUCUACACUUCAGCAAAAAUGGGUCCUUUUUUUUUCAUUUUCUUCCUUUCCUUUUUACCUGGGGAGUACAUGCUGAUCGUGAAUUUCUAUGUCUGUGAAGAUUUCUCGUCUGAUGUUCAAACAAAGAGAUUUUAUUUUCUGAUAUGCUGCAGAAAUAGUUACUGGGUCCAUUAGUACGUUCCCAUUAUUGUUAGAAACAAUCUCAUCUGUUUCUGACAUAUGCCUCUUGGAUCUCUUCUUCACUGCAGUCUGCCAAAAAGAAAUGGUUAAUGAAAUGGAGUGCAGCAGGGAAAGAAAGUAUGUAUGCGUUCAAUACCUGAAAAUAUCUGCAAAGCUUCAACUGUGCCUCAGAAGAGAGAAUAUCAUGCAAAAGUUUGUACAGCUUUAGGGCUGGUACCAGAGCAGAAGCAGCAAAUCCAGUAGCUGGUGUAAACACAUCAGCGACCCCUGAUGGAGAUGACUCAUCAAGUGACUUGUAAUUCUCAAAAACCACCGCAAUGGUCUGCUCAAUUUGAUCAGAAACAUCUCCCAGCAUACGAUUCUGGUGGGGAAUGCAUAAGAAAGAACAUUAUGUUAGUUGAAAAUUUGGUAUAAAAACUUCAAAGAAUCGUAACAGAAGAAAGCACUAAAUGCAUAUGAAGCUAAUGGAAGAUGCUAGAUGAAAAGGCGCAAGAUGUGUACAACACGACCUCAGCAUAACUGAAAAAGUCAAAAAAAAGUCCAUGAAACAUGGUAUCAUUGAAUAUAACUGCUGAAGGACAAGUGCAGAUAAAUCAAAUAAGAUUCUCCAUGUUAAAGGUGGGAUACUUUUACUGUCUCAUUUUUAUGCAUAAGAUACUGUGUAAAAUUGAGCAGGACAAUAACUGUUCACGUUUUUUUAAGUUAAAUCCCUCCUACCUCUUGGUGACUCAAUGCCUCUUUACUUUUGCCUUUCAUCACAACAGGAAAGAGCAGAUCAUGCACCAAAUCUAGACAAUCUGCAGUUGGUGUAGCAACAUCCAUAACAUAGGAAAGAUAUCUGCAAAGUAAUCAAACAUUAUAGACCUACACAGUAAUUUCACACCACAUCUUGAAACAAUUUAUCUGUAAAUAGGCAUUUAAACGAAUUUGAAUACCUCAGCUUAGUGUAUGCAUCUGAAACUCCAUAGUAUGAAGCAAAUUGAGUCACUAGCCACUUCCAUGAACCAUGCAGCAAAAGCUUUCUCUGUUGAAACUGUUGAGCUUUCAUUGCAGUCUCCAAAACGAAGUCAUAUGCAACAGUCUCAGCAACAGAACCAUACUGAAAUAAAGAACAAAAUAAGGAUACACCUUACCAUGAAACUACCUCAUUUUAACAUUUAAAUGGAUAAAUGUUACAUAGAAAUGAAAAGUAGAACUAAAGUCAUUCAAUAAACCGAUGAAGUCUGAAUUCACAAUGCAUAGCAGAGUUCAUAUGAUAGUCAAAAUAAUAUAAAAUCCCUUUUUUUCCUUUGUUCACCAUUAUUGUAUUGCACAUCUACUGAACCACAAAGAACAACAUUUUCCUUAAGCUUACAUGAUAGCUGAAAAUACCAUCAGAUGAUCUUUAGAAAGAAAGCGAGACAUUAAAUAUGUAGCUAAAACUACUCAUCCCUUUUCUGAUUCUACAUCAAAGGACAAUUAAUGUGGGGAAAAAAUGAAGAAAAUGGAGAAGAAAGAACCGAUAACAAUUCAAAUCAUAAAACAUUAAAAGAUUCAAAUAGUAUCACUUAAACAUCUAUUGAAAGCUAGUGAACAGCCAAAAAACCAGUUAUGGCAAACUGGCUGCUCUCACAUUUGAACAUAGAACCUUAAGAUUGUAAUUUCUAACACUAUGACAAUGCACGCCUGCAACUUAGAGUUAAGUUGUGGACAUGAAAAAUUAAAAGACAUGUCACAACUAAACAACAGAGUUCAACCAUUUCAGUCAAAAUUAAAAUAAAAAAAAUCUUUUGCCGGACUAAGACUGCACCAGAAUGUUGGUGUAUCAACAGUGAGAUAACAAAAAUUUAGAAAAGAUCUAUUGCAAGGAUCUUACUGACCUUAAGAUGACUAUUCUCUUCUUGAUUUGAAUAAUUGAUAUACAAUUGUAUUCUCCCCACAAGUUCAUGCUCUGGCUCUUGAUAUAUAGACCACCAGCGAAGCUUGUCAGCCUGCAUCCAACCAAUACUUCAUGUAUCUAGCAAAGAAAUCUGUAUCUAGAAUUUGAGAAACAAGUAGUAAUCUGAAUAUCCUACCGGAUUAUCAGCAAUUUCAGCCACCUGAGCCAUUGCCCUCCCACAAUACUUCCCCUUUGAAUCAUGGACUUCAAUAAUUAGAUCAUCUCCUAACCCAUCCGGCAAGCUAUACUCCAGAAGCAAUAGAAUCAGUUUAUUCUUCUAUUCGAUAGGAGACUGAGAAAAGAAGAACACAAAAACUUACAACACAUGAGUCUCUCCAGAUCCAGGCUGCAUUUUAACUGUGUCCUCUUCAGAUGAAUUUUUCAAUCUCAAUGAACAAGAAUAUGUUUCUGUAGAUGGAUAAUGAAUCAUUUCAGUAAUAUGUCUGAACAGAAUGUUUCAAUGUAUCUACUGCAGUCUGAGGAUGCAAUCACUGACAAAAAGUUUACCUUAGCAAGCAAACUAAAUACACUUAUAAACACUGAAACUAAAGUAUCCAAAAGGGUAUUGUACCAUGUUUGCUAGAGUUCAACUUUUCUAGCUUAAUUUUCACUAUCUAAUGGAAAAACUAAAUGUAGUGAGAACAUAGCAACAUUAAGAUCUCUCAAAGAUUUUAGUGAUGGGUAAUGUGGUUGCUUUUCAGUUAUAAGUGGUUUUUCAAGUUUCGGAGCUCCACUUUUUAGCUAUCACUAAAAGUAUUUACAGCCGAGAAUUUCACAACCAUCAAAGUUGCUAUUUCAGUUUAGACCAAACAUCUUCAGAAGAACUUCCAAGAGAAUUUCCUACUAACUUAUUCCUUGAAUAGGAUCACAGUCUAAAACAGAACACACUAAGCAAUUAGCAUUUUAAGACCUUGAGGUGCUAGAAGCUUCCUAUGGGUGUCUUAGCUAUGCCUAGCCAAGCACCUGUGGUAAGUUGUAUCCUCUUGCACAAAGGUUACAAAACAACCUGAUUAAUAAUGUGGUUAGUGACAAAAGACAAAAUAAGUACGAGGACCAGAAAGAAGUUGCAGUGUGCUAAAAAUGAGUUUCAGGUACUGGAUUCAAUUUGGUAAAUGUGGUGUCAUGUUUCUUUUACGAUUCCUAGCAAAUAAUUAACAAUAAAAGGUUCAACAACCUUUAACAUUCUUAUGUGUCCGUUCAAGUAUCUUGAUGAACAGUAUAAGUGACAUGUAGUAUGCAUGACACUAUAAUGAGGAACUGAUUUUGGUAAAUUAAGGGAAAGAAUAUGCAAAAUUAAGAAGGUAAACCAAAUGUACAACUUUUGAUUUUAACAUUUUUUUUAAAACACUGUGAGGGCAUACAUACCUUGCACCAUUUCAUAGGAUGUCGAAUGGUUGCGCAAAGCAGUAAUGCCAAUUUUUACCAAUUCAGGCAAUUCUUUUACAUACUGAGUUCCAGCAUUAACAUAAGCCAAGCUCUGGCGUGAAAGAGAUCCAUUUGAUGGCAUACGUGGGCUCACACGUACUUUUUUGUAAGUUUCCCACUCAGACGAGAGAGCUGAUUUUAUGCUGGACAACCGUACUCGAAAAGGCUCCAGCUUCUUUAGGGGUGGUUUCAAAGAUGAAAGGCUACAGCCUGUUGGUGGCUCCAGAACCAUUUUUACUUUACGAACUGUAAUUGGAAAAAUCUAGGUAGAUUUAAUAUUCAAACAUAUUUCUGAGAUAGAGAACCUACUGUGGACAAGGAUCAAGAAGAAUACCUUGCACUUUCAUCUUGCCAAUAAUUUUCUUAGGUUUUACACAAGCUCCCUCGCUGAUUAGUUCUGCUGACCUUUUCCUCAAGAGCUCUUCUUCCGAUUGUAACAGCACAUGCUUCAAUCUACAACAAAACAGUGGUCAUGUCAUACGUGGUUUGUUGCAUAAUAAACAAAAAUCAUUAGUCAACAGGUCACUGCAUUGGGCAUACUCACAAUAAAAGGACAGUAAUCACAUUAUUACACUAAUUUUGAUUGAAUUGUGUGUUAAUGCUUCUGCAAAACCACCAGGACACAAUUCAGUUCACUAAAACAGCCAUGAACUUCUCUUGCUUGCUGAUCUAAUUAAAAACUUGUUUCUGAUCAUUACCACGCCACGUGGAGACUAAAUAUGUAGUUGCCCACAAAAUAUACACUCUUUUAGCAUCAAUUAAAUUACUCCUCAUACAUUUGUUUUUCGUGAACAACGAAUUAGAAAAAAAUUACACACGUCCACAUAAAGUCCUCAAUUUUGGAUGUAAAAUGUAUCAGAAUGCAUGGAACUAACACAACAGAGAUACAACUACAUGCAUAAAGGGAAAGGAGUUUUACAAUAUCUUACCCAAAAGCAUCUCUCAGAACUGCACACUCAUUCUCUAGGAAGAUGGGAGCUUCCAUGCAUUCGCUGGCCCAAGCGUGAAGGCAUAGCCGAAUACAUGCAUCAUAAGAAAUGAAAGCAUUCCAAGAGCCUAGACCACUGUAUUGUUUCAGAUAACAGACCGAAAAGGUUCAAUGGUGUUACAAUUUUUAUUGUCACCACAAGAGUUAUAAACAUAGAUGUAUCAGGGAAAAUAAAUGUAAAAACUUGCAGAUUUCAGCUACCUUGCAUGGAAAGUAGGGAUUUUUGCAGGUAAGGAAUGCAAAGACACACCAGCAGCCCUGUCAUCAAUUACAUAUAUAACCAUCACACUUGAAAUUCUCCCAUGAAUUUACAUAGAGAUAAUUUAAAACACAUGCAGUUGCACAAACAGCUCACCAAAAACAAAACUUGCCAAAAUAAUAUACCUAAGAGAUGCAUCACAAGCUGUCUUGGCAGUAGAGUUUAAUGGGGUUCCAUUGCCAGUAUUUGGCAUAUCUGCGGUUGCAGAACCAUCCAAUUUUGUAGAGUGAGGGAAAAAAUCUGCUCUAGGUUGCCCCGAAACUUGGUUUGUUUCUGAGACAGAACCAGCCAGUGGUGGUGCACUUGGAACAUCAUCCGGUAACUUAUAAUUCUGGACUCCUGCACCUUGAAGAACCUGUAAGAGAAAAAUAGUAGCAUAUAAAAUUUGAUUCAUAAAAGGAAAAUAACAAUCGCAGCACAUAGCAGCACUAAAAGCAGUUUUGUGCACUACUACCACUAGAUAGACAUCAAUUAUUGCAGGUGCCUCUUGAGCAUGGAGGAGGAAAAGGCAACGUAGGUAGCUGACUGCGCUAGGACUUAAUUUAGCAGCCAUCCAACGGCUUUAAUGUAGCAUACAGAGGUAAGUUCAGACGAAAAACCUGUCUUGGUGUCUUAGCAUUUGGUUGUAGAUUUCCAUUGAAGUAGUAAACCUCUGAAGUUUCAUUCCUGAGGUCUGGCACACUAGCAUCGAUACUUCUGAUACCUUGUGCUCCUAAACUUCGAAAAUUACUCUGACGUUUGCCUGCAAAAUGUACAAUAUUCAGAAUGAAAGCACCAACAGUUACAUUAUCUUCUCCGUAAAAAGAAUUCACUGCUUUUGAAAACAACACACCGUUCACAAAUUUAUCAUCUUGGGGCGAUGUUUCAACCGAAUAACGUCCACCGUAAGCCUCACUAUCCGAGUCAGAGCUGGUAUCCAUGUCUGACUCUGAACCGAUUCCAGCGCCAUUUUUGACAGGCAUGCCUCUGGACACCGGGAUAAUCCCAGAUGGCAGGUGUCCACUUUGAAAUCUAGUUGCAGAAGGCAAUCCAAAGCCUCGACCUCCCCGGCUUUGGUUCCUCAAACCGACAACAUGAUCAGCCUGAGUCGGCAUUGAUGAAAUCAACUUUUCCGCUUCCUUGCAGUAUAAUAUCCUAAUCCAUCAAAAAAAAAAAUCAGAACAUCAGUUGCCUAAAACCAAGAAGAAAAACGAAGGGAAAAAAAAAAAGAACCUUACUUGAAUUCAAUGGUGUGAGAGAUUAAUAUAGCAGAAGGCCCACUAUUAAUACACAAUGCAGCAGGAAGAUAGCAAAUGAAACACCCUUUUCCUUAUUGGGAUUAAUUUGGAAAUCAAAUUAGAAAGAUUCCACUUUUAUUUUCUUUCAAUAUUUUCCUAAAUUGUCUUUUUUCAAGAAUCUGAGAAAUCAAAGAUUGUAAUCAGCUUCAAUUUUUUUUCCAUCCCAAUUCAAUGCAACCAGAAAGAUACGAUUUUGAUCCAAUAAUUCGUUAAAGAGAACAAAAAAAGAUCACUUUCCAUAUACAUUGAACCCACAAAUGAAACAAGGAAAAAGAAAAGGAAUUCUUGGCAACUUUUGCUAUGCAACAGUAGUGACACACGCUACCAAAUGUAAAAAUGCACUUACCAGUGUGUGAGAAGAAGCUGUAGAGGCUGCACUUUUUCUGCAGUCUUCUCAAUGGGUUUUCACAGUUACUUGGCUUAAACUAGCCUUAGUUUCCUUAAUCUGGAUUAUAGUCCCAAACAUGCUAGUUAACAAAUGUGGUUUAGCAUUUUGGGGAAAUUAAUAUAGUAUGGAGUUCUUGAAUUCGGGUUUGGAGGUUUUUUUUUUUUUUUUAAGGUUUAAUGAGCAAAGGAUGGAUUAGCACUAAAAAGGAGACGUUAAAAAUCAAAUGUUCGCAUGGCAGAAAUUAACGGAGACGUGGGGGUAAAUUAACGCGAGGGGAUGACGUGGCACCCGCAUGUUCUGUCUUUUGAUAACGGCCGGUCGUUAGUGGCGCGUCUUUGGGGCGUUUCUUUUUGGAUUACCAGUUGGUGCACACUCAUUUUGUUGCCUCCUUUCUGCCUUUGCUUCGUUGCUUGUAGUUGUAGGGAGCCUCUCUCUCUCUCACACACACACACUAGACACGUUUGUAUGUGAGUGAGAAAAUUGUUUGUGUGCCAUCUUGGAAAUCUAACCUAAGUGGGAGCCUGCUGUGUUCUUUGUUAAUUGCACUGCUUAAUCACUGAGAAAGUGAUGUGUAAGGUGCAAAAAAGGGGCAAAAAAUAUGUUAAUCUUGAAAUGGAAAGAUUUGGUAUUGUACUAUAAUAUAUAUUCACUUCCAUCCUUGAUUUGGUUAAACAAGAUUUUGGUGUGCAAAAGCCUUUCUCAGAGAAUAUUGAUAUCAGAGUCACAUGUCAUUCAUUCAACCGUGAUAUGAUAGUGUAUAUACUGACAAUAAUAUAUAUAAGAUUUAUUCGUACUUUAAUUGCUUCAUUUUGAUUUUGUAUUUUACUUCUGUAUAUGAGCAAUUUAUAGCUUGAGGGCUAAGUUAACGAUCAAAGCAGAUUCUUUGAAUUUCUUCUCACUUGACAAUCUAAUCUUCUAAACAAUACCGAGUAAAAGUUUUGAUACCUGGGAUGAAAUUGCCUUUUUAAAGUAAACAAUUGAUGAAGUGCAUGAACUUCUAUUCAAUGUAAGCCUUCCUUAAAAAUUUUCAUAAUUACUUAGUAGUGUUUUUGGUCAAAUGACGAUGUCAAAAUCUAAUCGGCUUUGCUUUUGGCCCAGUAGCCGGUCUCCGAGGUGCUAGUUAACACUUUUUGACCGUGAUAGUUCCCAAAAGUGCACCAUAUCAUAUGACUUUGACAACAUUGAAAAAGGGUUUAUUUUCUUGUCUUUGGGGGUCUAAAGUAGAACCCCUAGAAUUCUAAAGCGUUAGCUGUUAAGUAGUAGACUGGUAGUUGUUUACAACUAGCAUCUCUUUCCACUGGCUGACAAAAUUGUCCACCGCCAUCUUCCAAAUGAACAUGUUGAAGGGUACUCGAAGCAAAGCAAAAGCAAAAGCAAACACAACAAAACAGAGGAGCAUGUGAAAAUAAUUCAAGAAACAGAUCAUUAUUAGUAUAAUAAAUAACAGUAAUCUAUCACCAUCCAAGCAGGCAAAUGCUUAACACAAUUAGCAAAUGUGGGCCACUCCCACUUGAACAAGAAGACAGGAUAAUUGAUUCAAUUAGCUUGUCUACCGUGUGCACCUAUGGGGCGAGUUUUGCAUCGCCGCAGAGAAAUUAGUCUGACAUAAUUCAGGAAUAUGACAUAAUUCAGGAUAUUCCUUGCGUGAACCCAAAAAAAAAAAGACAGGGAUCAUCAUGAGGGUAAUUGAUUCAAUUGAGGACUACAAAAAGAUUUGGUUAACAGUUUAUGAUAGUAAACUAUAUUGGUUAAAAAGAUACUUGGGCGCAUCAUCCUUCAAUUAGAGGACAAAAAAAAUCUCGGGGGAAUUAUGCUAAAAGAUGUUAAACAGUCUCCUUUCUCAUUGGAAUCAUUUCACUGGAGCAGCUGUACACGGCUGCCAAACAGCACGCACCAUGCUGGUCUUCGGACACAAAACAGUUCUUCAGGAAUGAAUCCUUUUGUGAAUAUAAAACCGUGCGAGAAACCAAAUCAGGCUUAAAGGGUAUCUUCAAUAUUCUGUUGGAAGAGCGCCAACAGCUUCUAUAUUGCUUUCUUUAGUUAAGUUUCAAAAGGGCAGAUUCAUCUAGGCCACAUCUGCUUAAACAAAUGAAAGUCCAAAAACUAGCAAGUAGGAAAAUAUUAUCAGUAAAUAAAGAUUUUGAUCUUCUAUUUCAGAUUAUACAUCGACCUAAGAUCCUACUAUCCACAUAUUGACAACCAAAACUGAGUCAUUAAACUUUGACCAUCUCUUCUGACAAACCUUACUCAAUUUAUAUAUCUAAUUGCAACAAAAUCAUAGCGAUAUCCUUGAGUCCACAUCAAUCAUCAUCUGAACCAAGGACUUGUUGCUUAAUAUCUUCAAUUUUAGCAGCCAACUGCUCCCUGCUUUUCUGCAGAAACCAAGGUAAACAAAAAUAAUUUAUGAUUGCUAACUAGGAAGGUAAUGAAUAAUGGGGCGCCAAUUUGACAGGGAAACUACCUUGAAAAGUAGAUAGCGGGUACCGAACCAUACUGUGUAGGAAAGUCCCACGACUUGCAUCAACUUUGGAACCUGAAAUGAUAGAGAGUCCCUUGUGUCAGUAAUAAAGCCCCAAACGAUUCCCAAAACAUGACUAAAUGAGUUUGAGAAAAUUAACGCUCGUACAUACCAAAGGAAUCGAAUCAAUUGCGCCAACCACUGCAGUUGCUAUAUAGACAGCAACCAGGGCACCACCGCCUAAUAAGAGGAUUGGGUAUUUAUCGUCCGAAUCAAACUGCAAAAUAAUCAACAAACAAUUCCAAUAAGAAAGAACUACAUCUGGAGAAUUCAUUCUUAAUUUCUUGUUACCUUUCAUUCACGAGACUUUGUUCCCUUUUUUAUUUUUGUAUUGACCUCUUUUAGCAUAUUUAAGCUUUUUUGUUUUUUUCAGGUGGGCGAAGAACUCUUCUGAUAAAAGUGCUCGCCACGUUCAAAAGAAACAGUACAUAUUAAUCAGUUCACUCUUCUUCCUCGCAGAUGAACACAAGUAACUUUUUGACAGGCCACCCCACUUAAUUACCAGUGUCAACAAAUCACGAAACAAGAAAUCAGGAACAAAAAUUAGAUCACCAUCAGCACACAAACCUUCAGUGAGAAAAAAAAAAAAAAGUAAACAGAGAAAGUUCUUCAAAACGAAUACAGCAAAAAGACGGAGCAAAAGGAAAAGGAACCAAAAUAAUGCAGAAACUUUAUUUUAUCAUGAUAACAAAAGUUUCUGACUCGGUCAAAACCACUGACACAACAAUUCUACCUCUCACCUCUUUCAAAACUGCAUUACUACCCCCAUACACCCAGCUACCUUGGACUACACUAAAGCUUGAAACUUAAACCAAAGGCACGGAAAGGCCACAGAAAGGAAAAUUAGCAAAGAGAACUUCAAUUGGAGCAUCAUAAGAUAUACCAUGGGAUUCAUAAGAUAGAGACAGUGAGAAAGUAGAAGAAUGCAAAUCAAAGUUACAAGAUUGAGGUUGCUCAGGUAACCGCUCAGGAUCGACGUAAUUGCCGACGUAUCAUCAAGCAUCUAUAACUUUCCAAAUAUCAUAACAAAAAAAGUCAUCAUAGCAACCUGCUUAGUUAUUGAUUGUUCCUUGAUGAAAAAGAAAAAUGCACAGAAAAAAUUAGGAAGAGUUGGAAAACAGAAUAUUCACAAAAACAUUUACUAAGAACAGGAAAAUACGGGUGUUGGACAAAAUUGAUUUAAAAGAUGAAAGGCUGCUCAGGUAACCGCUCAGGAUCGACACAAAUUGUCGAAGUCUCAUCAAGAAACUUUCAAUAAGUUUUGAUUUUCAUCAUAGCAACCAAGUUAUUCUUGCAAAAUAAAAGAUGUAAGAUAAUUACAAAAAGCAAGUUCAUACUGCUGAUGCGUAUAAAACUUGGCUGAGCACCAAGGAAGAUGGAUCAUCCAUAAAGGAAAGGAAAAAGUUUGCAGCUGGUGUCACAUGAAGAAGAAACCACCUGUUUCAGUCCUCUGUAUUCAGGUCUAGAAGAAUAAAAAAUGCUAAGGUAAAAAAAUUCAAACUAAUAAAGGUGGAAAUUUGUCAACAUUUGGACAGAAAUUUCCAAUUCACGCAGACCACGAGUUAUUAGAUCAAAAGAAUGGACAAAAUUAGGUGAAUCCUCAUUUAAACAAAAAGGGUCCUUUAUUCUCCAAACGGAAAUGGCUUAAAAUAGGAUGACACUCCAAGCAAUCAGCAUCCUAUCUUUCAAACUGACCAAGUAAAAAAUUUGUAAAUAGCCUUCUGACAUGGCUUCAGCCUCUAAACUACAGAUAAACAGUUUGGCAGAAUUUGUCCUGAAAAAGAAUUAAGACUAAAAGAGAGGGCAACACUAAAAAUGUAAGCUGCUAGGAGCAAAACUAUCUAUGGAGUCAUAGUGGAGUUCUUCACUUUCAAUUGAGUUCAUUAAAGAUAGUUAUUUGUGCAACAAAGACCACAUAAUAUUAUUGUUUACAAGAACAUCCUAAAAGGAAAAUGAGGAUGAUCAAAAGCAGCUCAAACACAAUAAGCAAAUACAAAGAACUAGACACAAACCUUUAUGUUGAGCUUCUCUAAAAACUCAAAUGCCAGCACUUGAUUUUCUUCAGGAGAAUCUUCUUUUGGUUCUUCGUUUGGAAAUUUUUCUCCAUACUCAAAUGCCUGCACUUGUUUUUCUUCAGGAGAAUCUUCUUUUGGUGCUUCGUUCGGAAAUUUUUCUCCAUACACAUUCUUUUCAACUGACCUGGACUCUUCCAACGUCACCACACCAUCUGGUCCAUCUUUGGUAUAUUUACUAGCCCCAGUUGAAAUUUCAUCAGAGAGUGAUGAUCUGAGAGACAAGUUGGUGCAAUAUCGCAAUCCUGAGGCGAACACAUAUAAAAAUCAGUCGCAACUGUUCCUGAAUUUCUUUCUUUCUCUUUCUUUAACCCUUACAAAAAAUUUCUAAAUAAGUUUCCUAAUGCUACUAUAGGAAGUGUUUACAAAAACACAUUCCAUUUAACUAUUCACGUUAUAAUAAAAGGGUAAACAGACAUCACAUAGGUGUUAUUUUCAACACCAUUUCUAAUCAACUUAUUGAAUCUUUAAAGCAACCAAUCACAGUUCAGCUAAACCAUAUCCGUACUGACCAAACCAGAAAAAACAACGGGGUUAUUUACAUAAAUAUUGAAGGUUUUUUUCACGAUAUUAAAUAAAUUUUAAUACUUUAAUUUGGAUUCAAAGCAUAGAAAAUCAAUUUCUUGACUUCUUCUUUAUUUUCUCGCCUCUUGUCAAGGUUCCUGCUCUUCCUACGUUCUUCCAUAUGAAAGUUACUGUACCCUUCUCUCCUCCAGUCUUGUAGUGGUCACGCUCACAAGUCAGUGGGGAGAAGGUGGUCACUAAUAUUUAUAAGGUGAUGGCGGCAGUACUUUCAGGCCUACCAUGAAUUUUGCUGCUGCAAAUCGCCUCCCUAUUUUUUUUAAGGAUUCAAUUUCUCGAUUUUUCAAAUUCCCAUUAAAUCAUCAAUGUUGUGUAUUUUUUAUGAAAAAGUUUAAUAAUUUUAUUAUCAGUAACCCAUAAACAAUGAACUCAACCUGCCCAAAUCCCCUGAUAACAUGGUUUAUAAUCUCAUUUCUUAUUCUAAAUCCAACCCCAUGCCAUUGCACAACAACAAAACAAACAAAAUCUCCUCAUUGCUGAGAAACCCAUUGCACCAAGCUAAUCCCAAUAAUCCCAUUGUUCCACUCACAAAAAACGCCUGAUAAAUUCACAAUAAACAUCGAGAAAUGAUCCACGGAUUAACAAUAAAUAAGACUUGGGAUUGAAACAAUUACCUGAAGGGUUGAAAUGGGACGGAGAGAUUCUUGAAGCAGGGAAUUUGGGAUUAAGUUUCUGAAAUCGACUUAUUGGGGAAGCACCGGCAGUGAAGAGCCUACAAUAUGGAUGAUUCGAGAUUGAUCGAGCUGUGCAAAGCUCCAUUUUUUUCCCUUUUUCAGCUAAUUUAACUCGAUUAAGCCCUAGAAAUGACUAGGGAUUUCAGACUGAGGGAAUUUAUGGAGGAAUGUUAGUGAAAAUGUGAAACGCUAGGGUUUAGCGGCGGGGAAGAACAUAUCAACACGUGUUACCUAAUUGGUGGACUGUUGGUUUACUAGAUAAUAAAGAGGGGAGAAUAAAAUAAUAAAUGGUGUGGGUUUUUUUUUUUUUUUUUUUUUUUUAAAGUAAGUUUGUCGUUAAAGGAAAACAAAAACGAAAAUGAGUUGGAUUUGAAAGAUAUUACUAUAUGUUUUCUUCCAUAAUUCUGAGGACAAAAAAAAAAAGGAAAAAGGGACCAUGGAAGGGAGUCCUUCAAAAAGAUUGAAAAUAUCUAUUUUUGUGGUUUUGAAAAUUCAUUGAUUCUCAAAUUUCAAUCACUAACUCCCUUCAACCCCUUGUGUAUAUAUAUAUAUAUAUGUGUGUAUGUGUAGAGGCUUCUAAUUGAAGAGAGUGAAUAGAUCAAUAGAUACUUGGAUUCUCAACAAUUUUUUGAAUUAAAUAUGAAUAAAUAUGUAAAAGUGUCAUAUUGAUAUUUCUUUCUUGGAAUAUAUAUAUCCCCUGGCUUAUAACUAAUCCAAAUUUUGAAAAAAAAAAAAAAAAUCAUGUACUAAUGCACGGGCUAAAAGCCCAAAACCAAUAAUUAAUCACUUUGUGAAUUCUUUUUCUAAAUUUCAAAGCCCAAAAGUUUUGCAAUAGACCUCCUUCCGUAACAAAUUCCAAACUUCCAAAUUUCAAUCCAAAUACGACAACUGUCAACCCUCAAAAACCUUGUUAAUUUAUACCCUGCAUACCUGAAACUCUCGAGACAAUUUUUGUGUACGAGCUUAGCUUACUUUAAUUGCAACAAAAAUGGCUGAUUCCCAAAUUUUAACUCGAAAGCAAAACCUGUACAUGGCAAAACUAGCCCAUGAAUCCGAGCGUUACAAUGAUAUGAUGAAUUACAUGAAAAAUCUUGCAUGUACAGAGGUUUCUCCAUCUUCCGAUUUAACCCUGGAGGAGCGAAGGCUACUUUUCGUGGCUUGCACGAAGGUGAUUGGCUCCCUUCGUUCUGCAUGGCGAUCUGUGGCUUCCGUAGAAGAGAAGGAACUGGUUGAACAGUAUCGAGUCAGCAUUGAAGCCGAAAUUUCGAAGUUUUGUGAUGGGAUUUUGGAGUUGUUGGAUAAAUCCUUGAUUCCUUCAGCCUCCUCGAGUGAGUCGCAGGUUUUUUACCUCACAAAGAAGGGAGAUUACGAGAGGUACUUGGCUGAAAUUAAGGAUGGUGAUGAUUUUAACUUGGCUUCUGAAAAAGCCAUGGAAUCUUACAAUGCUGCAGAGGUGGUUUUCACAAACUUAUGCAUGCAAAAAUUACUUAUGUCCGAAUUAAUUAAGAACUCGCAAAGUUGUCUAAUUUUUCAUACAUACAUAUCUUUUUUGGUAAUAUUAAAAGGCAAGCUAAAUAGUGCAGGUCCCUUUUUCUUGAUGUUUUUGUUUAGGGAAUGAGAUUAUUAGGGUUUGACUUGUGUCCCCUAGUAACUUUUUCUUAUUAUUAAGAGAAUUAGAAUUGGCAUCCCUUCCCUAUAUAGAUUUUUUUUUCGCUAGAGAAAAAAAAAAAAAGAUUAUUAGGGUUGCAUGCCUUUUCAUGGCAGACUUGAUUGCUCGCCGGAGUCCAAAUUACUGGGCUUAAGUUUUAAACAAGUAAAUUAUCUCCCAAUCGAUCAAGACAAUGUGGAGGCUGACAUGCACAAUGUUGCUCAUAUGGAUGUUUCUUAUGUUUAUGUUCUGCACUAUUUUCAAUUAGAGUAGUAAAAGAGGGCAAAUUGUAUGAAAAGAUUUAAGCAUUUAAUGUAUCAUUUUUAUGGGCCUAAUUAUUGUUUAUAAUAAUAUUUUCAAGUUGAUGAAUUGCUUUAUUCACUUUUUUCGUUCUUUGGAACAGAGAACUGCGUUGGCUGGCAUUCGUCCAUCGCAUCCUGUAAGGUUGGGUCUGGCUAUCAACUUGUCGGUUUUCUACUAUGAUGUCCUGGAGUCAUCGCAAGCUGCUCUUGGCACGGCCAGUUUGGUAAGUUUAUUCCCCACUGUUCCAAUAAUAUGCAGCCAUUGGAAGUACCAUAAAAGAGUUACUUAAGACCUUUUUUUCGAUAAAAGUUUGCUUUAGUUUUUAGAGCUAAAUAUGCAAUCCGAUCCAAAAACAUAUAACAUUGCAAUCUUUUAAAUUUACUGUUUAUAAAUUGUUGCUCAAAAAAAUUUCUGAAAAAUAAAGGUCAGUUUAAUCUCAGUGUUUGUGAUGGAAGCGUCCAAGAGGUCUUGAUUAUAACCAUAUGCAGUCGAUGAAAUUGCUGGAUAUCUGUAUUUGAUCUCUUCUUGAACAAACUAAUAUCAUAACUCUACCUGCAGGUAAUCAUACAUAGCAAAAUAUCAAAUAUGCACAAGUAACUGGUAGAAAAUAAGCCGUGUCUUCUUAAAUGCAAUAAUACACACUUGAGUUUUGAGAAUGUGACAUGCAUUUACUUGCUCUUUUUAGGCUUCUAUACAUAUUGAACGUACUUGCUUCUUCACAUGAGCUAGUUGAAUUUGUUCGCUCUUUUUAUGCAGGCCUUAAGGGAUGCUCUUGCAGACAUAAAUUCAUUGCCUGAAGAACUCUACCAGGAAAGCACACAUAUGAUGCAACAACUCCAAGAUAAUCUCGAUCUUUGGAAGGAGCCUUGAACUUCUUCUUAGAUAUUGAGGAUUGUGAGUUAUUGUUAUUCAGUUUUUUUAAUAGGAAGAGUUAACAACAAAGCUUUUUUUCUUUCAUUUUCACACUUUUUUCUUUAUUUUUUCCUUUUGAGACAAGGCAGUUCAAUUGCAGUAACGAAUUUCUCAGCAAUGGUAUAUGCUGCCAUGAAGGAAAUUAAACCAAGUUAUUUUAGUAUUUAGUUUCCUAAUUCUUUUAAUUUCUUGUUUUGGUAUCUUCUUUGUUUAGUUUCCAUAUUAAUUUAAGAAAUUUUAAAUCAAUUUCAAGUAAGUUUUGAUUUACAAUUGUUUCUAUUUAGGAAGUUUUGCAAUCUAUAAAUAUUAGGAGUCUAGUACAUUAUUUUUUGAAGAGUUGAGUGGAGUUUCCAAGAAUUGAGUUGAGUCUUGUUAAGUUGAGUUGAGAGAAAAGUCUCUAAGUUGAGAGUUGUGAAUUGUCUUAAACGAAAUUGUCUUAAGCGAAAGGUAACGACUUGAUAUUAUUAUUAUUGAGUUUUGAGUUAAUAAAAUUAUUAAGUACUUGUUUGUGUGUUUAUUCUCCUCCUCUUCUCACAUAUUUUUAUAUGUGUUAGAAUUGUUUUCACUAUGCAUGUUUUUUUGAGCCAACAAGUGAUAUCAAUAUUCUAGACUUUGGUCCUAAUGUUUGUUCAUGAAAUUAAAGUAUGGGUUCGUAUUAUUUACAAUGUUCUGACGUUUUUAUCUUUAAUAAUAAAAUGAUUUUGAUGUUUGGGGUUGAAUGAUGAAGAUGUUUUUUCAAACUAUUGGACUUUGUGAUAUUAUCCAAAAAGGGAUUCAUGGAACCUGUAGAAAGCACUUUGAAAGGAAUAGACAGUUGGAUUACAAAACAUUUCACUAUCUCAGCACCCAAGUCCAGUUGCAUAUGAUGAAAAAAAUUCAUGCAUGCAAAGACGGCAAAGAAGGCUUGAAAAUUUUUGAUAAAUUAUUAUUGUGGUCAUGAUAGGAAGAAAUUUGUAAUGAGGAAGAAGAAAAUGAAUUUUUUGAUGAGUCAAAGAAAGAAAAAAAAUAAAAAAUUGUAGGUGCACAUGAAGAUGAGAAAUUUGUUCAAAAAAAAAUUUGCAAGUAAAUGAGGAAGAAACAAAUUUACUCGUGAAAUUGAAAUUGUGAGAAGAUCGUGGCAAGGUAAAAAAAUAUUGACUGGAAUUGAUAAUUUGUUUGAAAAGACAAAUCAAACAUUGGAGUUGGUUGAGAUUAAUUGUAGAGUGGAUAAAUCAAUUGAAAAUUGUGACACUACUUUAAGUGAUAGGAUUGUUCAUGUCAACAAGUUUGGGAAUUUUAAAAAUAUUAGUGGUGGCAAUUAUGAUUUUGUGAUUUUGGGAGAUUUUAUUAGUGAUAUGGAUCAAUUGAAUUAUAGAGAAUUGGAUGAAGAAAGGGUGGAUAUGUUUGAAUUUUUCGACAGAAGUGAUCAAUCCAAGAAUUGUUUGAGAACUAUAAGUUUCGUCUAUUGCCACGUGUGAAGAUGAAGUUGAAGACCAAUCAUAAGUUCAUAUUGAAUAUUGUGUUUACUGUGAUAGAUUCAAACUUGAUAUGAUAUUGGAAGUGACCAUAAUAACGAUCUUGAUUUAAAGGAGAUAAUAAAGGAAAUUAAACCAAUCUAUCUUAAUAUUUAGUUUCCAAAUUCUUUUAAUUUCUUGUUUUGGUCUUGUUUAUUUAGUUUCUAUAUUAGUUUAGGAAAUUUCAAAUCAAUUUCAAGAAAGUUUCGAUUUACAAUUGUGUCUAUUUAGAAAGUUUUGUAAUCUAUAAAUACUAUUAGUCUAGUACAUUAUUUUUGGAAAGAGUUGAGUGGAGUUUUGAAGAGUUGAAUCAAGUUUUAGAGAGUUGAGCUGAGUCGACUCUUGUUGAGUUGAGGAAAAGUCUCUAAGUUGAGUGUUGUGAGUUACCGUAUGUGAAAGGUUACAAUUGAAAUUAUUAUUGUUCAGUUUUGUAUUAAUAAAAUUGUUGAGUAUUUAUUUGUAUGUUUAUUUUCCUUCUCUUUGCAUACAUUUUUAUAUAUGUUGGAAUUGCUUCUGUUGUGCAUGAUUUUCGUGCCAAGAUUGCAUAAAUUGGUAUUUGAAGGGAUGACAAGUUACAACAAACAAUAUUUGCAUGAAAAAAGUUUCCGCCAACAAUUUCUGUAGCACUACUAAGUAAACAAGUACAAUAGACAGAUGGAAAUUGAAUAAAACCAGCAGCAGAUAAACACAAGCUUGAAUUCCAACAAAGAGAACAAAUUCCACAGACUAGAUUUUGGCAAUCUACAGAAAAUAUUUAAGCAAGUAUUGUGGGCUAUAAAAGAGAAGGUUACCAUUCUGACUAUCAUGGAGUCGUCGAUAGGGGUGGGCACGGGUCGGGUACCCGCCCCUAACAUGAUUUGGCUGACCCGACCCUAAUAUAUCGGAUCAACCAUUUUGCGACCCUAACCCGCUCCUAAUAUUUUCGGGUACCCGAAUAGCGGGUACCCGAAAAAAAGGGGCGGGUCAUAGGGUACCCGCCCCUAAAAAAAACUAUUUUUCAAUAAAAAAAAUUUAUUUUCUACUUAAUAUCAACAUGUUUUUCAAUAAAAAAACAUGCUUUUCCAAUUAAUAUUGGUAGAGAUAUUGUAAUUAAAGUCCAUACAUCACCAUUUUCACACAUUUCAUCCAAUAAUCAAAUCAAUCUCAUAAAUUUAGUACAUAUUAGAAUAUCUAAUGGACAAAACGAAGUUUCAUAAUAAUUUUGAGUACAUCACCAUUUUCACACAUUUCAUACUUCUACAACACAACAAACACAAGGAUAAUAAGUAUUUGGUAACUUCCCCAAGGAUAUUAUGGUACAAGACCGCAUCUCAAAUAAGUCAAUUGUGAAAUCAAGUUCGGAAAAGAAUUGAAUAGAACUAAUUAUUUUUGAAAAAAAUAUAACCAAAAUAAUGUUAAAAAUCUUCCCCAACUUUUUUACAUCUUUGGAAUAGACCUUAUGGUAUUAAGGUGAUGAAAAAGAAAAAUAAAUUUCUUACACUAAAUAAAAGAGACAAAUUUAAGAGAUAUAAUUGCAAAUGAAUGACACAAAUAUUUUAAUUAUCUAGCUAACAGAAAAUUGAGACUCCAAACAAAAAUCUUUGAUUGAAUUGAUGCAAGAUUUGCAGGAAAGAUCGAUGGAGGUAGAAUACAAAUAAAAAAGAUGAAAGGGAUGAACAAUUUUUAUAACAUAGUUUCACAAAUUUUUUUUUUCAUUUUGUUCAUGUUUCACCGAGAAUAUUCACUUUCUUCAAAAAAAAUGAGAAGAGUAGAUCAUAUAGGAUUAGAAUAUGAGGCUGCGAGCCACUUCACUUGCACUUAGGAUUAAAAAUUACAAAAUUAUAAAAUGAUCCCUACUUUUUUAAUAUUUAUAAAAUAUACCCUGCGGGUCGGGUACCCGCGGGUUUUUAUUUUUCUGAUCCGUAUCCGUACCCGAUUUUUCGGGUACCCGACCCUCAUCUCCCGUGAUUGGAGGAAUUGCUCGUGUCAAUGUUUACUGCCAUAGAUUUUUAUGUAGUCUGAAGAAAAACGAUACAGAAAGGGAGAGAGAUGGUUAAGGUGUUCUUGAGAGUUGAUGAAUAUAUUUAAGAGGAAGCUUAUUGCGGUUAUCGGGUGUAUCGAUUGGAUUGUAAUUCAAAGUGAAAGAAGUUGUUGCUGAUAUAUAGUACAGAACUGAAGAAAUGCACGUGGAUAAUAUGCAGAGUGAGAAAGUUAUGAAAGAGUAGCAGUGCAUAUUGUGUGCUAUAUAGCUUUGUUGAAAGAGAAUUGGAUUGAAGUAUGUGCAGAAUGACAAUAAUAAUAGUUUAAUUGAAAUAUGUAUGAGGUUUUACAUGCAAAUCAACAAAAAGAGAUAUAAAAAAUAUUAAUUGUACGUUGUAAUAAGUUUACCUAUUGAUAAUAGGUUAAUAUUUAAAAUGUAAUGUUAAUUUUUUUUUAUAGAUUACAAAAAUUAGGGGCGGAAAAGUAUGUUACAAAUUUUGAUAAUGACAAAUUCAUAUAUUUAUUAAAUUUAUUAGGGUUUUCAUUUUACUAAAUAUUAUUAAAUAUAUUAUUUAGAGAAUACAUGUUGAGAUAAAUUUGUUUUUAAUUAUUUUUUGUAAAUUUGAGUUGCACCAAUUGUGUAAUUGUUUGAAAUUUCGAAAAUAAAAUUUUUUUAUAUUGCUUUUUCUAGCGAAGAUGAUAUUUUUAAAGAAUGUAGAGGUAGUAAUUUAUCUUUAAGUUGGUAGUUUGGAUCUCAAAAAUAGACAUAGGAGAAAGGCACGUAAGAAUAGAAGAAGAGUGGCAAUAAAAUUUAUAUUCAUUGCUUUUGAUGUAAGAGGAACUUGAUACAGUAUGUUAUCAGGGGAAGGAGAAUGGCGAAGAAGUUAAACUUACAAUUUGGUAUAGUAUUAGUUGUGUUACAAAGUAUGGAAGUUGUAUUUUGUCUGUGUUACAAAGUAUGAAAGGUGUAUUGGAGCCAUAUGACAGAUAGCAGGAAAAUGUUAGGAGUGCAGAAAGUGUCAAGGAAAAUUUGUUGUGCUGCAUUGGUUAUAUUUAUUUAAUUCUAGUUUGACAGAAGAGAUAUUUAGAUAAGCAAAUUCUUUUUUGCAUUAACUUGCGAGGCUACACAUCAAAAUUACAGUAGAGCAAUGCAACUACUGUAGUGAACGUAGAAAUACACAUAAACUAUACUACUUAUGUAGAAGCUUGAUUCUAGGCAGUAUUUUUGGUCUUUGUCAAGCGUAUUCAGCAGCUGUGACUUCUUCUUCAUUGUAGCUUGUAAUUAUAACAUGAUUGGUGCCUUUGAUUGCUUUUUCAUGUGGAUUGGAUGGUUUGAUGUAACAAAGCAAUAUUUUGCCUUGGAUUGCUUGAGUGAUUUGAUGUAGCAGAUUCAUGUUCUGGGCAUAGAAAAUAGUAUGUAUGUUGUAAUUAAAAAUAUUAGUAAGGAAUGUAAGUUUAGAUAAAUGUUGUACCUUAUUGUCAAUUUGUUGUAGGUGACUGGCGUUGAUGCACAUCAGGGCUUCAGCUGCUUCUCCUAAUGUGACAGCGUGUAUCUUAGCAGUUGAGUCAGUUAUGAAGAGGGAGAUGCAAGCUCUAUAUGAUCAACUUGUUUGUUAGUUAUUAAGGUGACAAAUAUCUUGUGUUUAUUUGAUGUAUUUGUCACUUGCCUGGGAAUAGGGCUGAUUUCGAUAUCACAUGAUUGACAUUUCAAUCCCACGUGUUUAUGAAAUCAUUAGAGCGAAGACAUAACGGGCAGGCUGAGUACUAAAAUGGUCCUUCUAUGCAACUAAUCUCAACUCUACCUUUAAUCCAGGCUGUUGGUUUCUGCUGUUAUUUGUAUAGGAAAUGUUUACGUCAUUGUGGUGGAAAAAUUGUAAACGCGAAAUGAAAUGUUUGAGAAGAAUAGGGAAUUACGAUUCCUUUUGCAUGAAGGACUGUCUAGAUCUGUUGGAUUUGAUUGCUCUGGACUGGAGGAAUAAUAGUUCUUGGAUUUGCAAAGGUUUUUUCUUGAAUGACCAAGGCUAAAUACGACAGGUUGUUAUGGAACCUGAAAUAGUGUCGGUAUAAGUAAUAAGAGCUGUAGUGUGAAUUUGUUAAUGAAACACAAUAGUAAGACUAUAUAGUUACCAGUGAUUGAGUUUCAUUGAUUGUUGAACAUCAGGUGCUACCAUUAUGACAGAUGUUGGUUGUGUUGCCAAUGACAGAUCUAGGGAAUGUAUAGAACAAAUGAAGGAUUUUACUGUUAAAUUAAACAAUGCAUAGCAAAGUUUGGAACUCAGUAGAACUUACAGUUUUUUGUAGUCACUUUAAGCCUCAAUGCUAGGACAACAUGAGGCUCUUUUCUUGCUAUGAUAGAAGCACCUUCAUUGGUCUGGAAAUCGUUAUAAAGUGUCAUGAGCAGUGGCCUUUUCUGAGAAGCAGAAAUUUCUAUGGUUAGUACAUGAUUAAUAUAGUUUAUGUAAACUGUAAACGUUUUUAUAGUGAAUGAUACUGUACUGUUGAUUGAUGAUGAUAUAAUCUCUGGCUGGAAUUGUCCGUUCCUGGAAUUGAACUUCCUUUGGGGAUAAAGCAUAAAUCACAAUGGCAAGUAUAUCUGAAGUAAUUUUUUGGUUAAUUAUGUAAUAUGAAUAUAAAGAAUAAUGUUGAAGAGAAAAGAUAGAUAAAAUAUUAGAAUACUUAUAUAUCUAUCAGUGUGGGCGUAGACAUGGAGGUUGGACAUGCUGUCCAAAUGCAAAAAUGGCGGAAUGGUUGCAGUUUCCAGUUCAUUGAUUGGUUGAAUGAGAGUUGCAGUUGUCAGGAUCCAGUAGAAGGGAUAUUGUUGUGUUGAGGAUGAUUGUUGAUUGAGGCGUACUGUUGCAUUGGAUAUAUAGUAUUUUCUGAUUGGAAUCAGUAAGCCAUUAACAAGUGGAAUGUCAUUAUCAAAUAUUAUUGCCUGAACUGUGAUUCCCUGAAGAAUUUGAAGGUGGUUAGUUAUUUGUAAUAGAGUUAAUUCUGUAUAUAAAUCAUGUUAAAUGGAAAUAUAUGUACCUGUGAAUUUGAGAGUAGAAAUUGGCGGUAUCCUUUGGCCGGUGAGAAUCUGUUGGUGGUUCGAGUAAGGGUUGCUUCAAUUACCUGUAUGAUGGUGGUCCAAUUGGUACUAUAGGAGUUGAUCUCAGCUAAAUUGCAAGUUGUCAUGGCCAUUGUUUUCUGUCAACAUAUUGCCAUGAAUGUAAAAUAAGAAUAGAAAAAUUGGUUCUAUAUGUAACGGUAUGCAAGAAGAAUAGAAGAAUUUGUAGUUUUUUUAAGUUGUAAAUUAUAAAGUUGUAGAAAAAUGAAAACUGAAAGAGAUGUGUAGAUUGAGAGUGAGUGCACACCUGAAGGCUGUUUUGCGGAAUAUACUUGUGAAUAAUAACUGACCGUUUGUGGAAAGGAAACUUUUGGGUAUAUAUAAAAAGAAAUGUAGAUAGCAGGAAGUUAGUGCAGCAGGUAAAAACUCACUGAGUAGCAUGCAAUAGUAACUUGUAAGUCACGUAAAAACAUAGAGUAGAUAACUUGUUAGUGUUAUGAUUACGAGGCUGAAUUCAUCAUAGUAUAAGUUAUGUUAUGUGAUGUAUGUCAGGGUCAGUGAAUGGUAGUUUGUUUGUAAUGUUUCUUGACAAUUGUUAGUUUACUGAUAUGAGUAGGUGACCAAAUUCAAUGUGGUGUAAGUUUUGUUAUCUGUUGAAUUUCAAAGUCAGUGAGUGGUAGUUUGUUUGUAAUGAUUUUUUGAAGUUUAAUUGUCUUUCAAAGAUCUUUUGUUCAAUUCUUUUGCCUAAGCUGACGUGUUGCAGUAAAAUUAAGCAGAGUUGAAUGAUGAGUUCUGCAUAAAAUUUGCAGGAUCUAGAGGUUUCGGAGGAAAAAAUUAACUGUUAGGUCUAUCGAUCCACUUAGAAUGUUCAAUUAACAUAAUCUAUGUAGUUUAUCGUGAAGAUUGUUCUUAAUGCGUCAGAGAUGAUAAUAUGUCAACAAAAGAAAGAUUUUACAGAAUGUUGUAGAAUUUGUGUUUAGCAAAAGAUAUUUUCUGGUUUAAAUAGGAUAAUCAGUUAGAUUCAUUGAUGUUCUUCAUCCUCUUUGAUCAAUUUGAUUGUACAUUUUUGUGAGGAUAGCUGGUUGCUGAUGGGAAUGUUGAAGUAUGUAUGUCAAGAUUGACUCACGGAAGUUCUGCUGAUGUUUGGUGGGCAGAGGAAGCUGCAAUGAGGUUUGAAUAGUUGCUUAAAGGAUAGGCCUGUUUUUGUUGAAAUUUUCAAGGUUCAUUUGUCAUAGAUAGGAGAAAAGGUUCCAGUAAUUUGUUCAAAUAUGAAUUUGGUUGUUGGAAAUUUUUUUUUUUUUUGGUUUGUGGUGUUCCAGGAUUGGUGGUACAAGAAGGUUGGUUCUUAUUUCUAUAACACUGCUGUUGUUCACAGCUAGUAAUAUUUGAUGGAAUUGUCGCAUGGCAUUGACUUUGACAAUUGACUGUAUUUUUUUGCGAUUGCUCAUGCUACUGUAUAGCAUGCAUAACAUUCCAAAACAGGCUUUAAGGAGAUAUGCAUCAGAUAGUUUCACAUUGCUAUUCCAUAAGGGUUUUUUUCCCAAAGGAUACAAAAGAUAUAUUACUAUCCUUUAUGUCUGUCAAGCAAAGAUAAUGGAUCGUAAUAUGUUAACAAAAGAGAGAGUUUAGACAAUGGAACAAAAGCAGUGUUUAACAAAAGAUCUUUCCUGAUUUAGACAUGAUGAUUACUCAGAUUCAAUGAUAUUCUUCAACUUUUUUGAUGGACUUGGUUCUGCAUUUUUUUCUGGAGGGGUGCCUGUGGGCAGGAGAGUAGAAGCAUUCACGUCAAGAUCGACUUGUAGAAGUUCUGCUGAUGUUUCCUGUCCAGAGGGAGUUGCAUUGGGUAUGCUCUGUUGUUCAAAGGAUAGACUUCUUUUUGUUGGAAUCUUCAAGUUUGAACUGGCAUGGGUAGCAGAGACGCCUGCAGUAAUUUCUCCAAGUAUCAAUUUGGUUGUUGGAGAGAAUAAUUGUUCCUCAGCUUUGUGCUUUCCCUCUAGAACUGGUGGUGCAAGAAGGCUGGCUCGCGUUUCUAUACCCCUGUCAUUGUCGACAGCCAGCAAUAUUUGAGGUAAUUCUUAAACACUGUAAGCUUUCACAACGGUGUUCUUUUUCUGUGACUGGCCAUGGUAUUGUAUAUCAUAGGAGCGAACAAAGCAAACAAGUGCAUGCUUGCUGAUAGAUUCUGCAAGUUCCAUAUCUAAAGAUAGCCUCUGUAUAAUUUGUUGAGGAUAGAAAUUUUAUCAAAAUUUUUAUAUUUGAUUCACAAUAUGUUACAACAUUUAUACGAUAGAAUCAAAACAGAGUACAUUACCUAAACGAUACUGUAAUUUGCUAGCUAGCAUGAUAGAAGAUUUAUAGCAUAGCAAUAGUUUUCAUAAUCAGUGAUUUUUUAGAAGUAUGAUGUUAACAGAGAAUAAUGUGUGUUUUACAAAUAAAUUAAUGUAAAAUCUGCUUACAUAGUUGGGAAUGCGUGUUUUGAAGCAAAAAUAGCUGUUACAGUGGAAAAAUUGGUUAUGGAGUCUAUAUAGUUAAGAAAAUAAGUUUUCUGAAACUUGCGUGUUCAUAUGCAUGUUGAAGCUGAAUAGCAGUAUAAUGAAUCAGUUUUCAGCAUCUGGAGUAUAGACAAUGCAGUUCAUGCUUCCAGUCUGGUUAGUCAGGCUAAUUCCAAUGCGACACCUGAAGCAUCUUGAAGUUUGUUUAGCAGAAAAGCUGAAAAAGACAAUAUGUAACAUUAUUUACUAAGUUGUAAUUUUGAUUGAUAUUAUGUCACCUUAGUUCAACAUGAGUAGAUUCAUUGCAUUACGGGCAGGUUAUAAUCCAUUCUGUUUGAGCAUUAACAUUCUUGUGACAAUUCAUGCAAGCAGUGAACCAACACUUUCCUUGUCCAGGAAUGUAAUUUGUAGCACCUCGUAUCCAAGCAGUUUUUGUUAUAGCAAAACAUUCGAUGUUAUAAAUUGUGAAGAAUACUACCAAAAUUAUCAGUAUUAAUUUAUUAAAUGUUAGUAAAAUGAUUAUUGUAACUGAUAAAUGUGUAUUUGGAGUUGUAUGAAUGGAACUUACAGUGUCAGAUGAAGCCAAAACAUCACGUAUCUCUUUAACAUCUUCUUCUUUUGGAGGAGGAAGUAAGAUGGAAGGAUCUUUGUAUGUUUUUUCCUCAAGUAGUUCUUUUAGUUCUUCUUUAUGAUCAAAAUACCUGCACAAAAAGAAAUGAGUUACAGGGACCUAUAUAGGAAUAGUUACAUUGAUCCAAAUAAAUGGAUUUGUUCACCAUUGAUUCAGCUGCAUUUGUGGAGGUAAAGGAGGAUUGUGAAGGAAACAAGAUGACAAUCGAGAGGUCAAGGAAAGAGCUGAAAAAAGAAGAACGAAGUUAAAAGAUAAUAUAUAAAUAUAUGACAAUUAUUUAUAAGCAGUCAAUCUGUAUGUAAAGUAUACGCUUACAGUUAAAGGUUGUGACUUUAACCCUCAUUGCUAUGAUCAAAGGUGCUGAACCAAUGUUGUUCAUAAUCUUUGUUCCAUCAUCUUUUUCAAAUUCAUUCCAAAGAGUGAGGAGCAUCAGCUUUUUUCUUCAAAAAAAGGAAAAUAAAUUACAGUAUAUCAUAUAUAAAUUCUCUGAAGUUACAUUGAAGUUCAUAAUAAUAGUAGUUAACUGUUCAUUCACAAUGACAAAAUCUCUUGUUGUGUUGUUGCUCUGCUGUUUCUGAGGAAAAGCAUGCAAAACAACUGCCUUCACAUCUGUGUUAACAAAGAGAAAUAAUAAGCUGAUAAUAAUUUUCUUCAACAUAGAAACUGUGUUUUUAUAACUGAUAAGGUAUGAAAUGUGUAUUUGUAUUAUUAACUUACUUUGCAGAUUUUCUGUGUCUGCAUAUCUAUGCAGAUCAUCAAACUGAGUCAGCUCAAAUGGACAUGGCAGUGCUGGUACAACUGGUUCUUCAUAAGGCUCAAUCAAAGUGUCAUUGUUAAUAGCCCAUGAAAAGAGAUAAUUAUCAAGUUUGAAGUUGACAGAAGUAUCCAUAAGUAUAGCAUUUGAAAUAUAAUAUCUCCUGAAUGGCCAAAGCAUGUAGUAAAACUGCCUGGUGGAAGCAUCGUAAAGCACAGCAGAUACUCUUGUUCCCUAUGUAUUCAUAUAUGUGAGAAAUUGUUAUUUAGUAAUUACGGUGACAAAAAACAGGUACAUAUUAUAUAGUAUGUUAUAGGGGUUCUGUCAAGUCAAGUCGUUCGCGAGCUUGGUAAAAAGCUUGACUCGAACUCGAUACGAGUUCGAGCUAUUCGUUACAUUUAACGAGUCGAGUUCGAACUCCUAAAAUAACUACUCGAGUGCUCGACGAGCCUAAUCGAGUUUUCGUAUAAUAUAUAUAUUAUAUAUAUUUUAAGUAUGGAAUGACUAUUAUGGGUUGUGUUUUAAUAAAUUUACAUGAAAUAAUGUUUAGUUAAAAAAAUGAUGGAUGGCAAAAUGGUAAUGUGAUAAAUCUAAAAUGUAAAAAAUUAAAAACAAGAAAAAAAA
rnacentral:lncRNA from 1 species